rnacentral:lncRNA from 1 species
UGGCCACAUCUCCAUCUCUCUCCCCCUCACCACUUCUUCCACCACCGGCCGUCGCCGCGGCCAUGCCGGCGUGGCGGCGCGCCAGCAGCUCCACCACGCGCAGCACCACCGCGCCAUAGCACCACCCAUAAUCUCCAUCCAUCUGCGCCUCCCAGCCACCCAUCAUUCCCUCCAUCCACAGCGCCGCCAGAACCCAUCCACCAUCACCUCCAGCCGGUGCCGCCGCCUCGCCUACAGCCAUCUCCCUGCUGUCCGCUGCUCUCCUCUUCUUUCCAUCCUUCUUCUCCUCACCAUGCUGCUGCUCCUCCCUCUCAAUCUCUACUGCUGCUCUUCCUUGCGCCCCCGUGCUGCUGCCUCUCCUUCCCUUCGUUGCUGCUGCUUCUCCUUUGAUCCCUUUGCUACUGCUCCUCUUCUUCGUGCCCAACCUCCGCUGCUGCUCCUCUUUCCUGCUGCAUCCCUGCUGCUGCUACUCCCUCUCACCACGCCUCUGCUGCUCUCUUUCCCCUCCUGCUGCUGCUCUCCUCACCAUGCUGCUUCUCCUUUCUGCUUCUCCUCUUGCUGCUGCUGCCCGCCCCCGACCUCCUGCUGCUAUCUCUCUCUACUUCCCCUGCUACCUUUCUUCUCUGAACCUACCUACUGCUUCUCUCUCUCUCUCUGAAAUUGUUGUAGUACUAAGAUUUGUAAGACAGUGUACUACAACCUGUUAAUUGUUCAGUUCAGAUUUUUGCUUGUUUAGUAUUAUUCUGUUGAUCUGUCCUAAUCUUGUGGCUAGUAUAAUUUCGUUUCUGUUGUUACUUGUGUAACCUGAACCGAGGUUAGUAUCCUAUUUGCAUAUGUGUGUUUUGUGUGUUCUGUAGUCCCUGUAUUAGUUACGUACCUGUGAUAUAUAAAUGUGUGUGUGCGUGUGUGUGUGUGUGUGUGUGUGUAAUUCAUCAAAAUAUAUUGUUGUGUGAUGAUGAUAUAUGUUCAGUCUAGAGACACGUUGUUUUUCUUGCUUUGUAGAUCGAUGUGAACUAGUACUCUUGUGUGUUUCUGUUGUCACUAGUUAAAUUGAUCACCUAUGUACUACUUGUUGUAGAAACUUGUUACAUUAGUCCUUGUGCUAGCUAUGCACCUGUGAUAAAUAUGUGUGUGAUGUGAAACAUUUCUGUUCUGUCCUAUAAUAUUGUUUCCUCCCUCUUUUGCUUGUCAUUAUGCUAUAUGUGUUCAUGUCCUAAUGUUUCCCUUUAUGUUAGUUUCUAAUUUCUCAUGCCUAAUAAAAAUACCAAAAGAGAGCAAGUAAGAUCUGAUCCUCCCUUUGCUAUUUUGCCUUUUCUUUGUGGAUCAUCUUCGGGAGCAACCUUGUUUAGUUUAGGUUUAUUUUCUUGCAGCCAUAAUCUCAAUUGUGUUACCUAGAUUUAGCUGAGCAUAGUCGCCGUCGCCUAGUCCCUGAGGGGAACACGACACUCGCGAUUUGGGCGAAAUAUCCCACCGCAUUUACAAACGAUCAUUUUGGCGCCGUUGCCGGGGACUAGCAUCGAGUGACAGUGUUAGGCUAUAGACUAGGUUUUUCUUGUUUUCAUUUUGUGCCAUAUAUUUGUGAUAUAUCUCUAGCCACUAACCCCUGUUCUAGGUAGUAUCUUUUUGUCUUCUUUUCCUUUUUUGCAGGUUGGAUUAUCCUCUCGGAAAUGGCAUUCUAUUCGGAUCAUCAGGCUUAUGCGAGCAACACUACAAACAACAUGAAAAGAAUUCAAGAACUGAUAAGUAAGAUUUCCCAUCGAUUAGAUGAUUUAGCUCGGCAGCGAGAAGUAGUUUUUGUGGAUAGUCCUAGCUCUUAUGAUCCUUAUUCUGGAGGCCAUCCUUAUGUUGCUCCUACUUGCCAUAUUUGUGGAUUUCAGGGCCAUUCGCUCGCUGAAUGUCAGCGUGGUUACUCUCGCCCUCCAGAUUGUUUUGGCAUGAGCUUUGCUCAAGAGCAUAGCUCAUACCAAAACAAUUACUCACAUGGGUGGCCUGAGAACCCGAAUAUGUCAUUUAGGAGCAACAACCCUGAGAUCUUAUCAUUUGCCUCUAGUAAUCCAAUGCAGGGAUUUAGGUAUGAAGAGGAGAGCCACAACUAUGCUCCACAACAGUUUUAUUCACCUCCUACUCAUAUACCGCAGCACCAGGAGAUGUGUCCAAUGGAGUUAAAUGGUCCUCCGUUUGGUCAACCAACAACUUCAGCACCUAAUGAGUCGGUAGAGCAAUCUCAUGUGCAGGGAUUUAGGUAUGAAGAGGAGAGCCACAACUAUGCUCCACAACAGUUUUAUUCACCUCCUACUCAUAUACCGCAGCACCAGGAGAUGUGUCCAAUGGAGUUAAAUGGUCCUCCAUUUGGUCAACCAACAACUUCAGCACCUAAUGAGUCGGUAGAGCAAUCUCAUGUGCAAGUGCCCACACAAGAUGAGUUCGAUGACAUAGACAAACUCACACUUUUGAGUCUCGAGUUCACUUGGAGUGCCGAGGAUGAUCCUAUUAGGAAGGUUAUACUAGAGGAAAUGAAGAGGAUCAAGAGUGGAAAAGAGCUAGUGGAAGAAGUAAGGAAGAUUGAGAAGAGCAUCAAUGCUGGCAGCACUAUUUCUUCACAACUAGAGCUGAGUAUUUCUGGGAUAUCCUUUGAUACAUGUGAGGCUCCAACACCGUCACAUCCAGCUGAGCAAGAUAGAAAAAGUCCAGAGGAAGAGAGACCUUAGAUUGAAGUUGAACUCAAGGAACAAGAUGAUCAAGAGCUACAAUUUCCAAGUGAUCAAGUUGAAGACUCAUCAUCUACUACUCCUAAAGAAGUACAAGAAGCUGUUGUAGAUGAAGAUGAAGAACCUGAGAUUCAUUGGCCUAUUGUCAUACAUGAACCUGAUAUGUCAGGUUUACCCAAUCCUCUUGAUGACAUGCUGCCUUGUGAUUUCUUUGCUUCUAACUUGCAUUGCAUGAUGCCAUCACUUAAGGUAGAUUUGAAAAACUAUUUGCUUGGACAUGAUCAUACACACCCUGUUAGUGGCAUUGCUCAUAUCUCUGUUCAUGAUACUUAUGUUCCUGAUGCUAUACACAUGCUUAAUGAAACGUGUGAUUCUAAUACUAGCAUUGAGCUUACUGAAUUGUACCAUCCUAAACAUGUGCUUUAUAGCUAUGCUUAUGUAAUUGGGUACUCUAUUGAUGAUUUAGAGGGCAUUACCCUUGUCACUUGUAUCGCCUCCUUGGUUGAGUGCUCUUUCAGCUUGUUGCUUGUGCACGAUCCACUACAUGCUGGCCAAGUUCGAGAUGACAUUCCUUGGGACCCCGGUGGACCCAUGGCAUGGGGAUGAGGAGAAGCAAGGAGCACACAUGAAGAGAGAAGCUGUGCCGGCAUGAGGAUAGGGAAGCAAAAGGAGAGGAGUCACAAUGCAAGAGGAUGUGAGAUGAUCGAGCGAGUGCUACAUCAAAGCCCGGUGAGCUGUUUCAUGACCCAUUCCGAGUAUAUCAUCCAUUGAUGCUUGCUGAAUUAAAUUGCUAUUUGGGUUGCUUGUGCCAUUUCUUAAAUGUUGUCCCACAGAUUUUUCACCUUUGACAUAUGGUGCUUGAUGAGAAUAUGUGAACUGAUUGUUGAAUGCCUUGUAAACUAGUGAUCUACAUCCUGUUUGCUUUGCUGAAAGUAGUGAAAGCUAUUAGUUUUGAGUGCUCAAAUCCCUAGUGCACUAGUAAACUUAAUCAUUUUCUGCUUUUACCUUGAUACACCUAAAUCAUUAAGUGUCGGAUGCUGAGUUUGUGCCUAAUGUGUUCCCAUUGAGAGCAAUCACUUACCAUUAUGGAUUAGCAUGCUAUGUUCUCUGGAUCAGUAGCAUGUGAAGUAGACAUGGAUGAGUGAUGAUUCUUGAUUUUGUUCAUUUAAAAAAUGAAAAAUAUAUAUCUUAUAAUGAAUAAAUAAGUCUGACUACCUACAGUAGCAUGUCAUGUUCCCUAGAUCGGUGGCAUGUGGAAUCGGGUUAGCUUGGGCAGUAAUUAAUAAUAAAAAUGUAAUUGUCGAACCAGGUGUAUACCAUAUUCUUGGGAUCGGUGGUAUGUUCCUUUGGGGAGACAAACAAAAAAAACUAAUAAUUGGUCGAGCCGGGUGUAUACCAUGUUCUCGGGAUCGGUGGUAUGUUCCUUUGGUGAGAUCAAUAAAAUAUUAUCAUUACUUUCUUCAAAUUCAAUAAGUGCUUUCAACUGCAAUGUUGUGUUCCUGGUAAUAAGUGAUCUGAUCUCAAGUUUAAGUUUUUUUUGUUUUUGGGAUCAGGCUCUCUUUAGGAACCUUUUGGCACAAUCAGCAUUUGAACUUACUAAUCUUCUUUUAUCAUUGUAAAAGUUUAAAAUGGCCAAGUCUACUAGUAUCCUACUGCUUUGUAGCACUCUAACCAUUAAUUUUCACUAACUAAGUCUGAAGCAUGCACUGUUUAGAGAUCUACUUCACUGGGACAUUCUCCAGUCAGCUCACUGUUCAUUAUCUAGCUCUUGUCAUAUUCCUUUACUUGAGGACAAGCAAAAGUUUAAGUGUGGGGGAACUUGAUAAGCACAUUUCUUAUAUAGAAUUUUGGAACACAAAUUCAUCAUUUAUUGAGAUAUAUUGUCGGUGACGGUUGCAGGGGCGCGGGGUUGCGAGAAGAGCAGGGCUAGUAGACAGCACAAAGAUCGUUUAUCCAGGUUCGGGCCGCGAGGAUGCGUAAAACCCUAGUCCUGGUUUGGUGGGUGUAUUUCAGAGAGUUCUUGAGCUCUCGGACUAGAUGUGGUCAGUGCAUGGUUCAAAAGAGCCGAAUCCUUCUCCAGUAUGUCAUGGGCCUCCUUUUAUAGUCGGAAGGGGCUGCCACAGUGGCACACAGGAGGUGGAAAGGCGUACAGUGCCCUGAGCUUAUCGCUCGUAUUACAGGUGAUAGAGGCGAGGGUGUCCCGAUCUUUCGAUGAGAUGAUAACUAUCGAUUAGGUGGAGUCGACUUUGACGAUCCGACUACAAACGUGCACGACGUUGCGCCUUAGCAAUCGCUAAACCAACUUCGAGAGGUUAUUGACCUCGCCGGAGCACGAUCAACCUGACCACGAAGGUCUAUUCCUGCAUGCAAUCAAAGAACAAGCAAGAAUAUGAUAAUGCAAUCUGAAUAUUGCGAAUAUAGAUGAAGUAUUGAUAAAGAUAGGGAUCCAUAAGCGGUCUUGGUCUGGUCGUUGGACACAAACGAAGUACACGAAGUUGCAAUGGCUAACUUUUAACUAAACAAAUCCCAAGCAAAAAGCUACUAGAUGGAUCUACUUAUAUAGGAGCAAGGGGUGGAGGCCAAAAAGGUGGGAGGACGUCCCAAGGCAGCCUAAAACCAACCCUAGGUCGUACAAGGCUCAUGGGCCCAAGUGGAGGUGAUGCAACACCUUUGGACUUGUUUUUGACUCGGAUUUUGCUGCAGCGUCAGAUUGUUUCGUCCAUAUCUCAAUGCUCCGGACGAAUUUAAAGGUGAAUCCAAUUGGGUUGGAAAGAGGACGAAAUUUACUUUCCAACAAAAAAAGAAUCACCCAAUUCGGAGUCCGUAUGAAAAAGUUGUUGGCGUUUUGAGUCAGGUAUGUCUGUGCAGUCCGAAUCUGAAUCCAGAACGUGAGAGACUUGGACUCUAUCUUCUCUUGGCCCAAAAGUGACGUGAGAGGACUUUUUGAAUAGAACCUAAACUUCUCCUUUUCCCCUAUCUUCAUAUGUGGAUUGUAUAAAUGUCCCAUACACCUGCAAUUAGACAAAACACAAAAGUGUGUGAAGUAUUUUUGUUCUGGAUAACAUAAAUAGAUUAUUGAAUAAUUUGCACUAGAAAUCACCUGACAAAUAUGCAUGUAUGCAAUAUUUUUGGUCGUAUCCAAGGUAGUCAUGUCCUCAUCAUCCUCCCCUUCUUGAAAAUAAAGCCGUCCUCGGCGUUGCUUAAUCUGAAAUGUGGCUAACAAAAGAGACAAGGUGUACAUGUUGUAUAUGUAUAUGUCAUCCAUUUUUACUUCCCGUGGAUUUUGCACAUAUGACACAUGUAUACAUGAGUAACUUUCAUAGUUAAUAAAAUAUAAAGCCAAAAUAUUAUUACAAGUAGAAGGCAUGAAAGUAUUGCAACUCAGUUUGCACAUAUAAGUGAAGCUCUUAUUCAUAUGAAAAGAUUGACAAUAUUCAUCAUUAAACCAUCCCAACAUUGGUGAAUAAACCUUACUUGCAUUAAAUUUACAUGCUACAACAUGCUUAAAUAAGCAAACAUGCAAUAAGUCAUUUGACACAGAAUCAUCACCAAGAUUAGAGGUCAUAUCAAAAUGAUUAAACAUUGGUUCUUUUGCAUCAACAAUUAAUUCAUUGGGUCCACUCAAAAUUGUUGGUAUUUCAGAUGUUUGAUCACAUGACGCAUUCAUGACAGUAACAUGAUUCUCUAGAUUAGGUGAUGCGCUCAAAUCAAUAGGUAACUCAACACAUGAUGUAUUCAAGUUAACUAGGCAUGCAUCAUUCUCAUGUGAAGUUAUAUCAUCAAUACCUUUACAGUUACCUUGUCGUAAAGAUGUAGCUGAUGUAGGUACGGAUGAUGGCAAUGUACCAUACUCUUGAGAUGAUGUCGCGCUCACAAUCUGAGGUGUGGCUGCUCUAGUAGGUGCGACGGUGGAGGAGCCAAGCGGUGGUGGUGAGCAUGAACUAGAAUAGUAGUUGUUGUAGUCAUCCAAUGCAUCCUCCUGUAACUGUCUCUCAAAGGUACAAGCACGAACAUACAUACCAGAUACUGAAAUCGUGCCUGAAUAUCAUGGUUCAAACCACCAAAAAAUCUAUUCAUUGUAUCAUCCUCAGAUUCUUCUAUGUCACAAUGAUGCAUAUAAGAUUUGAACUCUUGGUAGUAAGCAUGAACAGUGUCGUUGCCUUGUUUAAAUUGUUCAAAUUUGCAAAGCAAUUCACGACGAUAGUAAGGAGGGAAAAAUUAUUGUCUCAUUACCUCUUUCAAAUCUUUCCAAGUUGUGAGUUGGUUAUCAAUGUUUUUCUUACAAUGCACACUCCACCAAACAGAAGCAAAACCAGUAAAUGCUCUAGUGGCAGCUCGUACUCGCUCAAGUUCAGAAAAGUCAUGGUGACUAAAAACUUGUUCUACUUCAACCUCCCAAGCUAGAUAAAUAGCAGGAUUAAAUCUACCCUCAAAUGACGGUAAAGAGAUAACCUGACCAUGUACUUGUGUGUGUUGUCCCAACUCUUGUGAUGGUGAUGAUGUGUCCGUCGUCCAAGAACUUCUAUCUCCGGAACCUGUCAUGAUUAGUAGAAACAAGAAACAAAAUUCGAGAAUAAUGUUCUGAUGAACUACUAGGAUGUGGUUGCAAAGUGCUCACAGUAAAGAAAAUAUCAAUAUCUUGCUCGUUCUUCGAUUGCUUGCAGGAAUAUACCUUCGUGGUCAGGUUGAUCGUGCUCCGGCGAGGUCAAUAACCUCUCGAAGUUGGUUUAGCGAUUGCUAAGGUGCAACGUCGUGCACGUUUGUAGUCGGAUCGUCAAAGUCGACUCCACCAAAUCGAUAGUUAUCAUCUAAUCGAAAGAUCAGGGCACCCUCGCCUCUAUCAAGUGGUAUCAGUUUUCAGGUUGCUCGGUGAGAAUUUCCAGUUUCCCCUAGAUUAGAUUUAUUUUCUUAUCUAUUGUCCAAGAAAAAGCCACAAAAAAGUUAGAUCUAUUCAUCCUUUUGUCCAAGCCAGUCUGAGCCUUUGCAAUUUUCUUUUCAUUGUUUGCAUUAUUGAAUUAUCGGUUGCAUCGUCGUGUCGAAUUGCUGGUCUUAGGGUCUAGUUCGUUUAGAGUUUCGAGUUCUGUUCACAUUAGUCACGUCGCCGCUGCAUCGUUAUCCCUUCCGCUGUCCACCACACCAUCCAUCAAUUUCCACCACGUGCUACCCAUAGUUCAUUGUCACAAUCAUAGUUGAUGUCGUUCACAUCUUCGCUUGAUCCAAUCUGCAUCUUAUCUAGUUUGUCUUAGAGGGAGAGAAAAAAAGACAGAGAAAAAAAGAGAGAAAAAAAGAAAAAGAAGUCGGAGAAAAAAAAGAGAGAAAGAAAAAGAAAAAAAAAGUGUGAGGAAAAAAAGAGAGAAAAAACAACAAAAUUGUGUGAAGUAUCCAAUAUGCAUGCAUGCAAUAUUUUUGGUAGUAUCCAAGGUAGUCAUGACCUCAUCAACAGGACAAGACACAUUUAAUGCGUAGCUUAGGUGUCCCCUUGCUUUAUUGGGGACGGGGGCGAGGCUCGUCCCGUCCGUCGCCGCUCCUCCAUGCUUUGACACGUGCCCUGGCCAGUGAGGCACAUGGUGCCAUGUAGGCAGGCAGGCAGCUGAGGUGGCGCAGUGCCGGAGCCUUCACGAAGAUCUGCAUGCCGCCACGCAGGCGCUCGAUGAGUUGGCCUGGGAGCUGCAUGUUGUCACGCAGGUGCCCGCCCAGCUGGUUGGGCUGGCAGCUGCAUGUGAACGGCGGUGGAAGCUUGGUUGGCGUGGGCCUGGCGGUGGCCCUGCUGGCGUCCGUGGUGAGGGCCUUGCCGUGUGGCCCGGCAAGGGUCUUGCCGUGGCGCGCUAUCGUCCCCAGCGAGGGCCUUGCCGAGGGUCUGGUGGCCUUCCUCGGCAAGGAUCUUGCCGAGGAUCGUCGUCUUCUAAUUCUCAUCUGAUCUUGAAUAUGUCUUCACAAAGAUCUGCAUGCCACUACGGAGGUGCCUCCCGAGCCCUGGCCCAACGUGAUGUUGGAGAUCGUGGGCUCAAGGGUGGCCCGCUCUGUUGGUGCAGGGCGAGCUGUUCCGGCAAGGAUCUUGUCGGGGCUGCUGAGGCUGCCCCGGCAAGGGUCUUGCCGGGGGAACCUGCUUCAUCCCUCUGCUCUUUGUGGUCUUGGCCUUGACGUUGCUCUUAUUAUCUUGGGCUUUGGUCUUACCUUGGCUCACCUCCCCUGUUCUGCUUGGCGUGACCGUAGGCGCGGCUCCGACUGCCCGUGCACAGAUAUAGGGGUACAAAAACGCACCCCUUUUUUUGGACACCGACAGAAGCCCCCGGGCCUGGGCCACACAUAAGCGCGAUACGUUGUUGGGCCAGGCCCAAAACGUGCGCGGGCAGGCGGGGCGGUUUUUACCGCGGUAAAACUUUUCGCGCGUUGCGCUUCCAACGGCCCGCGCGGCGUGGAGGGGUGUGCGUGACGUGGGCGCCAUGCGUGGGACGGUUUCCACACGCAUGCGUCACAUCGCAGUAAAAAGGCGGCUCGCGCCUUCCCCGUAAAAAGAGGGAGGCGUGGAGGCGUGCUACCUCUUGAGCACUGCGUUGCUUUUCCCUUGAAGAGGAAAGGGUGAUGCAGCAAAGUAGCGUAAGUAUUUCCCUCAGUUUUUGAGAACUAAGGUAUCAAUACAGUAGGAGGCUACGCGCGAGUCCCUCGCACCUGCACAAUACAAAUAAAUCCUCGCAACCAACGCGACAAGGGGUUGUCAAUCCCUUCACGGUCACUUACGAGAGUGAGAUCUGAUAGAUAUGAUAGGGUAAUAUUUUUGGUAUUUUUAUGAUAAAGAUGCAAAGUAAAAUAAAAGCAAAGGCAAUAACAAAGUGUUGGAAGAUUAAUAUGAUGAAGAUAGACCCGGGGGUCAUAGGUUUCACUAGUGGCUUCUUUCAAAAGCAUAAGUAUUUUACGGUGGGUGAACGAAUUACUGUUGAGCAAUUGACAGAAUUGAGCAUAGUUAUGAGAAUAUCUAAGUAUGAUCAUGUAUAUAGGCAUCACGUCCGAGACAAGUAGACCGACUCCUGCCUGCAUCUACUACUAUUACUCCACUCAUCGACCGCUAUCCAGCAUGCAUCUAGAGUAUUAAGUUCAUAAGAACAGAGUAACGCCUUAAGCAAGAUGACAUGAUGUAGAGGGAUAAAUUCAUGCAAUAUGAUAAAAACCCCAUCUUGUUAUCCUCGAUGGCAACAAUACAAUACGUGCCUUGCUGCCCCUACUGUCACUGGGAAAGGACACCGCAAGAUUGAACCCAAAGCUAAGCACUUCUCCCAUUGCAAGAAAGAUCAAUCUAGUAGGCCAAACCAAACUGAUAAUUCGAAGAGACUUGCAAAGAUAACCAAUCAUACAUAAAAGAAUUCAGAGAAGAUUCAAAUAUUGUUCAUAGAUAAUCUUGAUCAUAAACCCACAAUUCAUCGGUCUCAACAAACACACCACAAAAAGAAGAUUACAUCGAAUAGAUCUCCACGAGAGAGGGGGAGAACAUUGUAUUGAGAUCCAAAAAGAGAAAAGAAGCCAUCUAGCUACUAACUAUGGACCCAAAGGUCUGAGGUAAACUAUUCACACUUCAUCGGAGAGGCUAUGGUGUUGAUGUAGAAGCCCUCCGUGAUGGAUGCCCCCUCCGGCGGAGCUCCGGAACAGGCCCCAAGAUGGGAUCUCAUGGGUACAGAAGGUUGCGGUGGUGGAAUUAGGUUUUUGGCUCCGUAUCUGAUCGUUUGGGGUACGUAGGUAUAUAUAGGAGGAAGAAGUACGUCGGUGGAGCAACGUGGGGCCCACGAAGGUGGAGGGCGCGCCCUGGGGUGGGGGGGUGGGCGCGCCCCCUACCUCGUGGCCUCCUGGAAGCUUCUCUGACGUAAGGUCCAAGUCUCCUGGAUCAUGUUCGUUCCAAAAAUCACGCUCCCGAAGGUUUCAUUCCGUUUGGACUCCGUUUGAUAUUUUUUUCCCGCGAAACUAUGAAAUAGGCAAAAAAAAAUAGCAAUUCUGGGCUGGGCCUCCGGUUAAUAGGUUAGUCCCAAAAAUAAUAUAAAAAUGGAUGAUAAAGCCCAAUAUUGUCCAAAACAGUAGAUAAUAUAGCAUGGAGCAAUCAAAAAUUAUAGAUACGUUGGAGACGUAUCAAGGCGCGACUCAUUUAUUGAACGGGGCCAGGGCGCGGUCUUCAAGGCAUCCACUCCCCACGAUCACGGGGUGGGGAGAGGUUGCUUCGCCCGUCCCCUCGGUUCUGCAUGUAUGCCACGCGUCCUCCAUGCACCUAGGGUGGCAAGCGGUGGAGGCGGGAAACCGGGCCGUCGCUGGUUGGGGCAGCGGGUCGGUCCUGAUUCCCCGUGGCUUUGGUGGCUGGAUUGGCCGAGUGAGGCGGCCGAGCCCCGUCCCCGCCUCCUUAUAAAGAGGGGGAAGGGGGGAUGGCAUCCCACACUCUUCCGUCAUCUAUCUCCACUCGCUUCUACUUCUUCCUUUCACUCGCCAUGGAGAAAGGGAAUCAUGGUCCCUCAACGGUGGCGGCGAGGGUCGCCGCCCGACAGCACGUCCCUCCUCCUCCUGAGCCCGCGGUGGUGGAACCGGCCGCGUGGGGAAGGGGGAGGGGGCGAGGUCGUCGGCGAGGCCGGGGCAGAGGUCGUAGUGCUCGGGGAAGAGGAGGACGGGGCGGCGCACCGGCUUCACCCCCGCCAAUGAUGCCUUUUCCAAUGGAAGGCCAUGUUGGAGACCAGCCCCGUGAAUUUUUCAUCAGGCUGCGCUGGCCUUCGCGUCGCCGUCUUCGUCUUCCCGCCCCGUUCGCUCGGGAGAUGGAGUGUGACCCGCCCCAGUCCCUCAGAUUGCACAUGAGGGGUUGUGGGAAUGGGGGCACGCGGGUCGACGUCGACUUCCCGGCUCCCCGGGUCAUGUACCUCCGUCAUGGGUGGAAGACGUUCGCUCGCAUCCACAGCCUAACGGCGGGGCUCGUCCUCUACUUCAAAUUAAUGGAGGACGACCUGCUCUCCGUCAAGGUCUUCGGCGACUUCGGGACUCGCCUGAAGUGCUGCGUGGAGAGCUCCUCCGAUGGAGAUUCCGACGAUGGAAGCUCUACCUCGAGCGAAAGUGAUGAGGAGGACAACGGGGCAGACGGCGGGGACGAGUCCGACUAGGCGUCGGACGCCUGGUGCCUGGGCGGGUGCGGCAGCAGCAACAUCUGCACUUGGCCGCUCCUCCGGCAGAGUUUUGCCGGGGGUGGGGCCAGCUCCUUGAACUUCUCGGGGCCGUCUCCUUGGGCGGCUGGCGUCGAGAGGCUGCGGAAGAGGAAGAGGGCGGGCGGCAACGCCGUUAACUCGGAGUACGCGGGCACCGACGCCUUCGUGGCGUACUGCCGGUCCUGCCGCCUCGUCUUCCAGCUCCUUUCCCGGCACCGUCAUCACCGGCCCGCCCCUGGGCGGUCACCAAGGUGUUCUCUUGGUGCUUUCUGCCGCUCGUAGCUCGCCUAGGCGCCCCUUUUGCCCUUUCGCCUCAUUGACCUGCCUCCUGAGGAGAGGGACAAGAAAGGGAUUACGGGCAUCUUAUCCUUCUUCUUUAGUUUGUAAGCCUGCGGGCCUUUGUUAAAUUUAGAACUUGUAAUCCCCUUGCUCAUGUUUUUCAUUUCGUACGAACUGUACCUGUAUGGGAUGUUUUUAAUGAAAAAGGGAUGCUUGCCGGGUUUUUCGUUCGUGGGUAAACCCCGCGACAAGGAGCGAAUCCUUGUUAUUGUUUAAGAUAAACGUUUUUCGCCCGGCAACAGGCCUUGCCGCCCCCCACUCCACUCGACCGUUCUCGCGCUCUUGGCGGAGGCAGGGAUGAAGUGGGCUUUAGGCUCCUCGUUCUACCUCCUUGCCGCCGCGGCUACAACCAAAUCCGGACCUAGGAAAUAAUCCUUAGGUAUAGGAAAAAGGGGAGCACGACAGCCUAGAGAUAAAAACGAGGUUUCACAUGCCCCAGUCCUGUUCUGAAAUGCAUGACAGAGGAUAAAAGACUUAUCUGGAUCUGCAGCCCCCAGCAAUCUCAUCUUGCCGCGGUUGGAACCUUGUGCUUGCAGCCCCCGGCAACUCUGGUUUACCGGGGUCGGGACGCCGGUCCGUUUUCUUUCUUCCAAGUAGCUCGACAGAAGUGCUCAUGUGCCCUGCGAACCAAAGGAGGACGGAAGAGAAACAGAUAGACGCGCAUUCGACCUCUAAGCUAGGGGUUAGUCGCUGCUGAGCACUAUCAACCCUAACCAAGGAAGAGACUCGACCUAGCAUGCAUGCUAUGACUGAGGGCGCCAGCGCUUCAUUUAUUUAUGCUCAGGGUCUGUGCCUGGCUUUGUACGAAGGGUUACAUGCCUUGCCGGCAAAGCUUGUACAAAAGGUGGCUUGCCGGGAGGCCCAGCAAGCCGCGCCUUAUGGGUAAAACUUGCGAAGAUGCUCGAUGUUCCAGGAGUUCCUCACUGGGAUGGCAUCUUCGGUCUCCAGGUGGACUGCGCCGGGCCUGGUGACUCGUAUUACCCGAUAAGGGCCUUCCCACUUCGGCGUCAACUUGUUGGCAUUCUCGGCCGACUGAACGCGCCGAAAAACAAGGUCGCCUUCCUCAAAGCUUCGGGCAUGAACCUUGCGGCUAUGGUAGCAGCGCAAGGCUUGCUGGUAGCGCGCUGCUCUCACAGCCGCCCGAAGACGAUCUUCCUCAAGGAGCGUCGCAUCAUCUUGGCGCAACUGCUCUUGCUCAAGCUCAUCAUAAGCGAGCACUCGAGGUGACCCGUAUAUGAGUUCCGUGGGGAGAACUACUUCUGCCCCGUAGACCAGGGCAAAAGUUGUCUGGCUGGUGGCUCGAUUUGGCGUCGUCCUGAUCGACCAAAUAACCGCCGGCAAUUCAUCAAUCCAGCGCCUUCCGCUCUUGCGCAGCUUGUCAAAAGUCUUUGUCCUUAGGCCUCGCAACACUUCAGCAUUCGCCCUCUCCGCUUGGCCGUUGCUCCGUGGGUGUGCCACGGAAGCAAAACAGACCUUGCUGCCGAGGUCUUGAAUGUAUUGCAUGAAGGUGUGGCUCGUGAACUGCGUGCCGUUGUCGGUGAUGACUCUAUUUGGCACACCAAAACGGCAGACCAGUCCUUUAAAAACUUGACAGCUGACUGAGCAGUCACCUUUCUCACUGCUUCCACCUCCGGCCACUUUGUGAACUUGUCGAUUGUAACGUACAAGUAUUCAAAGCCCCCGACAGCGCGGGGGAAAGGGCCCAGUAUGUCGAGCCCCCAGACCGAGAAUGGCCAGGAGAGAGGGAUUGUUUGAAGGGCUUGGGCUGGUUGAUGAAGCUUCUUUGAAUGAAACUGACACGCUUCUGUAACGCCCCGGAUCCGAUGCGCCAGGUGUCACACAGUUAUUCGCUGUCGUUGCCAUGUCAUUUGCUUGCGUGUUGCAUUUUGCCAUGUCAUCAUAUGCAUUUCAUAUCAUGUCAUCAUGUGCUUCGCAUUUGCAUACGUGUUCGUCUCAUGCAUCCGAGCAUUUUCCCCGUUGUCCGUUUUGCAAUCCGGCACUCCUAUGUCACCCGGCGCCCCCUUUUGUCUUCUUCUCGUGUGCGGAUGUUAAACAUUUUCGGAAUGGACCGAGUCUUUUCAAGUGGCCUUGGUAUACCACCGGUAGACCACCGGUCAAGUUUCGUUCCAUUUGGAGGUCGUUUGGUACUCCAACGGUUAACCGGGUAACCGCAAAGUCCGUUUUGGUAUUGCAGCAAACCCCCCUUUCAAACAGCCACAAAACCCCUCUAAGUCCCUGUCAUGCUCUCGGUCGUUCGAUCACGAUCGCGUGGGCGAAAACCGCACCCCGUUUGGACUCUCCUAACUCCCUCUACCUAUAUAAACACCCCCUCCCCGAAAUUUCGGAUCAAUUCCACCCUAACCCUAAUAUUUUUCCCUCCGCGCCGCCGGACGUUUCGUCCUCCGCAGCCGGACAUGUCCAUUUCGCCGCCGCCGCCGCCCGCGGCCAAUCGGCACGCGCCACCUGUCCNNNNNNNNNNNNNNNNNNNNNNNNNNNNNNNNNNNNNNNNNNNNNNNNNNNNNNNNNNNNNNNNNNNNNNNNNNNNNNNNNNNNNNNNNNNNNNNNNNNNNNNNNNNNNNNNNNNNNNNNNNNNNNNNNNNNNNNNNNNNNNNNNNNNNNNNNNNNNNNNNNNNNNNNNNNNNNNNNNNNNNNNNNNNNNNNNNNNNNNNNNNNNNNNNNNNNNNNNNNNNNNNNNNNNNNNNNNNNNNNNNNNNNNNNNNNNNNNNNNNNNNNNNNNNNNNNNNNNNNNNNNNNNNNNNNNNNNNNNNNNNNNNNNNNNNNNNNNNNNNNNNNNNNNNNNNNNNNNNNNNNNNNNNNNNNNNNNNNNNNNNNNNNNNNNNNNNNNNNNNNNNNNNNNNNNNNNNNNNNNNNNNNNNNNNNNNNNNNNNNNNNNNNNNNNNNNNNNNNNNNNNNNNNNNNNNNNNNNNNNNNNNNNNNNNNNNNNNNNNNNNNNNNNNNNNNNNNNNNNNNNNNNNNNNNNNNNNNNNNNNNNNCGACCCCGCCGCCGGCGCCCGCGCUGCCGCCGGCCAUCGCCCCGCCGUCGCCUGGCCUGGCCUCCCCUCCACUCCGGCCGCCGCCGAUCGACUCCGGCGAGCCGGCGCCCGAUCCAGAACGAGCCCGCGUUGACUUCGUUCCCCCCCUCGAGGUCGUUAUUUUUCUAAGUCCCCAGUUCUUAUUAAUAUGUGCACAUGUUCAACUGUGUGUAACUUCAUGCAUGUAGCUCCGAUUCGCGCGUAUAAUAUGUCGAAUUGUUCGUCCCGUGAUGCUCUACAUUUUGUUCAAUUGCACCAUGUUCAUUAGAGGUCAUCUUGAUGCCUUAAUCAUCGUUGCAAGAGGGCUAGUUGCUGUUAUCUGCUGAUUCUUAUCAGAACUUGGAGAUUUGUCAUUUUUGUAUCAUUUAAUCUGUGCAUCUUUUGGGCAUGACCUCUACAUGUGUUUUGAAGUAUGCCAUGCCAUCUUUCCAGUGGUGUAGUCCAUGUAUUUGUGUGAUCUCUGUGGUGACUAGCACAAGCACGCAAAGUAGGCCCCGUAAUAUUUCUGAUUUCAGGGACUUAGUGAUUUCUCUAAGUCCUUGUCUGCUGUAAUUUUGUUGCCUUGUUAACUUGAUGCUACAGAGAGAUCCAUGCAUAUUUUGGAGAUGUUCAGUAAGGAUGUUUUGUAGAUAUUGUUAUAAUUGAUCCAUUACUGCCCUUGUUUGCAAUUAUGGUGUGCCAUAGCAUGUCUCAAUCUUGCUCUACUUUUGCUAUAAAAUAUUUCUGGCAGAUUCUUAACAUGAUAUGCAAUCUUGCCAAGCUUAUUGUAAUUGAUCCAUACAUGCUAUGAUUAUACUCUUGCCAUGGUUAGCUUCAUAAACAUGCCAUCUUGCUGUAGAUAUACUUAGGUUAUCAUUCAUUGCUCUGUAGUGAGUGCAUCAAGCUCACAAAGAGGCCUACAUAUUAUAGUUUCUGCCAUGCUCUGUUUUUUGCCAAGUCUGAAACCAGAUAACGAAACUUGCUAUGUUCACAUGCUUGCCAUCAUAUCUUCUGGUCCUUUUUCGCUUAUGGUCAGUAAGGGACUUUUGUUAUAUGCUUUGAGUAGAUUCAUGCCAUGCCUUUCUUUGCUAUGUUAAGUCCCUGUAGCAUGUUGAUUUCGUGCUCUGAACAUUGCUACCUGAUGCUGUUUCUGUCAUGUCCAGUAAUUCUGCCAAGUCUGUGAACCUGUUAUUAUUUGCAAUCUUGCCAUGUCCUUUUGAGCAUUUUCUAUUGAUUUCUGGAGAUAGCUCAGUGUUCAUGUUUUGUUGUGCUUUACCUGUACAUCAUGUCCUUGUCUUUUGUUUUCAUGUUGAGUUGCUGUAGCAUAUUGUUUUGAUGCUUGCCAUAUGCCUAGUUGCUGUUUUGGACAGAUUGUUGCUAUGUCUUGUUUGGAGUGUAUGUGUUGCACCGUUGCUCCGUUUUGAGCAUGCUCUAUAUGAAACUUGCUUAGUUUUGCAUGUAGUCUCAUAUUAUCAUGUUGCAUCCUUGUGUUGAGGUGUGUGCUUGAUGUUUGUAUGCAUUUUGCACCAAUGCCAUGCUCAUCUUGUCUUGCUCAUAUCUUCUAGGCCGUAGCUCCGAAUCUAAUGAACUUUAUAUGUAACUUGACUAGAAUUUCGUGUAGAUCAUCAUGGUGCUCUUUAACUUGCUGUUUAACAACUUUAACUUAAUGCUUGUUCAGUUCUGGACCAAUUUUGAAAUUUGCAUAUGAGGACUUACCGGAAUUGUUAUGUGUUGUUUCCGGCCUCAUUUAAACUUGCCUUGAUGUGUUGCUCUUGUAUGCAUCCUUUCUUGCCGUGUGUAGCCUCAUAUUGCCUUGUCAUGCAUCAUUCUUGAUUGAGCAUCAUGCCUUGUUCAUGUGUGGUGUGUUUACCUUGUUGUGUGUUUCUUCUCGAUAGCUCCUGUGUCGUUGCGAUCGUGAGGAUUCGUUCGUCUUCGUGGCUUCAUCUUCUUCAUGGAUUCGUUCUUCUUCCUAGCGGGAUUUCAGGCAAGAUGACCGUCACCUUGGAUCUCAUUACUAUCAUUGCUAUGCUAGUUGCUUCGCUCUAUCGCUUUGUUGCGCUACCUAUUCACUUGUUCCUCAAGCCUCCCAUUUUGCCAUGAACCUCUAACCUUUGUCACCCUUCCUAGCAAACCAUUGUUUGGCUAUGUUACCGCUUUGCUCAGCCCCUCUUAUAGCGUUGCUAGCUGCAGGUGAAGAUGAAGAUUGCUCCAUGUUGGAUUAUGUUUAUGUUGGGAUAUCACAAUAUCUCUUAUAUUAUUAAUGCAUCUAUAUAUUUGGUAAAGGGUGGAAGGCUCGGCCUUAUGCCUGGUGUUUUGUUCCACUCUUGCUGCCCUAGUUUCCGUCAUACCGGUGUUAUGUUCCCGGAUUUUGCGUUCCUUACACGGUUGGGUGAUUUAUGGGACCCCCUUGACAGUUCGCCUUGAAUAAAACUCUUCCAGCAAGGCCCAACCUUGGUUUUACCAUUUGUCCAGCCUAUUUCUUUUCCCUAGGGAGUCGCUCUCUCGAGGGUCAUCUUAUUUUAACCCCCCCGGGCCAGUGCUUCUCUAAGUGUUGGUCGAACUGAGUAGACUGCGGGGCCACCUCGUGGAAACUCGAGGUCUGGUUUUACUCGUAGGAUGUCUCAUCCGAUGUUGCCCUGAGAACGAGAUAUGUGCAGCUCCUAUCGGGAUGUCGGCGCAUCGGGCGGCUUUGCUGGUUUUGUUUUACCAUUGUUGAAAUGUCUUGUAACCGGGAUUCCGAGACUGAUCGGGUCUUCCCGGGAGAAGGAAUAUCCUUCGUUGACCGUGAGAGCUUAUCAUGGGCUAAGUUGGGACACCCCUGCAGGGUAUUAUCUUUCGAAAGCCGUGCCCGCGGUUAUGUGGCAGAUGGGAAUUUGAUAAUAUCCGGUUGUAGAGAACCUGACACUUGACCUUAAUUAAAACGCAUCAACCGCGUGUGUAGCCGUGAUGGUCUCUUCUCGGCGGAGUCCGGGAAGUGAACACGGUUUCUGGGUUAUGUUUGACGUAAGUAGGAGUUCAGGAUCACCUCUUGAUCAUUGCUAGUUUCACGACCGUUCCUUUGCUUUCUCUUCUCGCUCUUAUUUGCGUAAGAUAGCCACCAUACAUUGCUUAGUCGCUGCUGCAACCUCACCACCUUAUCCUUUCCUUUCCCUUUAAGCUUUGCUAGUCUUGAUACCCAUAAUAAUGGGAUUGCUGAGUCCUCGUGGCUCACAGUUUACUACACCACCAGUUGCAGGUACAGGUUGUGCGAUGAUCAUGACGCGAGAGCGAUGUGUACUUGUUUUGGAGUUCUUCUUCUGCUUCUUCUUCGCUCAGGGGAUAGGUUCCAGGUCGGCAGCCUGGGCUAGCAGGGUGGAUGUCGUUUGAGUCUCUGUUUAUGUUUCAUCCGUAGUCGGAUGUUGAGCUUAUGUAUGAUGUAUUGAUGUAUCCUUGCGGCAUUUGUAUGCCUUGUAUGUAUCCCCAUAUAUUUUGUAAUGUCGAUGUAAUGAUAUCCACCUUGCAAAAGCGUUUCAAUAUGCGGGUCUAUCCUUGGUGGGACCUUCGAGUUCCUGUAGGAUAGGGUCGCAUAUUGGGCGUGACAGCUUCACACUUGGUUACUAGUGCCGUCGCAUCCUGGAGGGCGGUGGGCCAGAAAAAACCUUGUCGGAACGCCUUCCCGGCAAGGGCCCUUGACCCUAUGUGGGAGCCACAUAUGCCUCCAUGUAUCUCCGCCAACAGCUCCAGUCCUUCUAACUGGGGGAUGCACUUCAAUUUCAUGCCAUUCGGCCUUCUCCUGUACAGGACAUCAUCGACGAACUGGUACAGGGCGGACCGACGGGCUACUUUCUCCGCUUCUUCCUGCUCCUCAGGAAGCUCCCCUGUUUGGAGGAAUCGAACGGUAUGCUGCGCCCAUGCCGGAGCCCGGGCUCGACGACAAGGACCAAAGGCAUUUCUUCCGCCAUGGGAGCGGCUGUCUCUACGGCUAGGGCUUGACGCCCUGCCGGAGGUAGCUACUCUUGGGCAGGCUCGGCGUCCGUGGCGGCACCCUUGCCGGCAGCCCCAGAGGGUUCGGUAGGAAAGUACUUGCCGGGACCCGACUUCCUUCGCUUGUUCUGCCCCGUUGAUGGUUUGACGGAUGGUUGAGUUAGCUGGAGCAAAAAGGUACCUGGUUCCACAGGUAGCUUGAAUGCGGCACACUUUGACAGGUAAUCGGCGGUGUCGUUCUCCAUUCGGGGGACGUGCUCCGCUAGGAUACCGUCAAAGCGCUCCUCCAGCUUCCUCACUUCAUCUACGUAGGCUUCCAUCAAUGGGCUUUGGUAAUCCUUAUUGACCUGCCUGACAACAAGCUGCGAGUCACCCCUGACGAUGAGCUUCUUAACCCCGAGGUCUGCCGCGAUCCUGAGACCGGCAAGCAAUCCCUCGUACUCAGCAGUGUUGUUGGUGGACAUCUCUCGGGGAAAGUGCAUCUGGAUCACGUACUUGAGGUGCUCCCCGGUAGGUGCGACGAGUAGCACACCGGCAUCGGCGCCUUGCAGCGAGAAAGCCCCAUCAAAGUACAUGAUCCAGUCGCGAUCUUCCUCCUUGCCGGGGAGUGUGGUCUCCUGGAUUUCUUCGUCAGGUGUUGAGGUCCAUUCUGCAAUGAACUCCGCCAAGACUCUGCUCUGAAUUGUCGAGGUACUUUCAAACUUCAAACCGAAACUUGACAACUCUAAGGCCCACUCCACAAUCCUCCCGGUUGCAUCCGGGUUAUGCAGUAUCCGUUGCAAAGGGAGGCGGGUGACGACAGUGAUCUCGUGGGCUUGGAAGUAAUGACGCAGCUUCCUCGAGGCCAUAAGAAGGCCGAAGAGCAAUUUCUGCACACCGGAGUACCUCGAUCUAGCCCCCUGCAAGAGGGAGCUGACAAAGUAAACCGGGUGCUGCAUCAUCUUCUUCUUCUGCACCACCCCACUUGACUGCGCGGGCACUGCCUCGGUGGCAUCAGACUCUGCCGGGGGCCUCGCCUUGCCGGCACCAGGCCCUGCCGGGGGAAUCUUGGGCUUGCCAUCCGCUGGUUCUGCCGCCGUCACUGCCUCCUCGUUGACCUCCCUCUGUGCCACUAGCGCGGUGCUGACCACUUGAUUUGUCGCCGCCAGAUACAGCAGCAACGGCUCUUGUGGUUUAGGCGCAACCAGUAUUGGCGUGGAGGAAAGGUAUUUCUUCAGAUCCUGCAAUGCUUCCUCGGCUUCUGGGGUCCAUUCCAUUGGGCCUGCCUUCUUCAAGAUUUUGAAGAAAGGAAGGGCGCGCUCGGCGGACUUGGAGAUGAAUCGGCUCAUGGCGGCAACGUAGCCGGUGAGCCGACGCACAUCCUUGAUCCGCUUGGGCGCCUCAAUCUGCUCAAUAGCCUUGAUUUUGUCUGGGUUUGCCUCGAUUCCGCGCUGCGAUACAAAGAACCCGAGAAGCUUGCCGGAUGGAACGCUGAAGACACACUUCUCAGGGUUCAGCUUGAGGUUGAUCUUGCGCAGGUUGGCAAAUGUCUCUUCCAGAUCUUCCACAAGAGUUGGCCCGUCCUUGGUUUUGACUACUAUGUCAUCCAUGUAGGCCUCCAUAUUUCUAUGGAGCUGAGGUUCAAAACCAAUUUGGACUGCUCUUGCAAAUGUUGAGCCAGCGCUCUUCAACCGAAAGGCAUCCGUAAAAAGCAAUACGUACCACAUGGGGUGAUGAACGCUGUCUUUUCUUCAUCCUCUCUUGUCAUGAAGAUAUGGUGGUAGCCCGAGUAGGCGUCGAGGAAUGACAACAGAUCACACCCGGCCGUGGAGUCAACAAUCUGGUCGAUGCGCGGCAACGGGAAGGGGUCCUUAGGACAAGCCUUAUUGAUAUCUGUGUAAUCAAUACACAACCUCCACUUCCCAUUCGCCUUGCGCACCACUACCGGAUUGGCCAACCACAUCGGGUGGAGCACUCCCCUCACCAAACCUGCCGCUUCCAACUUCCUGAUCUCCUCCGUGAUGAACUCCUGCCUCUCCAGAGCCUGCUUUCUGACCUUCUGCUGGAUGGGCCGCGCAUGGGGGCUGACAACUAGGUGGUGCUCAAUCACCUCCCUGGGAACAACGGGGAUGUCGGAUGCUUUCCAUGCAAACACGUCGACAUUCGACCGCAGGAAGGUGACGAGCGCGCCUUCCUAUUUGCUACCGAGGGUGGAGCCUAUGGUGAAGGCCCCUCCCGUGCCAUCCUCCCUGGUGGACACCUUCUUGGUUUGCGGCGGCUCGGCUCUAGAUCUCUUGCUCUUGUCGGUAGAGCUCUCUGGCACGGCCUCGACGGCAGCACAACACUCCGAAGAGGUGCGCUUGCCGGAGUGGGUGCGAGAGGUCUUGCCGGGCUUCUUCCUCCCUCCCGGGGCUUCAGCGGCAGGAGCAGGUGCCUUGGCGGCAGCUGCUGCAACUGCCUCCCGGUAGAGUUGGUCGGCGCAAAUCAGCGCGUCCUUCUUGUCGGAGGGGACGGAGAUGAUGGUCAACGGCCCGAGCAUCUUUAGCAUGUUGUAGGCGUAGUGUGACGCCGCCAUAAACUUGGCUAGUGCCGGGCGGCCGAGGAUCCCGCUGUAGGGCAAGGGGAUCUCGGCCACGUCGAAGACGAUCCUCUCCGUCCUGUAGUUCAACUCUCCUCCAAAUGUCACGGGCAGUGUGACCUUUCCCUUCGGCUGGCUCCUCCCCGGAUUGACCCCUUGAAACGUGCCCGUUUCCUCGAGGUCUCCAUCAGGGAUUUGCAACCUUUUGAUCACGACAGGCGAGAUCAGGUUUAGGCCGGCCCCGCCGUCAACCAACAUCUUGUUCACCCUGAAGUUGCGUAUUGUUGGUGAGACCAACAAUGGCAAACACCCGACCGCGGUAGUGCGGUCAGGGUGGUCUUCGGCGUCAAAGAUGAGGGGCGUGCUGGACCACUUCAGCGGCUUCUGAGCGUCGAACGACGGCUCUUCUGCUGUAAUCUCACGCGCCCACUGCUUGAGCUAGCGGUGAGAGGUAUGCAGCGAGGCGCCGCCAUCGACGCACAUGGCCUCCGUAGCCUUCUGGAACCCUUGCUCACCAGACUCGUCGUCCUUGUCGUGAUCAUCGUCUUCUUGUUUCUUGUCGCGGCCCCGGGCGGGCCUCUCUUGCUGGUUGUCCUUGCCGGGGUAGCCUCCUUGGCCGCCACGCUUCUUGCCGGAUCCCUCAGCACCGUCCUGGUCCUUCUCCUUGUCCCGCCUCUCGUACUCAGCCUUUUGCUUCUUAGGAAGCAGCUCGACUUGUCGGCAGUUCUGGAGGUCGUGGCCCUUGGUGCGGUGGAUCUUGCAGUAUUGCUUGCCGGAGCUCCCUGGCUUGUCGGUAGCUGCCAAGGCCCGGCAGGCGGCGCACCAGGCAAUCUCCUUGUCGGGAGCGCCUGCCUUGACCUUCUUGCCGGCACCGGUGUCGCCAGAUCCCUCAACGGCAAGCACGGCCUUACCCUUGCGUUUCCUGUUGUGACGCCGGCCCUUCUUCGUCGGGGUAGCGGCGUCCUCAUCGGUAGAGUCGGUUUCCGCGCCGGCGUCUUCGCCGGGGUACUUCCUUCCCUCUUCAGCCCGGGCGCAUCUAUCGGCCAGAACGUAGAGCUCGGCCACAUCCUUAAUCUUGGUCAUCGCCAGCUCCUCGCGCAUCUUGCGAUUGCGCACGUUCUGGUGGAAUGCGCUAAUCACAGCGGCAGGAUGAACGUCGGGGAUGUUGUACUGCACCCGGCUGAAUCUCUGGAUGUACUUGCGCAGGGUCUCCCCUUCCUUCUGGGGAAUGAUAUGCAGAUCACUGGCCUGGCCAUGAGCUUGGUGGCCUCCUGUGAAGGCGCCAACGAACUCAUGGCAUAGAUCCGACCAAGAAGAAAUGGAAUCCACCGGCAAGUGCAUCAACCAAGACAUCACAUUGGGCUUGAGCGCCAGCGGGAAAUAGUUGGCAAGCACCUUGUCGUUGCGAGCCCCAGCCUGCAUCGCGAUGGUGUAGAUGCUGAGGAACUCAGACGGAUGGGUCUUGCCAGUGUACUUCUCGCCGACGUCGGGCUUGAACGUGCGGUGGGACGACCACUGGAACUGCUGCAGCUCACGGGUAAAGGCCGGGCAGCCCACCUCGUAAGGUAGGCCGCCGGAGCCCCCCGGUGCCGGGUGGUCCAUAGCGGGUCCCGCCCGCUUGUCCGACUGGCGGCGCGUUUCGCGCCGGCGCUCGACGGUGGUUCGAGCGUCUUUGUGAGCUCGUUCCCGAAGGACCUGGCGCUGGUCGCGGAGGGUCCGCGGGUCGGAUGACACUAUGGAGAUGUUAUCACAAGCGUCGUCACGACGGGCUGAUGCCCGCGGCGGCUGGCGAGGAGGAGGAGAGUGCACCGUGGGCGCAACUCCCCCGGUCCUCCCAGCGCCAGCAUGCGGUGGCUCGGUGGAGCGCCGACCCGAGGGUCCCGCCGGUCGUGGAUUGUCUUUAUUGGCGACGGCGAUGAGGCUUCGGGUGGUGGCCCUCCACUCGUCAAGCUUCUCCGCAGCAGGAGGGAAGUCGAGGAGUAGCUGUGCGCGCGCCAAAGCUUCUGCCGGCGUGGGCGGCGGCGACAGCUACGUGGAUCGCGGCGCGCUUCGACUUCUAACUACGUUAGAAGGAGCUCCGUUACAACCCAGCGGCUACGUGCCAUUUUCGCCAGCGCUUCGGCGGGCGUGCUGAACCCCUUCAUCCUGCGGACGACGCACUGGGCUCUUCCCACGGUGGUGCCCAGGGUCACCAACGCGGUGACGCUGCUCGACACGCACACCAUGGAAGAGCGCACAGUGGUCGCCGGUGUGGGCGUCCUGGAGGUCGCUGCGCCGCCCGGAGGUGGCACAACGACACCCCUGGAGGGCCCGCGCCGCCUACGGGGGGCCCAGCUCCGUCUUUGGAUCCGGCGACGUGUAGCCGGUCGUCUGGUGCGCGAACGACGUCGCUCGCCAGGCUCUGACUACCAGGGCGUUGCUGGUGCUCGCGGACCGCGACCCGGGUCCUGUCUGUGACCGGUCCACUGCCCGCCCGCACCGGCACGGGCCGUUCGGCUCCCAACGAGCCGACCGCCGUGGCUGUCUUCUUCUUAGGAGCCAUGGCGACGAAGAACUACUAGGCUAACUACUAGACCAGAUUCUCACAAUUGCGCCCCCUACCUGGCGCGCCAAAGAUGUCGGUGUGGAACGACACCUACGGGAUCACAAGAAUCCCUACUACGGUUGCCGGGGUGCGGGGUUGCAAGAAGAGCAGGGCUAGUAGACAACACAAAGAUCGUUUACCCAGGUUCGGGCCGCGAGGAUGGGUAAAACCCUAGUCCUGCUUUGGUGGGUGUAUUUUCAGAGAGUUCUUGAGCUCUCGAACAAGCUGUGGUCAGUGCGUGGUUCAAAAGAGCCGAAUCCUUCUCCAGUAUGCCAUGGGCCUCCUUUUAUAGUCGAAAGGGGUUGCCACAGUGGCACACAGGAGGUGGAAAGGCGUACAGUGCCCUGAGCUUAUCGCUCGUAUUACAGGACAAGAUGCAUUUAAUGCGUAGCUUAGGUGUCCCCUUGCUUUAUUGGGGAUGGGGGCGAGGCCCGUCCCGUCCGUCGCCGCUCCUCCUCGCUUUGACACGCGCCCUGGCCAGUGAGGCGCGUGGUGCCAUGUAAGCAGGCAGGCAGGCAGCAGAGGUGGCGCAGUGGCGGAGCCUUCACGAAGAUAUGCAUGCCGCCACGUAGGCGCUUGAUGAGUUGGCCUAGGAGCUGCAUGUUGCCACGCAGGUGCCCGCCCAGCUGGUUGGGCUGGCAGCUGCAUGUGAACAGCGGUGGAAGCUUGGUUGGCGUGGGCCUAGCGGUGGCCCUGCUGGCGUCCGUGGUGAGGGCCUUGCCGGGUGGCCCGGCAAGGGUCUUGCUGUGGCGCGCUGUCAUCCCCGGCGAGGGCCUUGCCGGGGGUCUGGUGACCUUCCUCGGCAGGGAUCUUGCCGAGGAUCGUCGUCUUCUAAUCCUCAUCUGAUUUUGAAUAUGUCUUCACAAAGAUCUGCAUGCCACCACGGAGGUGCCUCCCGAGCCCUGGCCCAACGUGAUGUUGGAGACCAUGGGCUCAAGGGUGGCCCGCUCUGUUGGUGCGAGGCGAGCUGUCCCGGCAAGGAUCUUGCCGGGGCUGCUGAGGCUGCCCCAGCAAGGGUCUUGCCGGGGAACAUGCUUCGUCCCUCUGCUUUUUGUGGUCUUGGCCUUGGCGUUGCUCUUAUUAUCUUGGACUUUGGUCUUACCUUGGCUCACCUCCCCUGUUCUGCUUGGCGUGACCGUAGGCGCGUCUCCGACUGCCCGUGCACAUGUAUAGGGGUACAAAAACGCACCCUUUUUUUUGUACACCGACAUAUAUCUAUCCAUUCUUGCUACGACUUGUUGAAUAUUCGAAUGAUAAUCAUAAAAGAGAAUGUUGACUAGUGAAUUGUUUAUUUUGCAGAAAAGUGCGCAAAGGCACUAUAAUCGUCAAGAUUUCUACUAUGUGGCUAACGAGAAGAGACAAGGGUAUGAAAGAAAUACGUCAAGGCCUGAGCGUGAAGGAAAGAAGUAAUGUAGGGGAGCAAACUAAAAGAAGAGGAGGAUCUUCUUGGGCAUAAAUGAAGAGAAGAGGAGGGCCAAUGUGCAAAUGUGGCAGAUCAGAGAGGGGAAUGAAAUCCCUAGCGGCACCUCAUUGCAAAUCGGGCCUGGCCACAUCUCCAUCUCUCUCCCCCUCACCACUUCUUCCACCACCGGCCGCCGCCGCGGCCAGGCCGGCGUGGCGGCGCGCCACCAACACCACCGCGCCAUAGCACCACCCAUAAUCUCCAUCCAUCUGCGCCUCCCGGCCACCCAUCAUUCCCUCCAUCCACAGCGCCGCCAGAACCCAUCCAUCAUCACCUCCAGCCGGCGCCGCCGCCUCGCCUACAGCCAUCUCCCUGCUGUCCGCUGCUCUCCUCUUCUUUCCAACCUUCUUCUCCUCACCAUGCUGCUGCUCCUCCCUCUCAAUCUCUACUGCUGCUCUUCCUUGCCCCCCCACCCCCCCGUGCUGCUGCCUCUCCUUCCCUUCGUUGCUUGCUGCUUCUCCUUUGAUCCCUUUGCUACUGCUCCUCUUCUUCGUGCCCAACCUCCGCUGCUGCUCCUCUUUCCUGCUGCUACUCCCUCUCACCACGCCUCUGCUGCUCUCUUUCCCCUCCUGCUGCUGCUCUCCUCACCAUGCUGCUUCUCCUCUUGCUGCUGCUGCCCGCCCCCGACCUCCUCCUGCUAUCUCUCUCUACUUCCCCUGCUACCUUUCUUCUCUGAACCUACCUACUGCUUCUCUCUCUCUCUGAAAUUGCUGUAGUACUAAGAUUUGUAAGACAGUGUACUACAACCUGUUAAUUGUUCAGUUCAGAUUUUUGCUUGUUUAGUAUUAUUCUGUUGAUCUGUGCUAAUCUUGUGGCUAGUAUAAUUUCGUUUCUGUUGUUACUUGUGUAACCUGAACCGUGGUUAGUAUCCUAUUUGCAUAUGUGUGUUUUGUAGUCCCUGUAUUAGUUACGUACCUGUGAUAUAUAAAUGUGUGUGUGCGUGUGUGUGUGUAAUUCAUCAAAAUAUAUUGUUGUGUGAUGAUGAUAUAUGUUCAGUCUAGAGACACGUUAUUUUUCUUGCUUUGUAGAUCGAUGUGAACUAGUACCCUUGUGUGUUUCUGUUGUCACUAGUUAAAUUGAUCACCUAUGUACUACUUGUUGUAGAAACUUGUUACAUUAGUCCUUGUGCUAGCUAUGCACCUGUGAUAAAUAUGUGUGUGAUGUGAAACAUUUCUGUUCUGUCCUAUAAUAUUGUUUCCUCCCUCUUUUGCUUGUCAUUAUGCUAUAUGUGUUCAUGUCCUAAUGUUUCCCUUUAUGUUAGUUUCUAAUUUCUCAUGCCUAAUAAAAAUACCAAAAGACAGCAAGUAAGAUCUGAUCCUCCCUUUGCUAUUUUGCCUUUUCUUUGUGGAUCAUCUUUGGGAGCAACCUUGUUUAGUUUAGGUUUAUUUUCUUGCAGCCAUAAUCUCAAUUGUGUUACCUAGAUUUAGCUGAGCAUAGUCGCCGUCGCCUAGUCCCUGCGGGGAACACGACACUCGCGAUUUGGGCGAAAUAUCCCACCACAUUUACAAACGAUCAGCGAGGCUCAUCGUCGUCCUUGCUAGGCGGCCCUUUCCCCUUGUGCUCGGUGUUUAGCUUACCGACCUGUUUGAAGACCCAACAAUUUUUGCUGGUAUGAUUGGCAGGCUUGUCAGGGGUGCCAUGGAUCUGGCAAGGCCGAUCGAGUAUUCUGUCCAAACUGGAUGAACCAUCUUUGUUUCCUUUGAAUGGCUUCUUUCGUUGACCGGGUUUAGAGCCACUGAAUCCAGCGUUGACCGCCGUAUCUUCGGUAUCUUCAUUGUUGCUUCGAAGCUUGUGUUUGUUGCGUUGUAGCCUAUCGUUGUCGUCUCUGGCUUCAAAGGUGCCAGGGUCGCCGGUGCUGUUGCUUCUGCGAGCUAGCCAGGGUCAUGAGUGCGGUAAAAGCUGCCAUGGACUUCGGUUUUUCUUGGCCGAGGUGUCGGGCGAGCCACUCGUCCCGGACGCUGUGUUUGAAGGCCACGAGGGCUUCGGCGUUCGGACAAUUGACAAUUUGGUUUUUUUAAUUAAGAACCUGGUGUAGAGUUUCCGGGCUGACUCUUCGAGUUUCUGGACUAUGUGACUGAGGUCAUCCGCAUCUAGAGGCCGGACAUAUGUUCCUUGGAAGUUGUCUCUAAAGGCAUCUUCCAAAUCUUCCCAGCUACGAAUAGAGUUUUCAGGGAGGCUGUUUAACCAGUGCCGUGCUGGCCCCUUUAGUUUUAGUGGAAAGUACUUGAUGGCAUGGAGAUCGUCACCGCGAGCCAUGUAGAUGUCGAGAAGAAAAUCUUCGAUCCAUACUGCGGGAUCUGUCGUUCCAUCGUAUGAUUCAAUGUUCACGGGUUUAAACCCUUCUGGGAACUGGUGCUCCACUACCUAAUCGGUGAAGCAUACGGGGUGUGCAGCGCCUCUGUAUCGGGCGACGUCACGACGGAGUUCGGAUGACGUCCGUAUGCGGUUUUCGGCCCGGGUAAGGUUUGUGCCUAUCGUGCCAGGCCUGAUGGCCGUCUUCUCGCGUUGGAGCACGCCCCCUUGAUCCAUACAUUGAUUUGGUUUGGCCUGCUCUAUUGUCCAGGUCCUGUCAUAGGUCGUAGGUGUAUCCUGGAGCCGCUGUCUCUCGGCCUCUACGGCGAGGUGGUGUGGGUUGGUGUUCGGCGUAGGUGGCCGCUUUAUCUCGCCCACGUGGUGGCCGGUCUGGUUCAUCAGCGCGGUCAUGUCUUGACAGUAUGGGCUCGAGUGCUUUGUCGUCAAAUUGCGGUAGUAGCCAAUGCUUCGGAUAACUCUUUGCUGGGUGUUGAAGGCCAUACUCUUUUACAGUUAGGACUUGGGUCCAUCUGUCAUUAAGUGUAUCAUGUUCGACCUGGAGCUGUUGUUGCUUUUUUAGGCUUCUCGCAGUGGCGAUUAGCUGGCGCUUAAAGCACUCCUGCUCGACUGGUUCCUCUGGCACGAUGAAGUCUUCUUCGCCGAGGCUCACAUCAUCCUCGGAGAUUGGUAGAUAGUUACUAUCCUCCGAGUCCUCGUUCCCGACCGGAUCGUCAGGGUUAACUUACCCCUCCUCCCAGUCAUCUUGUUUGGAUGUUGGCUCGACGGUGGCUUAGGGGGCUUCGGCAUUCUCCGGAGUGUUAUUGUCUCCGCUGCCGGUAUUGCUGUCUAUUUUGCAACACGAUUUUGAGCGGCGCCGCUGACGUCGACGCUUUGGUGGUGCCUCAGGAGGCUUGUCCUCGGGCGGAUCCUUCCUGCCGUCGCCGUCAUCCUCUUUGGGUGUGUCCACCAUGUACACGUCGUAUGUGGAGGUGGCCGUCCAAUGUCCAGUAAACGACGGGUCUUGGCCUUGUUCGUCUCCGGCAUCAUCGUUCAUGUCGUCGAUGUCUUCAGAGGCGUAGUCCAGCAUGUCGGUUAAGUCCUCGAAAGUGGCUAUGAAGUGGGUGGUGGGUGGGACCUAAAAUUCCCCGCCUUCAGCUCCUAGUCCGGGCUGGGCGUAGUUCGGAGGUGAUUCUUCUAUAAUGGCGAGGGAACGCAUUAGGUCCAGAGCCUCGUUUAAGAGCGAGGUUUGGACGGGGAAGCGAGAGUCCAUGGAGCUAGGCGGGGCAGAAGCCUCCUGGCCAUGCUCACUUGGCGUGGACCUCGAGAGUUCGGAGCUAGUAUCCGGGGGCGAGUCCGGCUUCCCAAUGACAGGGGGAGCCCAGUUUGACUCCGGGCUUGCCGAUGACGUAGCCCCCUCUGGAUCUCCGGUAGCGAGCUUCAUAAUUGCAGAGAGUCCGGUGGGCUCCAAACUCCCGUCUUCGGACCUGGUAGUUUGCUCCGGAUCUAAGGGCAGAGCAGUGGUCGGGGCCGUGAACCCUUCGAAGAUCAAGUCUCCUUGGAUAUCAGCGACAUAAUUCAGAUUUCCAAAACGGAUCUGAUGACCAGGGGCGUAGUUGUCGAUCUGUUCAAGAUGGCCAAUCGAGUUGGCACGCAGUGCGAAGCCGCCGAACACAAAAAAUUGACCGGGGAGAAAAGUCUCCCCCGAAACAGCAUUGUUGUAGAUGAUUGAACGAGCCAUCGAUCCUUCUGUCGACGGCACAGCGGAACUCUCAGUGAAAGCACCAAUGUCGGUGUCAAAACCGGCCGAUCUCGGGUAGGGGGUCCCGAAUUGUGCGUCUGAGGAUCGAAGGUAACAAGAGACAAAGGGGACACAAUGUUUACCCAGGUUCGUGCCCUCUUGAUGGAGGUAAUACCCUACUUCCUAUUUGAUUGACUCUGAUGAGUAUAGGGAUUACAAGAGUUGAUCUACCUCGAGAUCGUAAUGGCUAAACCCUAGAUAUCUAGCCUAUGUGAUUUGUGACGUGCUAUACGGACUAAACCCUCCGGUUUAUAUAGACACCGGAGGGGCCUAGGGUUGUAUAGAGUCAGUUUACAGAGAAAGGAAACUACACAUCCAGACGCCAAGCUUGCCAUCCACGCAAAGGAGAGUCCCAUCCGGACACGGGGGAAGGCCUUCUAUCUUGUAUCUUCGCGGCCCAUUAGUCCGGCCCAAGUCGCAUAGCCCGGAUGCCUGGGGACCCUAGAAUCCAGGACUCCCUCACCUUCCCUCGUUCAUCCUUUUCUCCCACAAGAUAAACUACUCAUACAAAUGCAUCUUGAUGUUCCAUGCAACGCACGGGCAUCUUGCUAGUAUACUACUCUCUUAUAUCAAUCUACUCUUAUAAAAAGCAGAGUUGGUGAUGAUGAUGUUCCUGCCAUCCUGCAAUGUAGCCCGUCUGAUCUAUAUCUAACGGAUAGGAAGGAAAUUAUGACAAUUUACCCGCACUCCUCUCCACAUUUGCAGAUAAGGCCUUCCCUCGUUCAUCCUUUUCUCCCACAAAAUCUUGAUGUUCCGUGCAACGCACGGGCAUCUUGCUAGUCUACACUCCUAUAAAAAACAGAGUUGGUGAUGUGUAACGCCCCGAGACCGACGCUUCAGACGCCUUCCAUGUAUUUUGUUGCCGCCGUGUGUUUUAUUUGUUUGUUGCGUUCUUCAUCGCAUCAACCGCAUUGCAUCCGCAUGUUUUCAUAAAACUCGUAGUCGUUCGUGGUUGCCGCUUCUCUCUUUGUCUCCGUUGACCUUUUGUCAGGUCUCUUUGUCCUUGUCAACCUCUCUCAGACCCCUCGCGCGCGUCCGAAACUUCUCCAAACCUAAACCGGACUUUCAUUACCGUUGGGUCCGGAUCAUCCUCAAACAUCUAUAAAUCAUCUCCGUUUUCUUAUUUGGACUCCCUACCUAUUUAUUUCUCAGCCGUCCGAUUAUGAUCGGAGGGACCAAAUAGUCUCACUUUAACCAUCUACUAUAUAUAUAUAUAUAUAUAUAUAUAUAUAUAUAUAUAUAUAUAUAUAUAUAUAUAUAUAUAUAUAUAUAUGGGCAAACCCUAGCCCUAGCUGUCCCAUCCAUGAAAUCCUCUGCCACCGCCGCCACUCCACCAAAUUCCCCUCGGGAUCCAUCCCCAACCAGCCAGCCUCUCUCUCCCUCCCUCGUUUUCAGCAUCAGACCAACCAGAGCGCACUCGAUCCAGAUCCUCUCCCGCCUCCGACCACCUCCCUGAUUUUGCGCCGCCGACCAUGACCAACAGCAGCUCCUCGCGUGCCCCUGCUCCUCCCCAAGCAUGCUGCAGCAGGCCGUCCUCACCGCCUCGCGCCCGAGGCCCUGCCUUCUCCUUGUCCGCGCCGACCGAAGCCAGCAGGUCGCCGUCUCCUCGCGCCCCUUCUCCCCUUUUCUCUGGUUCUCCUCUAACCUUCGCUCUCUGCUGCUCAGGAAUCAGCGCCGGCCGCCGCCGUCCCAUUCGUCUUCCAGCGAGGCGAGGCACCGAGCUCUGCCGCAAGUCCCUUUGAAGCUCGGCGUCGCACCGAUGCUCUGCUUCCUAGAGGACCUCGACGAGAGCCUCUCUUGCACCCCUCUGUCUCAUCGCCAGGACCUUCCCUGCGCCGCCGCUUCGUCGGAGGUGAGCUCUGCCGUCAAGCCAUGCCUCUGUGGCCUUCCUUUUUCCUCUCCUCGCGUCGCUCCUUGCUGACUGUCCAGUGACGUUUUCUACCUACAGAGACCACGCCGAGGCCCUCCUCUUCUUCUGAUCUGGCGCCGUCCCAGGAGCUUGCCGCCAGAUCCGGGCCUCCCUCGCCCGUAGCCUCCCCGUCGCGCCGCCCUUCGCCGAAGACCCAAGCUCCUCCAGGCCGCCCCGCCAAGUCCAUCGCCGUCUGAACCUCCCUGCUUCGCCAAGUCCCCUGCCGCGGCCUCUGCUUCGUUUGCAUCGCGCGAGCGAGGGCAGCGCCCGCGUUGACCGCGCCGCCAGCGUGCCUGGGCCACCGCCUCGCCCUUCACCCGCUUCAGCCCAGCAGCGCCAAGGCCGUGCCAGGCCUGCCGGGCCUCUCCACCGACUGGGCCUGGCCCAUGGUGAGCGCCCAGUCCGCCCAGAUUCGGCUCGUAGAUGUUUUUCCUAGUUCUGCGAAUUUAGUUAUUUUUCCAGAGGCUGCCAGUUUUGCAGAAAAACCCUUGCUGUUCAUGCAUUUAAUAACUAAAUAACCAUGCACCAUAUGUUAAAACUUCAAAUAUGAAAAGUGCUUAGAAUUUCAUCUAGUUUCAUAAUACCCAACUUUCAUGCAUGUUUAAAAUGUUUAACUUGCUGUUUGCAUUAAUUUGCUUAAAUGCCAUGCUAAAAUGAUUUAUUCCAUAGUUAAAUAACCGUAGCUUGGAUUUAAAUAAACUAUAUAUGUAAAUGGGGUGGAAAAAUGCAUAGAAUAACUUGGUUCACUUUAUUUUGAUGUUUAACAACUUUAAAAUAUGGUUUUAGGCAGAAUAGUUCCAAAUCUAAAAUAUGCAUAUGAGCAUUUUCCGGGAUUGUUGUUUGGUGUUCCGGCCUCAUUUAAACUUGCCUAAAUAGUUAGUUUACUUAUGCUUCACCUCUUGCCAUAUUAAUCAACAUUUAACAUUGUUGGGUACUUAACGGGAGCGAACUAAAUAACUUGAAUGUGGUGUUUCGUCAAUAUGCAACUUGUUACAUAUUGAGCUCCACUUAACUUGUAGUGUUGUUUGUGCACUUUGCCAUGCCAUGCCUCUUUAAACCGGAUAUGCAUCAUACUUGUUUGUGCAUCAUGCCAUGUCUAUGUGAUGUUUGUUUACCAUGUUGUUUGCUUCUUUCCGGUUGUGCUUCUUCUCGAUAGUUCCGGUUAUGUUGCGGUUGUGAGGAUCCGUUCGACUACUUUGGUUCGUCUACUUCAUGGACUCGUUCUUCUUCCUUGCGGGAUCUCAGGCAAGGUUACCAUUACCCUCGAUAUCACUUCUAUCUUUGCUUGCUAGUUGUUCGCUCUAUGGCUAUGUCGCGCUACCUACCACUUGUUUAUCAUGCCUCCCAUAUUGCCAUGUCAAGCCUCUAACCCACCUUCCUAGCAAACCGUUGUUUGGCUAUGUUACCGCUUUUGCUCAGCCCCUCUUAUAGCGUUGUUAGUUGCAGGUGAAGUUGAAGAUUGCUUCAUGUUGGAACAUGUUUAUGUUGGGAUAUCACAAUAUCUCUUAUUUUAAUUAAUGCAUCUAUAUACUUGGUAAAGGGUGGAAGGCUCGGCCUUAUGCCUGGUGUUUUGUUCCACUCUUGCCGCCCUAGUUUCCUUCAUACCGGUGUUAUGUUCCUUGAUUUUGCAUUCCUUACGCGGUUGGGGAUUUAUGGGACCCCCUUGACAGUUCGCUUUGAAUAAAACUCCUCCAGCAAGGCCCAACCUUGGUUUUACCGUUUGCCACCUAAGCCUUUUUUCCUUGGGUUCUGCAGACUCAAGGGUCAUCUUUAUUUUAACCCCCGAGCCAGUGUUCCUCUAAGUGCUGGCCCAAACCGGGCGAUGUCCGGCGCCCCCUGGGCAACCAGGGUCUAUGCCAACCCGACGUCUUGCCCAUCCGGUGUGCCCUGAGAACGAGAUACGUGCGACUCCUAUUGGGAUUUGUCGGCACAUCGGGCGGCUUUGCUGGUCUUGUUUUACCAUUGUCGAAAAGUCUUGUAACCGGGAUUCCGAGACUGAUCGGGUCUUCCCAGGAGAAGGAAUAUCCUUCGUUGACCGUGAGAGCUUGUGAUGGGCUAAGUUGGGACACCCCUGCAGGGUAUAAACUUUCGAGAGCCGUGCCCGCGGUUAUGUGGCAGAUGUGAAUUUGUUAAUGUCCGGUUGUAAAGAACUUGACACUUAACUUAAUUAAAAUGCAUCAACCGCGUGUGUAGCCAUGAUGGUCUCUUUUCGGUGAAGUCCGGGAAGUGAACACGGUUCUUGUGUUAUGGUUGUGCGUAAGUAGUUUCAGGAUCACUUCUAGCUUCACGACCGUUGCGUUGCUUCUUUUCUCGCUCUUUAUGUGCGUAUGUUAUCCACCAUAUAUGCUUAGUGCUUGCUGCAGCUCCACCUCACUACCUUCUUCUACCAAUAAGCUUAAAUAGUCUUUCUCGCGGGUGUGAGAUUGCUGAGUCCUCGUGACUCACAGAUUCUACCAAAACAGUUGCAGGUGCCGUUGAUACCAAUGCAGGUGACGCAACCGAGCCCAAGUGGGAGUUUGACGAGGACCUUGGUCGUUACUAUGUUUUAUUUUCCGGAUGAUUAGUAGUGGAGGCCAGUUGGGACGAUCGGGGAUCUAGCAUUUGGGGUUAUCUUCUUUUAUUUUGGUUCCGUAGUCGGACCUUGAUUGUAUUCUGGAUGAUGUAUGUUUAACUUGUUAUUUGUGUGAAGUGGCGAUUGUAAGCCAACUCUUUAUCCCAUUCUUGUUCAUUACAUGGGAUUGUGUGAAGAUGACCCUUCUUGCGACAAAACCACCAUGCGGUUAUGCCUCCAAGUCGUGCCUCGACACGUGGGAGAUAUAGCUGCAUCGUGGGUGUUACAAGUUGGUAAUCAGAGCCAUCCCCGACUUAGGAGCCCCCUGCUUGAUCGAAUCGCUGGCAUUGUUGAGUCUAGAACAAAAAUGUUUUGAGUCUUAGGAUUAUAUAUAUCGGAGAGUAUGAUUCUUUUUACUCCUCAGUCCCUUCGUCGCUCUGGUGAGUCCUCCUGACGUAGAUGUUUGGACUUUCCUCUCCUCAAAUUUCACGGAUUUUUUUAGGAUCACGCGGGUAUCUUGGAAUCGUUUCGAUAGUUUUGUGAUGAGAACAUUGUUCUUGGUGCCUCCUGACAUUUAGGGGUUGUGGCAGUGUCCCGAGGAGUUGAGCUCCGAGGUGUUGUCGUCACAAUUUUAUCGUUGCAGUUCUGGAAUACCUGAGUUUCGCCGACAUCGAAAAUCUCUUUUAUGCAGUUGUUGGUGAGAUCACCUCCAGACGCCACCCAGUACUGGGGCCGGAGUUCGGGGGUAUUGCCAUAACUCGUAUAACGGAUGCUUUUCGAAGGUUGAGGUACACGAUUUCUGGAGUUUUUCUUGGUUAUGUGUUGACGGAUGGAUACAGCUGGAUCUAGGUAUUGUUAGUUUGGGUGAGAUAUAUUGCGUCCCCUGUAUCCCCAACACCAGAUCGGAUAACCAGAAAGUUUCGGGAGUUUAUAAGUGGGAAUUCAAGUAUCUCGUAGGAUAUCUUUCCAACACACACAUGAUACGAUAUGGGAUCUAUCAUAUGUUUGUUUCCGGCUUAUUCUGCAAGCCAAAUCUUUUGUUUUUGUUUUGUUUUGUGGUAUUCGAGUUGCUUCAAUGCCAAGUGUUGAUUCCAUACCUUAUUCUAAGUGGUGUUCUCAUAUUUUUAUGUGGAUGCUAAUCCUUCUUGAUCAUCAAGGUUGUCUUUUCAAUUCUUUCCAACCGGUGUGCUUCUCUUCAAGUAAAUCCGAUCAUUCCAACAUUCACAAGAUCAAUUCUAAGCUUUUUCUCAACGGUGUUUGUUUCAUCCGACCCAAGUUGCCUUUGUUUUCCCACCCUCCCACCCUUUUCUUCAAGGACUCAUAUUUCUUAAUCAAGUAUCCUUUUUAUUGAUGUGAAGUCUCUUCAUUCUUUUCCUCCUUGUUCUUAUCCGGUGAUUCUCAGGAAGAUACUAAUGGAGCUUCAAGUUCAUCAUUCUUCGUUCUUUUCUUUUCUGGUGGAUUAAAUUCAAGCCUUCAGUGUUGAUCACAUUCCUUUCCUCGUUUCAAAUGCUUUCUCAUGCCGGUGCAACUCUUAAUCAUUCUUCGCGUGCUAUUCAAUUGUUCCGGAGUGCUGAAGAUAUCCCAGAAGAUUCAAGUUUCUAUUCGAAAUCCUUUCAAGCUAUUUCGAGGUCUUACCUUAUUCAAGCCAUUUAAUUCAACAGGCGCAAUCUUUCUUUUAAUCGUUCAACGGUGUACUUUUUUGAGUGGGCCCUAACCCACAGGUCUUUUCCCAGGAUCUUACCUGACUCUUCUAAUUUUUCCGGAGCUAUUCCCAAAUUCUUUUCGAAGUUUGACGUAAGAAUGAUUUACCAUCAGUCAAAUGUCUUUCUCCAAGAUCUUUCAAAUUCUUUUCAUCAUUGGUUCAACCUUUAUAUUCUUCAUUCCGGAGUGCCUCAACAAUUCAUGGUGGUUCCCAUCAUCAUUCUCAACAUUUGAAGACCGAGGAAGAAUUUCUCCUUAAUCUUGGUCCGUUCUCUUGAAGAUUCAUAGUUCUAGCUUGAUGCCAUCCUCUCAUAAUUGUUUUCGAUUGUGAGAAUUCUUUUCACACAUCCGGAGCAUUUCAGGAGUCUUUUCAGUUUGAUUCUCCGGAGCCCAUCAUCUCAGAAUUAUUCAUUCAAGCUUUCAGCUCUCGUUCUCCAAAUCAUACCGGUGCAUCAUUCAAGUAUUAUCUAAUCAGCUCGGGAUCUCUGCGUUCACUUGUAUCUAAAUUCUCUCAAGUAUCUUAGUUCAUUUUCUAAUUCUUCCCGGUGUUUCCUUAUCUUUUGUUCGUUCCUUUUCAAUUCUUACGGUGGUUCGUUCAAGAGUUCUCUUCCUUCGUUAUCAUAUAGAUUCAUUCAUACUUUCCAAUCCUACCGGUGGUUCGUUGAAGACCUUACCAAGUUUGCGCCAUAUCUAUCUUAAUCCUUUCUACGAGAAUAAGUAGUAUGCCAAAUCCAUUGCUUGUCAUCAAUUUAAUUGGUGAAGGAUGAGCAUAAUGUAAUUCUUAUUCUUGUUUCAUCGAGUAAAUUCAAUUCCUUAUUUAGGAGGUUCAUCAAAAUUCUUCAUUUCAUUUGUUUAUCUUUCUUUCCGGGGUUCCAAGUUUUCUCGGUUAUAUCAUUUCAAAGCUUCAUCUUAUCACUGCAAGGCUUCACCUUGUGUUUUCAACCUCUCUUUCUUUCUAUCAUCCUUUUAUUACAAGAGUUCUUCAUGGUGGUUCGUCAAGGAUUUAAUUCAUUCUCGAAGUGUUCUCAAGAUUCUUGUUGGAAGAGCUCAAAUAUUCUUCUUCCUGCAUUCCAAAGUGCAAUUCGUUCUACCUUAUCAUUUGAGAUGGUGAUAUGUCAUUCUUGACAAUUUCUUUUCAUGUUUCAUGAUUCUCAUGUUGUCAAGAAUGAGAUAUUUUAGAUCCAUCAAUCUCUUCAUUGGAGUUAUCUUGUGUCAUAUUUCACCUAAAGCCUUCCCUAAGGGAUGUUGCCAAUUGUGGUGCUUAUCAAUGAUCCAAGUUUUCUCCUAUUCUCUCGGCGAAUCAAGUUUCCAUCUCCGUGUUGCUCUCAAGCAAUCAAUUGUUUUCCGUAGUGGCAUGUAUUCACCUCUAAGUUUUGAGUUGUUUCCAUAAGCCCACUACAAGUUUAUUCUUUUCGUUGUUGGUUUUCCAACAACUCCGUUCUAUCCUUCUUUUUAAGGAUGCUAUAUCAAAUUCAUUUGAGGUAGAAGAUGUUAUUGUCUUCCCCGUUCUUUUCAUUCCAUGUUCAAGCGGAGUGCUGUCAAAACUAUGUCAUUCUUGUUCCUUGGCUAUCUCGUUAUACCGGGGUGAUUUCAUAUUCUUUCGGUUCGUUAAGCCCUUGUUUCAUGUCUUUCAACCCACAAGGUUCUCAUAGUGUUUCUUGUUCCUCUUUUCUAUCGGAGUGUUUUCAACUUUGUUCAUCUUCAUUGUAUUCUUUCUUUCAAGUUGUCCAACCUCUCCAGGUUCGUGGUUCACUCGUUUGCCAAAGAAGCAACUUUGUUUUACCUCUUCCUCUUCCACUUCUCUCCGGUGCCAUCCUAGAUCUCGGGACGAGAUCCUCUUGUAGCGGUGGAGUGUUGUAACGCCCCGAGACCGACGCUUCAGAUGCCUUCCAUGUAUUUUUUUGCUGCCAUGUGUUUUAUUUGUUUGUUGCAUUCUUCAUCGCAUCAUCCGCAUUGCAUCCGCAUGUUUUCAUAAAACUCGUAGUCGUUCGUGGUUGCCGCUUCUCUCUUUGUCUCCGUUGACCUUUUGUCAGGUCUCUUUGUCCUUGUCAACCUCUCUCAGACCCCUCGCGCGCGUCCGGAACUUCUGCGAACCUAAACCGGACUUUCGUUACCGUUGGGUCCGGAUCAUCCUCAAACAUCUAUAAAUCAUCUCCGUUUUCUUAUUUGGACUCCCUACCUAUUUAUUUCUCGGCCGUCCGAUUAUGAUCGGAGGGACCAAAUAGUCUCACUUUAACCAUCUACUAUAUAUAUAUAUAUAUAUAUAUAUAUAUAUAUAUAUAUAUAUAUAUAUAUAUAUAUAUAUAUAUAUCUGGGCAAACCCUAGCCCUAGCUGUCCCAUCCAUCAAAUCCUCCGCCGCCGCCGCCACUCCACCAAAUUCCCCUCGGGAUCCAUCCCCAACCAGCCAUUCUCUCUCUCCCUCCCUCGUUUUCAGCAUUAGACCAACCAGAGCGCACCCGAUCCAGAUCCUCUCCCACCUCCGACCACCUCCCUGGUUUUGCGCCGCCGACCAUGACCAACAGCAGCUCCUCGCGUGCCCCUGGUCCUCCCCAAGCAUGCUCCAGCAGGCCGUCCUCACCGCCCCGCGCCCGAGGCCCUGCCUUCUCCUCGUCCGCGCCGACCGAAGCCGGCAGGUCGCCGUCUCCUCGCGCCCCUUCUCCCCUUUUCUCUGGUUCUCCUCUAACAUUCGCUCUCUGCUGCUCAGGAACCAGCGCCGGCCGCCGCCGUCCCGUUCGUCUUCCAGCGAGGCGAGGCACCGAGCUCCACCGCAAGUCCCUCUGUAGCUCGGCGUCGCACCGCUGCUCUGCUUCCCAGAGGACCUCGACGAGAGCCUCUCUCGCGCCCCUCUGUCUCGUCGCCAGGACCUUCCCCGCGCUGCCGCUUCGUCGGAGGUGAGCUCCGCCGUCAAGCCAUGCCUCUGUGGCCUUCCUUUUUCCUCUCCUCGCGUCGCUCCUUGCUGACUGUCCAGUGACGUUUUCUACCUACAGAGACCAUGCCGAGGCCCUCCUCUUCUUCUGAUCUGGCGCCGUCCCAGGAGCUUGCCACCAGAUCCGGGCCUCCCUCGCCCGUAGCCUCCCCGUCGCGCCGCCCUUCGCCGAAGACCCAAGCUCCUCCAGGCCGCCCUGCCAAGUCCAUCGCGGUCUGAACCUCCCUGCUUCGCCAAGUCCCCUGCCGCGGCCUCUGCUUCGUUUGCAUCGCGCGAGCGAGGGCAGCGCCCGUGUUGACCGCGCCGCCAGCGUGCCUGGGCCACCGCCUCGCCCUUCACCCGCUUCAGCCCAGCAGCGCCAAGGCCGUGCCAGGCCUGCCGGGCCUCUCCACCGACUGGGCCUGGCCCAUGGUGAGCGCCCAGUCCGCCCAGAUUCGGCCCGUAGAUGUUUUUCCCACUUCUGCGAAUUUAGUUAUUUUUCCAGAGGCUGCCAGUUUUGCAGAAAAACCCUUGCUGUUCAUGCAUUUAAUAACUAAAUAACCAUGCACCAUAUGUUAAAACUUCAAAUAUGAAAAGUGCUUAGAAUUUCAUCUAGUUUCAUAAUAUCCAACUUUCAUGCAUGUUUAAAAUGUUUUACUUGCUGUUUGCAUUAAUUUGCUUAAAUUCCAUGCUAAAAUGAUUUAUUUCAUAGCUAAAUAACCGUAGCUCGGAUUUAAAUAAACUUUAUAUGUAAAUGGGGUGAAAAAAUGCAUAGGAUAACUUGGUUCACUUUAUUUUGAUGUUUAACAACUUUAAAAUAUGGUUUUAGGCAGAACAGUACCAAAUCUAAAAUAUGCAUAUGAGGAUUUUCCGGGAUUGUUGUUUGGUGUUUCGGCCUCAUUUAAACUUGCCUAAAUAGUUACUUUACUUAUGCUUCACCUCUUGCCAUAUUAAUCAACAUUUAACAUUGUUGGGUACAUAAACGAGAGCGAACUAAAUAACUUGAAUGUGGUGUUUCGUCAAUAUGCAACUUGUUACAUAUUGAGCUCCACUUAACUUGUAGUGUUGUUUGUGCACUUUGCCAUGCCAUGCCUCUUUAAACCGGAUAUGCAUCAUACUUGUUUGUGCAUCAUGCCAUGUCUAUGUGAUGUUUGUUUACCAUGUUGUUUGCUUUUUUCCGGUUGUGCUUCUUCUCGAUAGUUCCGGUUACGUUGCGGUUGUGAGGAUCCGUUCGACUACUUUGGUUCGUCUACUUCAUGGACUCGUUCUUCUUCCUUGCGGGAUCUCAGGCAAGAUGACCAUUACCCUCGAUAUCACUUCUAUCUUUGCUUGCUAGUUGUUCGCUCUAUCGCUAUGUCGCGGUACCUACCACUUGUUUAUCAUGCCUCCCAUAUUGCCAUAUCAAGCCUCUAAGCCACCUUCCUAGCAAACCGUUGUUUGGCUAUGUUACCGCUUUUGCUCAGCCCCUCUUAUAGCGUUGUUAGUUGCAGGUGAAGUUCAAGAUUGCUCCAUGUUGGAAUAUGUUUAUGUUGGGAUAUCAAAAUAUCUAUUAUUUUAAUUAAUGCAUCUAUAUACUUGGUAAAGGGUGGAAGGCUCGGCCUUAUGCCUGGUGUUUUGUUCCACUCUUGCCGCCCUAGUUUCCAUCAUACCAGUGUUAUGUUCCUUGAUUUUGCGUUCCUUACGCGGUUGGGGAUUUAUGGGACCCCUUGACAGUUCGCUUUGAAUAAAACUCCUCCAGCAAGGCCCAACCUUGGUUUUAACAUUUGCCACCUAAGCCUUUUUCCCUUGGGUUCUGCAGACUCAAUGGUCAUCUUUAUUUUAACCCCCCGGGCCAGUGUUCCUCUGAGUGCUGGCCCAAACCAGGCGAUGUCCGGCGCCCCCUGGGCAACCAGGGUCUAUGCCAACCCGACGUCUUGCCCAUCCAGUGUGCCCUGAGAACGACAUACGUGCGACUCCUAUCGGGAUUUGUCGGCACAUCGGGCGGCUUUGCUGGUCUUGUUUUACCAUUGUCGAAAAGUCUUGUAACCGGGAUUCCGAGACUGAUCGGGUCUUCCCGGGAGAAGGAAUAUCCUUCGUUGACCGUGAGAGCUUGUGAUGGGCUAAGUUGGGACACCCUUGCAGGGUAUAAACUUUCGAGAGCCGUGCCCGCGGUUAUGUGGCAGAUGGGAAUUUGUUAAUGUCCGGUUGUAGAGAACUUGACACUUAACUUAAUUAAAAUGCAUCAACCGCGUGUGUAGCCGUGAUGGUCUCUUUUCGGUGAAGUCCGGGAAGUGAACACGGUUCUUGUGUUAUGGUUGUGCGUAAGUAGUUUCAAGAUCACUUCUAGCUUCACGACCGUUGCGUUGCUUCUCUUCUCGCUCUUAUUUGCGUAUGUUAUCCACCAUAUAUGCUUAGUGCUUGCUGCAGCACCACCUCACUACCUUCUCCUACCCAUAAGCUUAAAUAGUCUUGAUCUCGCGGGUGUGAGAUUGCUGAGUCCUCGUGACUCACAGAUUCUACCAAAACAGUUGCAGGUGCCGUUGAUACCAGUGUAGGUGACGCAACCGAGCUCAAGUGGGAGUUUGACGAGGACCUUGGUCGUUACUAUGUUUUCUUUUCCGGAUGAUCAGUAGUGGAGCCCAGUUGGGACGAUCGGGGAUCUAGCAUUUGGGGUUAUCUUCUUUUAUUUUGGUUCCGUAGUUGGACCUUGAUUGUAUUCUGGAUGAUGUAUGUUUAACUUGUUAUUUGUGUGAAGUGGCGAUUGUAAGCCAACUCUUUAUCCCAUUCUUGUUCAUUACAUGGGAUUGUAUGAAAAUGACCCUUCUUGCGACAAAACCACCAUGCGGUUAUGCCUCCAAGUCGUGCCUCGACACGUGGGAGAUAUAGCCGCAUCGUGGGUGUUACAUGAUGAUGGUGUGCCUGCCAUCCUGCAAUACAGGUCGUCCGAUUUAUAUCUGACGGAUAGGAAGGAAACUAUGGCAAUUUUGCAAAAAGGUACCCACACACCUCUCCGCAUUUGCAAAUAAGGCCUUCCCUCGUUCAUCCUUUUCUCUCGCAAGAUAAACUAAUCUUAUAAAAAACAGAGUAACAGAGUUGGUGAUGAUGGUGUGCCUGCCAUCCUGCGAUAUAGGCCGUCCAAUUUAUAUCUGACGGAUAGGAAGAAAACUAUGGAAAUUUUGCAAAAAGAUACCUACACCCCUCUCCACAUUUGCAAAUAAGGCCUUCCAUCGUUCAUCCUUUUCUCUCACAAGAUAAACUACUCAUACAAAUGCAUCUUGAUGUUCCGUCCAACGCACGAGGAUGUUUCCUUGGGGGUCUCUCCAGCGCGGCGUGGCCGUAGUUGCAAGUUGACGCCCCUUGAGAUGCCGAUGUUCAGGGGCACUCAGAUUUUGUCCAAUGAGCAGGUAAGAUGAGUUUGAUCACGUAGUAAAUGCAUUCUAAAGACUACUUCCGUGUCUAUUUCCUAAUUCUCCCCCUACCCACUGUUUCACAGGUUAGGCUCGGUGCGAGUGGAGAUUGGCUUGCAUAUGUACGAGAGGGUACCAACAUCAAUUUGCACAACAUUUACAAUGGUGACACCGUUCCCGUAGAACCUUUGUCCAACAUUGGGAUCAGCCAUGCAACGGGCCACCGCCUGAAUUGGUACGAUGGAACCACGAUGAGAUUGAAGAAGAUAGCACGGACCUUGCAGAUGGCGGCCAAAGGUGGACCAUGCUGUCUGCGGCCGAUUUGUUGCCGUACGAGUACGAAGACGCUGUGCUCCUUUCUAACCACAUCUUCGCGGUGACUUAAACCAGGGGACUUAUUUCGUAUGGGACACAUCCUACGGUAUACUCCCUCUCUCCCAGUUUAUUUGUUUUGAAUUUUUUCGUUUUAUAAGCUUCAAAUUCAAAUUUAUUGCUCCCCAUCACAUGUUGAGAUUACAAUGUCCAUUAAAUCGUUGCGUGCAUGUAUAGUAAAGAAACAAAUCUUGAGUUUGGCACGAGUUCAUGCAGCGUAGCACCACAAGGCCUUGCGCAGGAGUUACAUUUCCCUCUCGGGGCCCUUGGGACUGAGCUUCAAUGCCUUACUACACCUGCCUUUGAGUCAAUAACAUGUGAACCCGAUAGGUGGCUGGUCCACAUGUAAUGCUCCCGAAGGCAGAGGGGCAGUGGGGCCGAGAGGGGUGAGCCACAGGUCGGGGGACGUGUGGUGUCAUGGGUUCGAGCUGCGUCGUGGGAAUCGCAUGUGGCUGUGGUAGAAACUUGAUGCUCGCCGCAUUUCAGGUGGCCCACAUGUCAAGCACACAAAGGAAGAGGGGCGGUGCAGCCGAGAGGGGUGAGGCGCGAGUCGGGGGAUGUGGUGCCGUGGGUUGGAGCGGCAUCGUGGGAAUCGCAAGUGGCAGUGGAUGAAACGUGAUGGUCGCCGUAGUUGAACUUCCAUGGACAAGAUGUCAUGUCUAUGGACACAUGCAUUGCAUACCGAUAACUGGAAGGAGUAGUAGUAGAGAAAGCUAGGGGGAUAAAUAGUUCCUUAGAGUCCAGCGGACCCAUGCUACUACUUGUUUCAAAGACAUGCACACCAUCGAAAUAGUCCAUCUAUAUCAAUAUACACACAGAGGGAAUAAUUUUUUUACAAGAGAGGAAAUAGUUCAUCCAUCCAUAAUGCCCUGCUGCUGGUGCAGCUUCUUCUUCUUCUUCUUCUUCUCAUUUUCUGUGGGAGACGGCUUCGCAACAAGCUCUCUGGACCUUGCAGCUAUCUCGAAACUCACACGGGCAUCGAGGGCAGCAUAUUUUAUCCGCUCGUACGUCAAGGGAUAAUUCUCCCAUCCAGACAACCUUAAUGCCAGCAUCUCGUCACCCUUCUGAAGAUUUGUUCCGAGCACAAAAUUUGCUACGUCGAAUAGGGAUGGUGUCGGUUUAUCACAAUGUUCUACAUGAAUUUUUAUUUUGGUUUGUACGUCAGUGAUGCUUUUCGAAUCAAGGUUGUACGGCUCCAACUUCUGUUUGUCCCCUCCGAUGGCUGCCCCACAGAAGUAUAUGUCCUCCCGAGACAAGAAAUCUUGAAGCUCACCUAGUAUGGAGGGCGCGUGUAUGAUGUGGUACACCAAAACAUCAUCUUUGAGGCACAGCUAAAGGACGGCGACGCGUUGGAUCUUCCUAGUGGCACACUCCGUGUACUCUGCGUCGAGACCGAUGACCUUCAUCUCCACCUUUUGGAGGGACUUGGAUACAUUGUUGAUCCACUUCCGAACAACCCUUCGGUGGUCGGUGACUGUGGCAACUAUGCUCAACGAGCCUUCGACGAGGACAUGUUGGACGCUAAAACCUACAUCUGGAUCUCUUUCGCCAUUUGGAACCACUGGACCGAGGGUUAUGGUUUGGAGAAUUAGGAUUAGAUGGCUAGUCUAACUGAAGAAGAUGAUUAUUUAAAGGGGCUUCUGAAUUACUCCAGGAGGAUGUGAAGAGGUUAAAACAAUGUGAAUGCAGCGUGGUUUGGAUGCAAAUGAAGAUGAAGGAGUAGUGAAGAAGCCGAGGAAAAUCGGUUCCCGAUGGAGAAGUAAAUGGGAGAAGUGGCCUGUAGGCAGUCGAUUAGACGGCUAGGUAGACUAAACAAAAAGGCUAUGCAGGCAGAUUGAGGAGUGGUACCUGUCCCUGUACGUGCCCAUCCUUCUAACGCUACAUGUGCCACUGGCAAGUUGAGGUCACUCUUUUGAAUCACCAUGGCGAGACAUUUUAUGAUUCCUUUUUAUUUCUGCACCCCUUCUGACAGGUGGGACCUAUGCAAACGGAUAAAGAAAAUGUGUCGAGCUGGUUCGGAUGGAUAUUGGCGCGUGCGUGGGAGACACAACAUUCUCUAGUUAAGGAAUAUGCGGUUAUCCUCAAAAAAGAAAAGGCCUUCGCGCUUCCGCAUGCACGAGAAUUUGGUUUUGCUCGCAAUAUGGAUGAUACCUGGAGGAUGAAGUGAACCCAGAGGCAUGCUAGCAUGGGAGACCUAUUUCCGCUAUACAGUACUACCUCCGUCUAGGUGAAUAAGUCACUCACGUAGUUCUAGGUCAUCGAUUUGAGCAAUUAAAUAUGUGUUAUAUGUCAUGAAAAGUAUAUCAUUAGAUUUCUACAUGGAUGUAGUUUCUAAAUAUAUUUUUAUCACAUAUAAUACAUAUUUAGAGAGUUAAAUCGUUGACCUAAAACUACGCGAAUGACUUAUUCACCGAGACGGAGGUAGUACUACUCAUGUUCCUACUACUCCUACUAGUAGUAGUAGUACAACUGUGGUACACUUGAUGGUCAAAAUAUUAUUCAUCCGGUCCUCACAAUGAACUGACAAGACCCUGCGCCCGAGGUGACACCAGUCCAGGCGGCGUGUUCGUGUUACCAAAGUCAGCCUCACCUUGUGCACUGAGCAGUCACUGUCGCCGCCGCUCUAUAGCAUACCUCGCCUCGUCUCCCUCUCCCUUAGCACCACUCCAUCUCCAUCUCCAUCUUGCCGGAGAUCCUAAGGUCACUCUUCAUCAUCUCACUGUGCCCCGUGUACCCUUGCCUCGCUCGCCUCCCCCAGUACCACUAUUCCCUCACUAGCCGCUCCAGCACCGAGAGCCUUCUCCCACGUAAAUCAAGCCCCCCAAAACCCCACCUUCCAAACUCCACCAUGUCCGAACGCGAACCGCGCAGCAUCCAUAUGAGCCGCGAUUGGAGCAAUCUCCCUAGUGACAUCCUCGACCUCUGUUGUUCGUGUAUGGAUAUGUUGAGCGCCCUACGGCUGGCUGCAUGCUCGAGAGACAUGCACACCGCCAUCGUCGAAGCGAGGCCUAAGCUUUUCAAGACACCCUGCUUGCUGCUAUCUGGUCUUGCGAGAUUUGCUCACCAUGAUACGGAGGCGUACAUGAUGCCCCUCGACUUUAAUCCGAUCUCCAUUAGCCAAAACUUAUUUGCAGGUAUGUAGUGGGUCGUCGUACAUCAUUUCCCUCGACUUUGAUCCGAUCACCAUCGCCCAAAACUUCUUGGCAGGUAUGUACUGGGUCGGCAUGAACUCCCACUGGAUGGUUGCCGUCAGAGAAGACAAGAAAAAGUUGGUGCUCGUGAACUUCCAGACCUCCCAUGAGAUUAUCCUUCCUCUGUUGGAUUAUAUGGAGUUUUACCAUCACGGUCUAAGUCAUCUAGAUUACCACGUCAGUUGGACGGACCUUGUUUUGCAGAAGAUUGUAAUCUGCCAAGUGCCCACACGAUAUGCGGAUUACGCAGACUUCAAGCUAAUUGCCUUGUUCGACCGCGGACUCGCCUAUGUUUACGCCGGUGCCUUCUUUAGCUGGAGACAACUCAGCUCGCAGUGGAUCAUCGUCAAAGCUGAUACACACUUCUGUGAUGCUAUUGAACACAAUGGCAUCAUCUACGCGAUCAACAAAGCAGAUGGCACCAAGUAUUGCUGGGAUGGCGCGUGUAAGUUGUUUUCGUCUGAUGUUAAUGAUGAUGCCAUGACACUGUUUGAACUUUUUGUGAUGAUUGGAAUAUCCAUGUUUGAGCAGAAUUUGAGUAGAACUAUGGCAAUGUAUUAGAGACGCCGUAAAUCAACUAUAUUUGGAAUGAGUUAAUUCAUGCGAUUGUGACCAUGUCAUUACAACCAAUUUGUACCCCUGAAUAAUCAAACAGUUAGGAAGAUAUUGAUAUUCUCCUUAUUUUAUAGUAAUCUGUAUACUACUAAAUAUGAGUGUGUAUCAAUGGCCAUGUUAGUUUCCUCAUUUUCAUGAUGUAGAAACAUGCAUCACACUGUUGGUUUCAUCUAACCAUACAUUAGGGAAGUAAAUGUGCAUAUGGAGAACUCUAUAUUUGGAAGCAGUGAAAUCCAAUAAUGCUUACCAUGUGUACAUACCUAUGUUUGCCCUUCAGCAAUCAAUAGCUAGAAUAAUAUGCUCACAAAAUUUUUGUCCACAGAACAUGAGUAUAUAACAAUGCAUGGUCUGUUAGUUUCCUUGAAGAAUUUGUUUGUGAGGACAGAACAUGAUUACAUAACAUGCAUGACAUGGUAAUUUCAUGUGAAUAAUUGAUUGUGAGAUGACAUGACUAUAACCCUGCAUGACACUUCUAUAUUUUCGAACCCAGUAUACAUUUCCAUGUAUUUUCCUCCCAGUUCCAACAGGGACAUAUCAAUGAUGUUUCUUGCAUUAUCCUACUCAUACUCUGAAUAAUGCUGAUCUUACAUUAACAAUGCAUGACCUUUUUGAUAUGAUGCAGUGUCCCUACAAUUACUGCCCUUUGUAAUCACACCACCUUUGCCAAAAACAGGGAAGCACAACUGGUUCCUCCCUCGAUCAGACGGCGUCAAAAGACUGAUGAUCAUUCGGACACAUGAGCUGGAAAAGUUAUAUUGCAAAAACCCCACUGUAUACAAGCACCGUGAAAUACAUGAGUAUUCGGACAAUGGCUGUUACGUCUAUGAGCAGGAUACCAGCUUGUUGGGGCCUUUGGGGUUUUUGAGUUGGAGGUGGGUAAACAGCCUUGGUUCACACUCUCUGUUUCUCGGACUCAAUUAUCCAAUUAUCAGGAGAUCACCGUUGGCAAGGACCUUGACGGCAGAGAGGCUCUGUUUGCUAUGGAAAACUGUGUCUACAUGGCGAGCCCUAGGAGUUCGGGAGCAAACUCCCCUAAUUGUCAACGAUACAACCUACAGCCAAAAUAAGGUGAGAAUGACAAAGGCAUCUGGAUUAACUUUGAUCCUUGGAUGUGUCGAGUCCGACAGGCAGUGAUGUGGUUCAAGCCUUCAGGUUGAUAGGUAAUUGGGCUGUUGCGUCGAAAGGGUGGAGUGCUGGUGUCUCCGGAUCACUGGUGGCUGAAGCGGGGCUGCAAAUUAUGAUGGUGUUGGAUCAUCCCUCUUCGAAUGACUUGUGGUCUUUGCUGCUUGUUCUGCAUGGGUAGUUCUCUCUUUUGUUAUGCAUAUUCCUUGUCAUUUGGUCAUCCUCGUCUAUGUCACUCUUACUAUGUAAUAGUUGCCUCUAUUUAGAAUGUCAUUCUUGUCUGGAUCACGAGAGUCUGAGUGCUGCAGAUGGGUGCAUUUUGGUGGUGUAGCAAGACUUCUUAUGAACUAUCAUGUCUUGUUGUUUAUGUCAGUAGUAGUCACUAGUCAGUGUUUGAAUGUUGUAUAUAUUGUUAUUUCGAACUGUUUAUUGUCUCAAAUGGCUGGUGGGCUAAAUGAGGGCAUCACCAUUCUCUAGUGUUCAGAGUAUAUCUCCUUUUUUCAAGUUACUAGGAAGAUGCACGUGCGUUGCAUGGAACAUCAAGAUCUUGUGGGAGAAAAGGAUGAACGAGGGAAGGCCUUAUCUGCAAAUGUGGAGAGGAGUGCGGGUAAAUUGUCAUAGUUUCCUUCCUAUCCGUUAGAUAUAGAUCGGACGGCCUAUAUUGCAGGAUGGCAGGCACACCAUCAUCACCAACUCUGCUUUUUAUAAAAGUAGAUAGAUUAUUUGAGCUCAGUGUCUUUUCAAUGGCGUACACUUUUUUGGGCCAGUGAGGUGUCAUUGAAUAUGGGACGAGUAGUAACGCAAUGCCAAACAGGUCAAUUAUGACUCUCAGGCCGGGCUCUCAAAAGAUCCUCAAAAAAGGCUGGGCUCUCAAAAAAAGAAAGAAUUGGGACUCUUGCGCGCCGACAUGUGGGCGCCACCGGUGUUUUCACGCGCUUGCGCGCCGAGAGCAUAUUGGCGCGUGUUCGAAAUUCAUGCUACCUUUUCAUCCCCAAUCUCCCGCCCCUCCCCCACAUCUAGAAUCUCGAUUCCUACUCCAGUUCCCCCAAAUCGCCCUCAUGUACUCCCCAUACUCAAGCGCACUAUCAUGUCGCCGGUCAAUGCGGAUCUCCGAGCCGGAGAUCCCGAGGUCCGUCCUGCCUUCAGGCGCUGCGUGUUGUCGCUCAAAAGUGGCAUGGUGGCGCUUGACGACCAGUUUGCCGGAAAAGUGCUGAUGGUAACCAUCAACGGCAACUGGCCUCCCGUCUCACCGGACGUCCUUGUCAAAGCUCUUGGCAUUGCGCACGGCCUCCAAAUAAGUGACUUGCUCGUCGAAGUCUGUCCGCCACCGGCUGAUUUCUUCGUCAGGUUCCAGACAACUUUCGAUUGCAGUCGUGUGUUCGAAUCUUCACGGCGUUUGUUCUGCGAUGGCGCGCUGGUGAGCUUUGAUCGAUGGCACUCAGGAUGGGGCUCGGUGCCCUCUGAUCUUGAGUUUUUAACAAAGCUUACCUUCCACGGCAUGCCUCAACGUGCUUGGAACAAUGAGUCCAUGAAUGAGCUUAUCAACGACCUUGGAGGUGAGCUCGUAAGUACGUUUGUUCCUCCAGACAGCUGGGCUCUGACGGUUAUGGCAUGGAUGAAGAAGCCAUCUACCAUACCGAAGGUGAUUGGUUUUGAGAUACCGGUGCAGGAACCGGUGUUGUACUAUUCGUCGCCACCAAGGCCGCCACGGACCACGUUAGGGAUGUACCUGUAUCGAGUGUUCGUGCAUGUCGAAGAAGUGGUCAAUCCAUCAAUUGAAGUCCUGUCGCCGCCGCUGGUGCCCGGGUCCGUAGACGAUGUCCAUUACAGGAGUCAACAUUAGACUUUCCCCAUGUUGCUCAGAACGAUGGAUGGUACAUGGCCUACUCCAACGCGCGGCGGAGGCCACUGCUUCUUUGGGAGAAGAGGCAGGGCUGGCUGCCUGGAUGUGCUCUAAUUUGAGGUAACAGCCGAAUCUUGUUAAAUACUAGUUAAAUCCGAGCUGUAGGUGUGAAGCACUGAUGUGCCAGUACAUUUGAUUGUGACAUGUUCUAUUUUUUUACCUGAACUUUUUUUAGAAAGGGUUGUACGUCAACUUCAUGUUCUAGCAGAACUUAUAUAUUGUGUUGUCUGUCUGUUUUCUUUGCACAGCAUUCAAGAUAUUUCCCCGUCAUUGAUAAAGAUGAUGAACCAUUAUGUACGAGUUCGUUGGUUUCAACAUAGCCCUACCUGUAGUGAUCCACUGCUUCCACCCUGAUUGUGCCGCUUGCAUGAAUUUUUUGUAUGCAAGUUUAGUGUGCUAUGAUGUUCUAUAUGAUUGUGUCAACUAUAUAAGUUUUUACUUAGCAUCAUCAAUGCAUAUGGCUGAAAGAUGUAUUUACGAGCAUCGACCGAUGUCUCUCUCUCUCUCACACACACACACACACACAAACACACGCACAAGUGGGACCCGUUGAAUUAUUUCUUCGCUCGUGACAGCUUUUAAUUAGGUUCCACUUUACUCUAACUUUUUUCUUAAGUUAUUAAUUGAGCUCAGUGACUUCAAAAAGUUGUACAGAAGCCUUGUUUGGGCCUCUCCGGCGUCACCGAAUGUGGGUUGAGUAGCCAUGUAAGGUUGUACUGUACUACACAGGCCUUUUUUCAACAUCAGCAAUGCAACUGGGCCGAUAGUUGUACGCAAUCCGGGUCAACUUGUUAUUCUCCGCCCCGCUGGGCUACAGAUCUUUCCUACGAGGGAUGCAUUAGGCUUAACAAGAAAAUGGGCUUUAAGAAAUAAUAAAUGGGAUGUAAUUAUAAAAAUUGGGCAGUAACUAUAAAUAAAUGCACCAAACACGUAGUUGGUUUAAAAAAAUAUUAUUUUUGGAAUUCGAAAAUUUUAAUUUCAUUACUUGUUGCGCGCGCACUAUUCCUUUAGAUUUUUAUGUAAUACAAAUGUAUUUUGAAAUUAUAUUUAAUCUGACAAGAAAUUUUGAGAUAAAAAUAUUUCGGAUCCCAUCAAAAUGUGGGAAAUUUUAUUGAAUUCUGUUUUGAGCGGUUGGUUGAAAUUAUUAAUCCUUGUCCUAGCUAGAAAAUGGGCUGUACUUUUAACAAACUAUAAAUGGGAUGUAGUAAAUUCCAUCAGAAUUCAAAAAUGGGGUGUACAUUCUUACAAAUCGCAAACGGGCUAUAUGUUCUCUGCCACACACUUGUGGGACUACUAAGUUGACGCGUCCCCUAAAAAACAAAAACUAAGUUGACGCGUAUGCAAGGCUUUAUCAACUUAUAGUCAACACACGGUUCUAGCAGCAGUGGCCGUUGGAUGUCCAUCCAACGGAUGUCGUGCUUCUUCUUCAAUCUCGGAUAUUCUUGCUUCAGCCGCCCAAAAAAUGUUUCCUCCCCCUGACAUCUGGGGCGCACCGUUUCGGAGGCUGACCUGUGGGCCUACUAAGUUGACGCGUACCAAGGGAUUUGUCAACUUAGUCAAUAUAAACGAUUCUAGCUGCAGUGACCGUACGAUGUCCAUCCAACGGCCGUCGUGCUUCUUCAACCUCUGGUCUUCUUGCUCCAGCCGCCGAAACCAGCUCCAGUCGUGCCGCGUGCUCCUGCCUCCCGUGGCCGGCUGUGAUGCCGCGGAGGCCUCACCGCCCCCCUACUACUCCCACCGCUGGCCAGGCCAUGUACGUACAUAUGGGCGGGGUCUCGAACGCCUACUCACGCAUAUGUACGGCCAGGGCUCGUGUACAUGGCUGGGUCGGAACGGAGAAACUGCAUCGUCGUGUUCAUCAGGAGGCAACGGAAUGCGUCGUGUUCAUCGAGAGGCAACGGAAUGUCAUGUUCAUCGGGAGCCAACCGGCUUGGACAGAACAGCCGAUCAAAACGAGGCCUGGCGUACUGCAGAACGGAGGAAACGGCCUUGUGUUCGACCGGCCACGGUCGAAACGGGAUCCUGUUCAUCGGGAGGGGUCUGGCGUACCGCAAAACGGAGGAAACAUACUUCUCUUGGACCUCCUACGGUCGAAACGGGGUCCUGUUGAUCGGGAGGGGUGUGGCGUACCGCAAAACGGAGGAAACGGACUUGUUUUGGAGCGCUACGGUCGAAACGGGGGUCAUGUUCAUUGGGAGGGGUGUGGCGUACCGCAAAACGGGACUCCACGGGAUACUAUUCAUCUCCACCGUCGACUGCCUCCACGGGCUACUGUUCAUCCACCGUCUACCUCCUCGAGCCUCCACCUGCGACUGUUCAUCCACAUGCUCCUAUUUAUCCAGCCUCCACUGCUCCUCCACCGGCUACUGUUCAACCAACCCUUUCCACGGGGCCCUGUUCAACCACCCCUCCACGGGCUACUGUUCAUCCAGCCCUCCACCGGCUACUGUUCAACCAGCCCUCCACGGGGUCGUCCUGUUCAUCCAGCCCUCCACCGGGUCAUGUUCAUCCACCCCAACCGGCUCGAUCGAUCGGGGUCCUGUUCAUCCAGCGGCAACACCACGGGAUCCUGUUCAUCCAACCCCCCACCGGGAACUGUUCAUCCAACACCCCAACAAGGCUCACUGUUCAUCAAGAGGCAGCAUCGAUCGGCUUCAUUUAGCAGCAGUAGCGAAGGAAUCACUCGAUUCAGUUAACAGCAAGGGAUCAAUCGGGGUUCAGUAAUGUAGCUAGUGCAAUCGCUCGGGUUCAGUUAGAGCCCAAUGCCUCGCUCAGGUUCAGUUAGAGCGCAACCUCGCACACACGCGCGUACGUGUACGAGAGAAAUGCGCAAACCUCCGUGCAUCUCUCGGCCCCGACCACCCACCGUAACCGGGAACACCCCAAUAUUUUCUUCGCCCUUGCUUCUACCACGGUUUUCUAUCAUGGACGGCCCAAAGAAUGUCAUGCAGCUGCGUCUCCGGCCCGCCUAGGAUGAAAAGCCCAUUUUCUGUCAUAGAAGUAGGAGCCCACCACAUCUAUGAUGAUACCGGUUUUUGUCACAAUUAUCGUCAUAAAGUGUCAUAAGCAUGACAGGAAAAAAAUUCGUUCCGCCCAAAAUGUCAGGGAUGUGUCAUUUUUUGUAGUGUUCAUUCGAAGUCAUGGCCCAAGAGAGAGAAGAGAGGCAUACCUGGGUGGUGAAGGAGUCAUCACCGGAGGAGGAACCGCCGGAGAGGUCUUUGAAGAAGACCAUGGUGACCCCGGCGGUAGGAUGCGAGACGGCGAGAGCGAGGAAGCGGCUAUAGCUUAGGAAGGAAGGAAGGAGGAAACAGGGGAAAUGUGACUUGUGGUCGGGGAGAAAAGGGGGUGGGGAAUGGGGGAGGGGGCGGGGUAGAUAUUUUGGCGGUAGGCCAAAAUUUUAGAAAUGUGGAGGGAAACUUUGCGCGCGGUGCCGCCGGACCAUUCACUUUGAACGAUUGUGUGCAUCACAAACGAUUCUUCUGCUUUACGCGCAUGGCAUGAGUUUGAUAAUUCAAAUUUUGGUGGAAAUUUCCCCGGGUACGUCAUUCCAUAAUUUAACAUUGCUUGCUAAUUUGGGCACACAAAAGAGCGUACAGCAGAGAGACCAGACUUACUGAAUCGAGCAAUAAUAGUAAUUAACAGAGCCAGUUGACCUAAGCAUUGCUCUAACAGAAGACCAGCAUUAAAAAGAAAGCCUAAGUACGCAUAAUUUUAACAAAUCUGCCGCCGUGCCGGCCUUUGCAUCGCCGGUAUGAGAUGAGACGUCGAUGACUUGUCCAAGCGACGUGCCGCCGUUGGUGGACUCCGCGUCCCCCCUGCUGAAGUCUACGGCGUCCUCGUCCUCGGCGCCGCCCUCAAGGUUGUAGUACUCGUAGUAGUGGCUGCGCCAGAGCUCGCGUUGGUACUCCACCGCUGAUUCCUCGACGGACAGACUCUUCUCUACCUCGACCUCAGCCACGCGCAACUCCUCCUCCCGGCGCUCCUCGAUCUCCGCCGCCUCCUGCAUCUCCAGCUCCCGCUCGGCGACCUCAUGAGGAAGCAGGUGCUCCAUGGCCACCACCGCCUUUUCAGAUGUGGGUUGCAUGCUGGAGUCUGAGGUAGCCUGGAAUAUCUUGGCGUGUGCAUCCUCGAUCUUGGCAUGGAUGGCCUCGACCCGGGCCAGGGCGACAUCGGCGGCACGGACGGCAGCUCGAACACUCUCGGCGUUUGCAGCUGUCGUCGCUGUAGCAGCUGUAGCCAUCUUCUCUGCUACAGCUGCCAUGUCGGCUGCCGCAGACGCCCUCUCGAGGGAAGCGGCCGUGCUCAAUGUGGAUGCUUAUAGAAAAGAAUUUGCAUGACAUCUAUUGUCCUACCCUCCCGUGGCAGCGGGGUCCUAUUAGCAACUAAGGGAUAUUAUGGCCUCCUUUUAAUAGAGUACCAGACCAAAGCAUUAACACUUAGUGAAUACAUGAACUCCUCAAACUACGGUUAUCACCGGUAAGUAUCCCGAUUAUUGUCACUUCGGGGUUAACGAAUCAUAACACAUAAUAGGUGACUAUAGACUUGCAAGAUAGGAUCAAGAACUCACAUAUAUUCAUGAAAACAUAAUAGGUUCAGAUCUGAAAUCAUGGCACUCGGGCCCUAGUGACAAGCAUUAAGCAUAGCAAAGUCAUAGCAACAUCAAUCUCAGAACAUAGCGGAUACUAGGGAUCAAACCCUAACAAAACUAACUCAAUUACAUGGUAAAUCUCAUCCAACCCAUCACCGUCCAGCAAGCCUACUAUGGAAUUACUCACGCACGGCGGUGAGCAUCAUGAAAUUGGUGAUGGAGGAUGGUUGAUGAUGACGACGGCGAGGGAUUCCCCUCUCUGGAGCCCCGAACGGACUCCAGAUCAGCCCUCUCGAGAGAGAUUAGGGCUUGGCGGCGGCUCCGUAUCGUAAAACGUGAUGAAUCCUUCUCUCUGAUUAUAUUCUACCCGAACGUGAAUAUAUAGAGUGGGAGUGGAGGUCGGUGGAGCACCAGGGGGCCCACGAGGCAGGGGGCGCGCCCAGGGGGUAGGCACGGCCCCCACCCUCGUGGACAGGGUGUGGGCCCCUGGUCUUGAUUCUUUCGCCAGUAUUUUUUAUAUAUUCCAAAAAUAUUCUCCGUGAAGUUUCAGGUCAUUCUGAGAACUUUUAUUUCUGCACAAAAAUAACACCAUGGCAAUUCUGCUGAAAACAGCGUCAGUCUGGGUUAGUUCCAUUCAAAUCAUGCAAGUUAGAGUCCAAAACAAGGGCAAAAGUGUUUGGAAAAGUAGAUACGAUGGAGACGUAUCAACUCCCCCAAGCUUAAGCUUUUGCUUGUCCUCAAGCAAUUCAGUUGAAAAACUGAAAGUGAUAAAGAAAAACUUUUACAAACUCUGUUUGCUCUUGUUGUUGUAAAUAUGUAAAGCCAGCAUUCAAGUUUCCAGCAAAGAUUAUGAACUAACCAUAUUCACAAUAACAUUUAGGUCUCAUGUUUACUCAUAUAAAUGGCAUAAUCAACUAGCGAGCAAUAAUAAUAAAUCUCGGAUGACAACACUUUCUCAAAACAAUCAUAAUAUGAUAUCACAAGAUGGUAUCUCGCGAGCCCUUUCUGAGACCGCAAAACAUAAAUGCAGAGCACCUCUGAAGAUCAAGGACUGAGUAAACAUUGUAAUUCAUGGUAAAAGAGAUCCAAUCAUAGUCAUACUCAAUAUAAAUGACAGCGGUGCUCUCCAACUGGUGCUUUUUAAUAAGAGGAGGAUGACUCAACAUAAAAGUAAAUAGAUAGGCCCUUCGCAGAGGGAAGCAUGGAUUUGUAGAGGUGCCAGAGCUCGAUUUUGAAAUAGAGAUAAAUAAUAUUUUGAGCGCAUACUUUCAUUGUCAACAUAACAACCGAGAGAUCUUGAUAUCUUCCAUGCUACACACAUUAUAGGCGGUUCCCAAACAGAAUGGUAAAGUUUAUACUCCCCCACCACCAACAAGCAUCAAUCCAUGGCUGGCCCGAAACAAUGGGUGCCUCCAACUAACAACAGUCCUGGGGGAGUUUUGUUUGCAAUUAUUUUGAUUUGGUUUGAGCAUGGGACUGGGCAUCCCGGUGACCACCCAUUUUCUCGUGAGUGAGGAGCGGAGUCCACUCCUCUUGAGAAUAAACCACCUAGCAUGGAAGAUAUAGAAAGCCCUAGUUGAUACAUGAGCUAUUCGAGCAUGCAAAACAGAAUUUCAUUUGAAGGUUUAGAGUGUGGCACAAACAAAUUUACUUGGAACGGCAGGUAGAUACCGCAUAUAGGAAGGUAUGGUGGACUCAUAUGGAAUAACUUUGGGGUUUAUGGAAGUGGAUGCACAAGAAGUAUUCCCGCUUAGUAAAAGUGAAGGCUAGAAAAAGACUGGGAAGCGACCAACUAGAGAGCGACAACAGUCAUGAACAUGCAUUAAAAUUAAUAAACAUUGAGUGCAAGCAUGAGUAGGAUAUAAUCUACCAUGAACAUAAAUAUCGUGGAGGCUAUGUUGAUUUUUUCAACUACAUGUGUGAACAUGUGCCAAGUCAAGUCACUCGAAUCAUUCAAAGGAGGAUACACCCUAUCAUACCACAUCACAACCAUUUUAAUAGCAUGUUGGCACGCAAGGUAAACCAUUAUAAACUCCUAGCUAAUUAAGCAUGGCAUAAGCAACUAUAAUCUCUAAUUGUCAUUGCAAACAUGUUUCAUUCAUAAUAGGCUGAAUCAGGAACGAUGAACUAAUCUUAUUUACAAAAACAAGAGAGUUCGAGUUCAUACCAGCUUCUCUCAUCUCAAUCAGUCCAUCAUAUAUCGUCAUUAUUGCCUUUCUCUCGCACGACCGAACGGUGUGGAUAAUAAUAAUAGUGCACGUGCAUUGGACUAAGCUGGAAUCUGCAAGCAUUCAAUACAAAGGAGAAGCCAAGGUAACAUGGGCUCUUUGUUAAAUCAACAAUAAUGCAUAUAAGAGCCACUCAACAUUUUCAUUAUGGUCUUCUCCUCUCGACCCCCAAAGAAGAGAAAAGAAAUAAAACUAUUUACACGGGAAAGCUCCCAGCAAGCAAAAGAAGAACGACAAAUCUUUUUGGGUUUUCUUUUAAUUAUUACUACUACAGGCAUGGAAAGUAAACUAGCUAAAGACUACAACUAAUUUUUUUGGUUUUUUUCUUAAGGUUUUCAAACACACAAGAAAAAAGCGAGAAAAAGGAAACUAAACUAGCAUGGAUAGUACAAUGAAAAAGUAUGCGCACCGACAACUAGAAUGAGUGUGUGAACAUGAAUGUAAUGUCGUUGAGAAAUGUGUACUCCCCCAAGCUUAGGCUUUUGGCCUAAGUUGGUCUAUGCCGAUGGAUCAAAGUUGUAGCUGGGGUCGUACUGAGAUGCAGCAGCUAUUGCCUCAUGAGCUGCAGCUUGGAGGCGAGCUGCCUCCGUCCUCCUCUCAUACUCGUUCGCCUCCUCCCUGGUUAUAAUAUAUCUCCUUUUUGCCUGAAAGUCAAAGAAACCAGGAGCAGGGAGAGCAACAUGGACAAUGCGACGCUUGUCAAAGAUUAGUCGGUAUUGGAGGAACUGUUCGUUCCUCUCAACAAACUGAUGACGAACCAUAGUAUUAUAAUCUAAAUAAGCAGGAGGCAGUUCCAUAUCAUUUUCAUGUAUGGGUAUCUCAAGAUAAUUAGCUACACGGGUUGCAUAAAUUUCACCGAACAAAUAUCCACUAAUACUAUUAUUAUGCAACCUGCAUGCAACAAUGGCCCCCAAGUUAUAUUGUUUAUCUCCUAACACAACACUCUUGAGAACACUAAGAUCUAGAACACACAUGUGACAUGCCUCAUCCUUGCCAUUAAAGCAUCUACCUAUAAAGAGAGCAAAAUAGUGUAUAGCAGGAAAAUGAAUGCUCCCUAUGGUAGCUUGUGUUAUUUCUCUAGAUUCCCCCACAGUGAUACUAGCAAGAAAAUCCUCAAACUCAGAUUUACGAGGUUCACUAGCACUACCCCAUUGCGGGAGUUUACAAGGAGUAUUAAAAUCUUCUAAGUCCAUGGUAUAAGAUUUAUUAUAAAGAUCAAAUAGGACAGCGCGAGAAUUGCGUGAAGAUGUAAAUUUAAACCUUCUCACAAAGGAAUCAGUUAGGUGAUAAUACUGAUGUCACUUAUCUAGCAUGAAGCCCUCAAGUUCAGCAUUAUGCACAUAUGCGUCAAAUUCCUCCUUAAUUCCUGCUUGGACCAUGAAAUCUUCUGACGGCCAUUCACAAGGCCGCACUUGAGCUUCUCUUGGUAGUUCAUGGUCCGGCUCACGUAUUGCGGGCAUGGGUCCUUGCUUCCUUGAAGAACCACCUUGGUACAUUUUCCUAAACAUAUUUCUUCCUCUGAUUUUUUUUUAAUUUUAGUAACUCAAAAUAAAAGUGAACCAAAUUCAACAAAAUUGAUAGCAACUACUCCCAGAAGUGCCUAGAGACUAUAUCAUGCAUUAGAACUACUUGGGACCAAAUAAAUUUGACAUGCAAGCUCAAGAACAGGGUCACCUAGGCAGCAAAAAUUUGCAAUGAAUAAAGCACUAGAACAAAAACUAAUUGGACCAUUGGAGGAGUCACAUACCGAAGAACAAUCCCCCAAAGUAGUUUUGUGAGUGGAGCUUUGAGCAAGGAGAUCGAAAAUGGCAACAAGAUGAGCUAGAACUCGUGCUUGAGCUGGUUGGUGAUUUUUUCUGGAGGAAGGAGUGUGUGGGUGCUGGAAUAAGUGGAGGGGGCCACGUGGGGCCCACGAGGCAGGGGGCGCGCCCAGGGGUGGGCGCGCCCUGGACCCUCGUGGCCAGGUGUUGGCUGCCCCUGAUGUGUUCUCAGUGCCAAAUAUUCUCAAAUAUUCUAGAAAAAAUCAUAUUUCAUUUUCAGGGCAUUUGGAGAACUUUUAUUUUUGGGGUAUUUUUUAUUGCAUGGAUAAUUCACAAAACAGACAGAAAAUACUAUUUUUGCUUUAUUUAAUCUAAAUAACAGAAAGUAAAAGGAGGGUACAGAAGGUUGUUCUUUCUAACUUCAUCCAUCUCAUGCUCAUCAAAAGGAAUCCACUAACAAGGUUGAUCAAGUCUUGUUAACAAACUCAUUCCGAAUCGGAUGAAACCGGAGAAUUUUGGAAUAGCACUAGGUUACCUCAACGGUGAUAUGCACAUCCCCAAUAAUAAGAAUAUCAUAUUUCUUUUUGUCGGGUGGUAGGUGUGACAUAUGCCAACGGAUGGCUUAUCAUUGUGGGAGCCAGUAAAACAUCGCCAAGAAGAACGGCGAGGCAGCUCGCUGCGCAGGCGUCGUCGACGCAUAGCAGCGCGUCGGGGCAAGCGCCAUCGGGUGCAGCAGGCUGGCUGCGCUCGCGGGGGAGGAAAAGGGUUCCCGUCCAGAACAGGUCUCCGGACGACGGUGCACCUGCCCCACGGUGGGCGCCAAAUGUCGGGUGGUAGGUGCGACAUAUGCCAACGGAUGGCUUAUCAUUGUGGGAGCCAGUAAAACAUCGCCGGUGCCUGGAAACAGGAUGAGGCGAAGACAUGCACGCCGGCGAAUCUUACCCAGGUUCGGGGCUCUCCGUGGAGAUAACACCCCUAGUCCUGCUCUGCGGGGUCUCCGCAUGAUCACUAGAUCAAUACAAGUAGCUACAAGCGCUCCUUGAGCUGUUUGGCUAGAGGAAGAACAAGGGCAAGGCUAGCUCUCCUUUUCUCUCUAUGUGGUGUGUGGAAUUCUAUGAGAUCAACCCUUUGCAUGGGUGUCCCGGGGGGUUUAUAUAGGCCUACCCCCAGGGGUACAAUGGUAAUCCGGCUGGACGCGGGUCCCAGCCGUCAGCGUCUAUGCACGCCGGCUUCUCCGCCGGUCAUUGGGGCCCGCCGACUGGUGGGUCCCGCCGGCUGCCGGCCUCUUGGCUGACAGGCCGGCCCUACCGCUUGGGGGCUUUGUCGGCGGCUGGUUACUGUUGCCUCGCCUCUGAUGACGAGUGCUUUGUUGAGGUAAGCGUGGCUACAGUGUCGCCGCCUUGCGGGCUCUCACUGUAGCCUUACCUCGUCUUGUCUCCUUAAUGAGGCACAUGUUUCGAGGGAGGGAGGUAGCCGGCUAUUGGGAGCCGGCCACACCCCUGGCCAACUAGAGGAGGCCAGGCCGCCUUCGGGUGUCUCUCUGGCAAAAGGGGCCCGCUGCCUACGGGCCGUACUGGUGCCUGUCGUGGGUGACAUCGAGGCCAACACGGCUACAGUGCCACGCCGGACGGGGGAUGGCUGGCCCGUACGGCGCCCUGUGGCCAUGCCUGUUCCGGGAUUCGGGGGUAGUGGGCUGUACUGCGGCCACGCCCCAUCCUAUCGCCGUUAUGUGGGUACAGUCUUUAGUGGGUGCAGUCUUGGCUGGCUUCUGGGAGCCGGCUUUCUUCAUGGCCGGCUUCUGGGAGUCGGCCAUGGGGAUAGCCGGGGAAGGCGGCCCUAUGCUUUGUAUGCUUGAAGGCUUGAAUGGCCUGAUAAUUUUUCGAAGAGCCAGGGGGAGUCGGUUAGGCUACCCGUGGCCAUUUACUCCGACAGUAGUCCCCGAAGCUGGUUGGGCUUCGAGACUGAGAGGAGGCCGAGAAGCUCGGUCAGCUUCUAAUCUUGACGAGCCAAUAGCUGGGAGCCGGCUUCGGUUGGGCGCGCCGUCUUGGCGAAAAUUUUAAAGUCGGAAGGCGGGAGUUUGUUGGCGCGUGCACCGGGCCACGGGCCGGUCACUCACCGCCUGCGAACCACGUGGCAUCCCUUGGCUGAAAAGAGCAUGCUAACCCACGCGCGCGACAAGACGUCGCCGCAGGCCGAGGGCCCACCACUCCAACGCCUGGGCCCAGGCGCGGAUUCUUUGUGGCCCAAAGCUGUCCGCACGUCUUCCGGUGGCGGUUUCCGCAUGCCGUUAGGGCGCAGUAAUCGCGGGGCAUGGGGGAGUGGGCGCAGUUAAUCCCACGUUCCUCCCCACGCCUCGCCUCCUCGGCUUCGCCGCACGAGGCUAUAAGUAGGGGGAGGAGGGGAAGCGGCAGACGCUCGCACGCUCCUGUCCUCUCCGCCAUCUUCUUCCUCCUGCUUUCUCUCGCAGUAGCGCCUCGCCGCCGCGCCGUCAAAUCAAUCUUCACUCUGCCCUGCAGCUUUGCCGCCGCAAGGCCGUGCUUUCUCCGCCGCCGCACUCUUACUUGUUAGCUUCUCGCCACCUUGCAGUACGGCAGGGACUGAGACGGCUCCAACGUCCAUAUGACCACAUCGAGUUCCUCCGCAAGACGCGGCAGUUGCCCGGCGCAGACCAGGUGCGGGUCCAUCUCGCACCUGCGAAGGAGAUCACGCCGGCGCUGGAGGAAGGCGAGCGGGUAGUCUUCCGCUCGCACUUCCUGCGCGGCAUCGGCUUGCGGGCGAGCGCUUUCUUCCGCUUCUUCCUCAAAUUUUAUCAACUCCAGCUGCACCACCUCACUCCGAACACGGUGGUGCUGCUGUCCGCCUUCGUCACCUUGUGCGAAGGCUUUCUUGGCGUUCUCCCCACCCUCGAGCUCUGGGGGGAGUUCUUCCAAUCGAAGCUGGGCACCCGCAUGCAGGGCGUGCCGGCCCAGAGCGGCGCCUUCAUCGCGAUGCGGAGGCCGGCGGCCGACAACCCCUUCCCCGUCAUCACGUUAAUCCAGUCGGUGAAGCUCUGGCAGAAGUCAUAUUUCUACGUGAAGAACGUCGCCCCACAAGGCGACUACGUCAACUUGCCGGCUUACGUAGCCGGCCCGCCGGCUGGGAGGCGGCCCCAGUGGUCCUAUCGGGCCGUGACGCUGUCACAGGCUGGAGCCGCGGCCGUCGCCCGACUGCGGGUGAUGAUCCAGUCGGAGGGCCUGGCUGGAUCCGACUUGCUGGCUGCCUUCGUCGCGCGCCGGGUGCUUCCGCUUCAGAGCCGCGCUCACCUGAUCUGUCAGAUGAGCGGCCAACUCGAUCCAAGUCGGAUGUGCACCAAGGACAUGCCGCACGACGAGGUGGCCCAUAUGGUGAAUUAUCUUGCGAACUGCAAGCUCUCCGCAGAGUGGCGGUUUGGCAAGGAGCCAUAUUCCCGUGCACAUCCGCCGCCCGCGGUAUGUUCUCUUUUUCCCAUUCUUCUCUUAGUUUUGUCGCCGAGUUCCUCCUCGCCGACUCUGACCAGUCGGCACGUCUUGACAGAGCCCUCUCCUUCGAUCGGCAGCCGAGUCGGAGGCGGAGCGCCGAUUCCUCCCCGACUGGGCGGAGCAUGACCUGGAGGACCACGACUUGGGGGCGGCCGCCAUGGAUGAAAACACCGAGGCGGGUGGCGGCGAAGCCGGCGGCGAAGCAGGCGGCUCCGGGCUCGGAGCCAGCUUCGACGACUGGUCGGAUGACGACGAGGCGGAAGUCGUCCCACGCCGCCCGCCGGCGCCCGGCUACGGCGCAAGUUCCUCCGCCGCGCCGCCUGCUCGGGGCGGCGGGCAAAAGCGUCGGGCCGCGUCGGGCUUGUUCGGCAGUCGGCUGAAGAAGCCCAAGGGUGGGGCGGCGACGACCAGGCGGGACGAGGCGGCCGCGAAGGCGGCCCGCUUCCGCAAGGUGGUGAAGUAGCCGCAGACGGUGUCAGCGUAAGUGUAUAUUCCUUUGUACAUUCUUUCUUCUUUUCUUGGUGAUUUCUGAAUCCUUGUCCUUUCUCAAAAAUCAGGGCUCCGCUUUCGCUCGAGCGGGUUGCUGCCGCCUCCGUCGUUGGAUCGCCGGGAGGAUCCAGGAGCACCCGCCGCGUGGACCCCCGCGCCGAGCUUCAGGCGGCGACGGAGCGAAACGCGCGGGAGGCGCGGGAGGCGGAGGAGUUGAGGGCGGCUGCCGCCAAGGCGGCACAGGAGGAGGAGGAGGCGGCGAAGGCGCGCGCCGAUGCAGCGGCCAAGGCCCAAGCGGAGGCUGCGGCCNNNNNNNNNNNNNNNNNNNNNNNNNNNNNNNNNNNNNNNNNNNNNNNNNNNNNNNNNNNNNNNNNNNNNNNNNNNNNNNNNNNNNNNNNNNNNNNNNNNNNNNNNNNNNNNNNNNNNNNNNNNNNNNNNNNNNNNNNNNNNNNNNNNNNNNNNNNNNNNNNNNNNNNNNNNNNNNNNNNNNNNNNNNNNNNNNNNNNNNNNNNNNNNNNNNNNNNNNNNNNNNNNNNNNNNNNNNNNNNNNNNGCUCGUCACCCCUCUGCGUGUCGCGGCGCCCGAGGCCCCGGAGCCCCCGCCGGAGGAAGCCGGCGGCGACCAGCCGGGGUUGAAGAGGGAGGACGACGUCGUCGUCCCGGAGAGGGAGGCGGCACCGGCCCCGUCGACUGGGGCGGCUCAAGGCAGCCGGCCUAUCAUGCCGCCUGCGCAAUCGGCCGGGGGCGAGCCGGCCGCGAGGACGGACCUGGUGGUCCAGUCGCCAUCGUGCCAGUGCACGGGGAAGGCCGCAUCGGACCCGCAGAAGGCCGCGGGCUCCGGCUCAUCGGCCCGGGAUGUGGAGGCUGCCAGCGCUAGCUCGGGGUGGACGCCGGGUGGAGGGUCGGCCGUGGUGAACGUGGCGGCGCAGGACGUCCGGAACCGGCUUCAGUCCCAGGCUUCGGCGCUGAGGAAAUACAACGACGAGUUCCUUGCGACGCGAGCGGCCAUUCGGGUUAGUCUUCCUAUUUUUGCUUUUUUGAUCUUGGUUUCUUCCGUGGGGCACGUCAGCGCACCCACUGGGUGUAGUCCCUGAGUUCCGAGUCGGCUGCUGAGCAAGCGGCUUGGAACUUCUUAGCGGGCUUUGUUUUGCUAUCUUGUUCUCAUUCGCUCCUCUGCCUGACUUGCAGGACUACCACAACCUCCGCGCGGCUGCCUUCAACUUCCAGGCUCGGGAGCUGACCCAGAAGAAUGCUGACCUAUCUGAGAGCCGGGGGUAAGUGCUUCGUCCUUUAUCUCACGUGGGGGCGCGUCAGCGCACCCAUUGGGUGUAGUCCCCGAGAUUCGGGCUGACUGCUGAGCAGUCGGCUCGGAUCUUCCUUGACGACUUUUUCCUUAUUGCUUCUUUCUUUUCUACCCUGCCUGCAGCAGCCAACGCCAGACUGAGGGAGCAGCUGGGUGGGACUCAGACCGCCCUCUGCGCUAAGGAGGCCGAAUUUGAGGCCUUGGCCCAGGAGCGUGACCGCCUGGCCAAGAGGUUGGCCGACCAGGAGAAGAGCCAUAAGGUGGCCCUGAAGGUGGUGCAGGACAGCGAGGCCACCCUCCAAGCCGAAUAUGAGACAGAGGCGGCAAGCUGGGCCGAAGCGAGGCAGUCGCUGAUCAACGGCUAUGGCCAGAUCGAAGACUUGGUUGACGGUAGGCCGCUCUCUUCUUCGUCCUUGCUUGCCGCUUGCCUUUUGGCUCAUUUUCUGACUUGGUGCUUUUAUUUUCUCUCUUUCUUUCUUGCGCAGAGUACUUCCCUGGCUACUCUACUGCCGCCAACCAGGUCGUCGAGGCCCACCGCGAGGCACAAAGGCAGGCUGGCGCCGAGAUCGCGCCGGACGCUCGCCGGUCGCUGGAGCAGCAGCUCUUGGCGAUUCAAGCCCGCCUCCAGCCGGCUCACCGCAUGCUCCGCCGGCUUCAGCGUGUUGGGGCGCAGGUGUUGACCACUCUCUGGCCUGGUGAGGUGAUUCCCCGCACCCCCAGUUGGACUGCCGACUGGUUGGAGGUGGCGGUCGGCCGCUUCGAGGCCUGGAAGGCUUCCGCGGCUCGGUCCGGCGCCAGGCGGGCGCUGGAGUUCAAGGCCUGGUAUCCCGAGCUGAGUCUGGACCAGCUGGCCACCUGGCGGCAGGAGGCCGACACAGAGCUGGAGCCGGCGCGGCCGGCUAUCAUCCAGCGGGCUUCGGCCAUUGCCGACUACACCGACACCAGCGCCUUCGUUCCUGAGGUGGACGACAACGGCGUUGCCCAGCCGGAAGAGUGGUUCGGGCUGAACCCGGCAGAUGGCAAGGACUCGGCGGAGGAGAUCGACUCCAGCGACGAGGGUGAGGAGGAGGAGGAGGAGGGUGAAGACGCCGCGCCAGAUGGUGGAGCGGCCGGUCAGCCUCAGCUUGACCGUGCCUCCAGCAACAAGGCACGCACGGGUGCACCGCCUGCAGCCGGCGAUGAUCAAGCCGAGACCCGCCAGUCGGCCACUCCUCCAGCCGGCGGCGCCGUCUCCACCGACCAGCCCGGCUCCCCUGCUGCGCCCUUAGUCUAGUCUGCUGCCUCUAUUUUCCUGUUUUACUACUCUUGGAAUAGUUUUUUGUUAAGUUUGCACAAUUCCACCCACUGGGGGUGUAUUCGAACUAUAUUGACUGCCGGCCUGUUGGGGGCCUUAUGUGUAAAUAUAAUUAUGCAUGCGUUUGGCUUUCCCUUGUUCUUUGCUUUUCAUCCUUCGGCUGUUUCCUUUGCCGCCCUCCCUUGGUUGCCGCCUUCCCAGCCGGACAGCUGCUCUGCAAUCUGUGGCUGGAGAAGUGCUUGGCCAGUUGGGAGGGCAAGUGCUCUAGCUUUGUUGGAUUAUAGCGAAGUGACUGGGAGGCCGGCCAGCCGGCUGUUUUGACAGCCGGUAGGCGUGGUUGGAGGCCGUCUUUGCGUUAUAUAAGUUCGUUAGUCCUUAGCCGUUUUUCGUGUGUGCAUCCUUUCUGCCUUUGGCUCUUGCCAGUCGGACAGUCGGUUCUUCGAGCUGCGACUUUCAACAAGAGAGGGCUCGGGUGCCGGCACACUACUUGUCUGACUUCAGGUAGAACUUCUAAUAUAACUUAAGGCGGCCAGUCCCCGGGCCGACUAGUCGAACCCGGUGCCAGAUAGAAAAUCAAAUGUAAUAAUACAUUCAUGAGUAUGACACUCGUCAUUCAUAGAUAAAGGAGGGCAGUCCCCGAGUGCGCCUCGGGGUGCCCGUUUGUCUCAUAUUUAAUAAAAAAAUGGUAGCAUAAUACAUACUGCUUUCAACUGUAAAAUCUUCUCAGGAGGUUUGCGUUCCAUGGUCGUUCCGACUCCUUGCCGGAAUCAUCCCUCUUGCGUGCUCUUGGCUUCUGUGCGUUGAUCAGGUAGUAGGAGUCGUUGCCUAGUGCUUUGCUGACGACGAAAGGGUCUUCCCAAGGGGCCGAGAGCUUGUGCUGGCCGGCUGUUCGCUGGAUCAGCCGGAGCACAAGGUCGCCCUCUUGGAAGGAUCUUGGCUUGACCUUUCGGUUGUGGUAACAGCGCAAACCCUGCUGGUAGAUGGCGGACCGGCUGAGUGCUAACAGCCGGCCUUCUUCCAGCAGGUCGACGCCGUCUUCUCGUGCUUCCUUGGCCUCCGCCUCCGUGUACAUGGUGACCCGAGGUGAGUCGAACUCGAUGUCAGUUGGGAUGAUAGCCUCGGCACCAUACACAAGGAAGAACGGAGUGAAGCCGGUUGACUUGUUUGGGGUAGUAUGCAGACUCCAGAGGACAGCCGGCAGCUCGUCGAGCCAGCAGCCGGCCGAGCGCUCCAGUGGUAUGACCAGUCGGGGCUUGAUGCCGGAGAGGAUGAGGCCGUUUGCUCGCUCGACCUGGCCGUUUGACUGCAGGUGGGCAAUGGACGCUAAGUCCAGUCGGAUGCCCUGUGUCGCGCAGAAACGUGCCAGUGCUCCCUUGGCAAAGUUUGUGCCGUUGUUGGUGAUGAUGCUGUGCGGCACGCCAUACUGAGUAGUGAUGUCGGCAAUGAAUGUCACGGCAGUCGGCCCGUUCAGCUUCUUGAUCGGCUUCGCUUCGAUCCACUUGGUAAAUUUGUCCACGGCGACAAGCAGAUGUGUCAAGCCGCCACGGGCUGUCUUGAAUGGGCCCACCAUGUCCAGCCCCCAGACGGCAAAGGGCCAGGUGAGGGGGAUGGUCUUGAGUGCAGAAGCCGGCAGGUGUUGCUUGGAACUGAAGACUUGGCAUCCUUUGCAGCAUUUGACUAUCUCUUUGGCAUCUUCCAAAGCAGUCGGCCAGAAGAAACCAUGGCGGAAAGCUUUGGCCACAAGUGAUCUUGAGGCUGCGUGGUGGCCGCAUUCGCCUUGGUGGAUAUCCUUGAGGAUUGCUACACCCUUCUCGGGCUCGACGCAGCGCUGGAAGACUCCAGUGACGCUGCGCUUGACAAGUUCUCUGUUUAUUAUUGCAUAUGCUCCGGCUCGGCGUUGCACUAGUCUUGCCGAGAUCUCAUCAGUCGGCAGCUCUCUGUUGACUAGGAAGUUGAGGAUGGGCUGGGCCCAUGAUGGAGCUGUGACUUCUUCUACUGUUAGUACGGCCACUGUGACUCGGGUGGGUGGGUUGGGUGGUGGAGAGUUGGAGUCGGCCACCGCUUCUUGUGUCGCUGCAGCCCCCGGGCCGACUGCUGCAGUCCCCGGGCCGGGUUCUGAAGUCCCUGAGCCGGGUGCGACUACGACAGUCCCCGGGCCGCUUGUCGAAGUCCCAGAGCCGCCUGCUGGGUUCCUCCAGUCGGGUCCGGCUGCAUCGGGGGCAGGCGGUGCGAAGAUAGAGUCCGACUCUGGAGACGGCUUGAUAGACGGUUUGAGGAGGCGCUGGAGAGAGACACCGGUUGGUAUAGCCUGUCGGGCGGAGCCGAUUCGUACCAAGGCAUCUGCUUGGUCGUUGUCGGCCCGUGGUACGUGAGGGAACUCGCACCCUUCGAAGUACCCACUGAUCUGCUGGACGAGGAAUCGAUAGCUCGCCAUGUUUGCAUCCUUGGCGUCCCAGUCGCCAGAUGACUGCUGGACCACCAAGUCUGAGUCGCCAUAACACAGGAUCCGGCGUAUGCCGAGCUCUUUGGCUAGCCGGAGCCCGUGUAUGAGCGCCUCAUAUUCAGCCACGUUGUUCGAGGCGGCAAAGUGGAUUUGCAACGUGUAUCUGAGCUUGUCGCCUUUGGGAGAGGUGAGGACGAUGCCGGCUCCCAAGCCGGUGCACAUCUUGGACCCGUCGAAGUGCAUCCGCCAAUGAGUAGAGUCAGGAGCCGGCGGUAGGUACUGGGUCUCGGCCCAGUCGACGAGGAAGUCGGCCAAUGCUUGGGACUUGAUGGCGGUGCGGGGCUGGUAGAAGAUUGUGUAAGGCGCCAGCGUAAUGGCCCAUUUAGCCACCCGACCGGAUGCAUCCCAGCUGCAUAUGAUAUCGGCAAGCGGGGCGGUGCAUACGACCGUGAUGGGAUGCUCUUGAAAGUAGGGCUUCAGCUUCUUGGCGGCGAAGUACACUCCAUAGCACAUCUUCUGGUAGUGUGGGUAGUUUUGCUUUGAGCUGGACAGUACUUCGCUUAGAUAAUACACCGGCCUCUGGACUAGCUGGGCUCGGCCUUCUUCUGGGCGCUGAACCACGAUGACUGUACUGACCACUCGGCUAGUUGCGGCAAUGUAGAGGAGCAUGGGCUCCUUCUCAGUCGGCGCUGCCAGGACAGGUGGAGUGGUCAGCAUCUUCUUCAACUCAUGGAAGGCUUGGUCUGCUUGGUCAUUCCACUCGAAAUGAGUGGAUUUCUUCAUGAGUCGGUACAGGGGGAGAGCCUUCUCUCCUAGCCGGCUGAUAAAGCGGUUUAGGGAGGCCAGACACCCAGUGAACUUCUGCACGUCUCGCAACUUGGUGGGAAUCUCCAUUCUUUCAAUGGCUUUGAUCUUCAUAGGGUUGUACUCAAUGCCGUGUUCGGAGACCAGAAAGCCUAGAAGUUGGCCGGCUGGUACUCCGAACACGCAUUUCUCGGGGUUGAGCUUGAUCUAGAAUCGGUGCAAGUUGGCAAAUGUUUCUUUGAGGUCUUCCAGCAGGGUGCCGCGCUUCUCUGUCUUCACCACAAUAUCGGCUACGUAGACGUGGGCAUUUCUGCCGAGUUGCUUGAGGAGGCAUUUCUGCAUGCAACGCUGAAAAGUGGCACCGGCAUUCCUCAAGACGAAUGUCAUAGUCAGGUAACAGAAAGCUCCGAAUGGUGUGAUGAAGGCGGUCUUCAGGCGGUCUGCUGGGUCUAACUUAAUCUGGUGGUAUCCUGAGUAGGCAUCCAAGAAACUCAACAGCUCGCAUCCGGCUGUGGAGUCUAUUACUUGAUCAAUCCGCGGCAGAGCAAACGGAUCUUUGGGGCAGGCCUUGUUGAGGCUGGUGUAGUCUAUACACAUACGCCAUUUGUUGUUCUUCUUCAACACCAAGACUGGGUUGGCAAGCCACUCUGGGAAAAACGCUUCCAUAAUAAAGCCGGCGGCAAAGAGCCGGGCUAUCUCUUCUCCUACGAUUCUUCUUUUCUCUUCUGACAGUCGGCGGAGAGGCUGCUUGACCGGCCUCGUGUCCGCUCGGACGUGUAACUUGUGCUCGGCGAAAUCCUUCGGAACACCCGGCAUGUCCUUUGGGGACCAUGCAAAGAUGUCUCGAUUCUCACAGAGGAAGUCGACGAGCUCGCCUUCCUAUUUGCUGUCCAGGUUUGCACCAAUGACUGCAAACCUCUCCGGGUUCUCCGGGUCCAGAGGUAUCUUCUUCGUCUCCUUGGCCGGCUGGAAGGAGCCCUGCGCAUCAUAUUCCUUGGGGUUGGGGGACAAGGCCGGCUGCUUGCCGGCCAUGGCCACAACUCGCUCCAGCAUCUUCUUCUCUUCUGCCACUACGAGGGACUCGGCCAGCCGGCUGCUGGCUGCAGCGCACUCGAUGGACUUCUUGUAGUCGCCGGCUACAGUGAUGAUCCCCUUCGAGCUCGGCAUCUUCAUCUUCAGGUAGGCGUAGUGGGGCACAACCAUGAACUUGGCCAGAGCAGGUCGGCCAAGCAAGGCGUGGUAAGGGCUUUUCAGAUCCACUACCUCGAACCAGAUUGCUUCUUGGCGAAAGUGAUCCUUGUCUCCGAAGAGAACAUCCAUCUUGAUCUUGCCGAUCGGGGAACAGGACAGGCCGGGUAUGAUGCCAUGGAACACGGUCCGGCUUGGCAUGAGCUGCUUCGCCUUGAGGUUCAACUUCUCCAUGGUAUCACGGUACAGUAUGUUGAUACUGCUUCCGCCAUCAAUCAGAAUGCGGGAGAAUCGGGCAGCCCGCCUCUCUGUUGCGAGGGUGACAUCCAAUACCAAUGCAUAGGAGCCAGGGGACGGCAUCACCUCUGGGUGAUCGGCUCGGCUCCAGUUGAUAGGCCUUUCAGACCAAUGCAUGAACUCGGGGUUGCUGGAGGCGACUGCGUUGACCUCUUGGUGCUGUCGGUGCCGGCUGCGCUUGUCUUCAACCUGGCUUGUGAAGACGAUGUAGGCGGCUUGUUCAUCAAGGAACUCAUCUUGAACGGCUCCGACUGCUGGUUGAGCAGCCGGCUGCUAGGGGGCUGGAGGCGGCGGGCCGGGAGGCGGAGGCGGCACGAGCCCCUCGCCCUUGGAGAUCCGGGUGAGCCAGUGGCACUUUCGGGUCGUGUGGUUGGACGGCUUCGCGCCGUUGUGGAACUUGCAGGGGGCAUCGAGAGUCUGCUCGUAGGAGAAGGCCGGCUGCCAAGCCGGCCUGCCGCCCUUCUUCUUGGGAGCGAGCCGCUCUUCGGGCUGCUCAUCUUCGACUGUGGCCACCUGCCGGCUGGUGGAAGGCGGCAUAGGGGCCUUGCGCUUGUGGUCGUUCUGGUAGGGGCACCGAUUGGGGUCGCCAGCCGGUGCCUUAGGAGCCGGAGCGAGCACCUUUCCAGAGGCGUCGACUCGGAGCUCGGUCUUCAUCGAGGAGUCGGCCGUGGCGUACUUGUCUGCAAUGACCAGCAGCUCGUCGAGGGUAGCCGGCUCGUCGCAGAGGAGUCGGUGCUUGAGGAGGGUGCCCUCUCGGCACCCGGCGGUGAAGUAUUCGAUGGCUUGAACCUCGUGCACCCCCUCGCAGGAGUUGCGGAGCUCGGCCCACCACGUGAGGUAGUCGCGGGUUGACUCGCUGGGCCCUUGGACGCAUAAGGAGAGCUGGCUGGGCUUGGGAGGCCGCUUGUACGUGCUGGUGAAGUUGCGGACGAAGACUUCCGUGAAGUCCAGCCAGCUGUUGAUGCUGAAGGGCUUGAGGCUGUUGAGCCAAGUGCGUGCCGUUCCUUGCAGCAUGAGAGGGACGCACUUCACGGCUACGCGCCUGUUUCCGUUCACUAUGCUGACAGCAGUAGAGUAGUCGAUGAGCCAAUCUUCUGGCUUCACAGAGCCGUUGUACUUGGGCGUGUCUCUGGGGAGCGAGAACCCUUUGGGGAAGGGCUCAUCGCGGAUGCGGGGGCCAAAGCAUGGCGGGACGACAUCGUCUUCUUCUUCUAGCCCCAGGGACCGAGCUAGGCGGUCGAUCCGGUGGCGGGCGUCGUUCUCGCCGACUCCUUCGCGGUGGCCUAGUCGGCCACCGAGAGUCGGAUGUGUGACAGGCGGAGGGGUGGGAUGUCUCUCCCCAUGAGGCGGGGGAGGAGGCGGAUUGCCUUGGCGCUCCACUGCCCGAGGGCGGCCUUCCACGUUGCGCUCGAUGGUGAUUCGAGUCCGGCUGCGGCUAGCAGCCGGCUCCUUGUCUUUCCUUGCGCGGGCGCCGCUCGCAGUCGGCGACCGGGAUGUCGCGGCGUGCUCUCGGCGUGGGGAAGGACUCUCAGCGCGGGAGCUGGCUUCAUGCCGUUCUGCGGCCGCGUCGAUCAGCUGCUGGAUGCGCCUUGUCAUGUAGAGGAGCUCAUCAGCCCCCAGCCCAUUCAGCUCUUCUGUGGCCGCCUGAGCAGCUCGCAGAUUCUCGAGCCGUGUGGCGUAGACGGGGCGGUCUGCCCCCAGCAUGCUGGCGAUGGCCGCGCCGCGCUUCUUGACGAGGCCGGCUCGGCUCGGCCCGCCAUGCGGCGGCGUACCAAAGGCGGCGCGGUCAACUUCGCGCUGGUGAGCCUCAGUGAGGCGUCUCAUGGAGGCUAUCUUCUGGCCCUCCGUGAUGAGGGCGAGGCGGCGUGCCUCCAGGGUCUCGGCGUCGGCGUCAGCCGGGAUGGGGACGGAUAAGUCGUGCAUCACCGCUUGUAGGGCGUCGUGGGCGUUCUCGCCCGAGUCGGCGAUGUGGCUGGUGACCAGCACCUCAGUGACAGCGCUGCUGCCGCUGUCAGCUCGAGGGAGAGGGUCAUCGAAGACUACCACAUCGGAGGGGUAGGCAUCGAGCGAUGCCGUGUCGGAGUCGACAAGCAUCGGGUCAGUGGAGCCGACCGACUCCAAGUCCACAGCAAGCUCGCUGGAGACGUGAAGCUGGUCGAGGAGGCUAACGACGCGGCUCUCGGGGCAGUCCGUGCCUGCGUCGGACGCGGGCUCGUCGGAGAUGCGAGUCUCGCCAAGAAGAUCGGCGAGGCAGCUCGCUGCGCAGGCGUCGUCGACGCCUAGCCGCGCGUCAGGGCAAGCGCUAUCGGGCGCAGCAGGCUGGCUGCGCUCGCGGGGGAGGAAAAGGGUUCCCGUCCAGAACAGGUCUCCGGACGACGGUGCACCUGGCCCCACGGUGGGCGCCAAAUGUCGGGUGGUAGGUGCGACAUAUGCCAACGGAUGGCUUAUCAUUGUGGGAGCCAGUAAAACAUUGCCGGUGCCUGGAAACGAGAUGAGGCGAAGACAUGCACGCCGGCGAAUCUUACCCAGGUUCGGGGCUCUCCGUGGAGAUAACACCCCUAGUCCUGCUCUGCGGGGUCUCCGCAUGAUCACUAGAUCAAUACAAGUAGCUACAAGCGCUCCUUGAGCUGUUUGGCUAGAGGAAGAAGAAGGGCAAGGCUAGCUCUCCUUUUCUCUCUAUGUGGUGUGUGGAAUUCUAUGAGAUCAACCCUUUGCAUGGGUGUCCCGGGGGGUUUAUAUAGGCCUACCCCCCAGGGGUACAAUGGUAAUCCGGCUGGACGCGGGUCCCAGCCGUCAGCGUCUAUGCACGCCGGCUUCUCCGCCGGUCAUUGGGGCCCGUCGACUGGUGGGUCCCGCCGGCUGCCGGCCUCUUGGCCGACAGGCCGGCCCUACCGCUUGGGGGCUUUGUCGGCGGCUGGUUACUGUUGCCUCGCCUCUGAUGACGAGAGCUUUGUUGAGGUAAGCGUGGCUACAGUGUCGCCGCCUUGCGGGCUCUCACUGUAGCCUUACCUCGUCUUGUCUCCUUAAUGAGGCACAUGUUUCGAGGGAGGGAGGUAGCUGGCUAUUGGGAUCCGGCCACACCCCUGGCCGACUAGAGGAGGCCAGGCCGCCUUCGGGUGUCUCUCUGGCAAAAGGGGCCCGCCGCCUAUGGGCCGUACUGGUGCCUGUCGUGGGUGACAUCGAGGCCAGCACGGCUACAGUGCCACGCCGGACGGGGGAUGGCUGGCCCGUACGGUGCCCUGUGGCCAUGCCUGUUCCGGGAUUCAGGGGUAGUGGGCUGUACUGCGGCCACGCCCCAUCAUAUCGUCGUUAUGUGGGUACAGUCUUUAGUGGGUGCAGUCUUGGCUGGCUUCUGGGAGCCGGCUUUCUUCAUGGCCGGCUUCUGGGAGUCGGCCCUGGGGAUAGCCGGCCGGGGGAAGGCGGCCCUAUGCUUUGUAUGCUUGAAGGCUUGAAUGGCCUGAUAAUUUUUCGAAGAGCCAGGGGGAGUUGGUUAGGCUACCCGUGGCCAUUUACUCCGACACUUUUUGACAGUAGGGAGAGGAAAUUCAAAACCUCCAAUAGUAAUAGUUGAAAUUUUUCCAAUAGAAUUGAUACUGUGGUGCUUGAGGUUGUUUCCUCGGAAAGUGUACCAUAUGCUCAUUACCAUUAACAUGAAAAGUGACAUUGCCUUUGUUGCAAUCAAUAACAGCCCCUGCAGUAUUCAAAAAGGGUCUACCAAGGAUAAUUGACAUAUUAUCGUCCUCGGGAAUAUCAAGAAUAACAAAGUCCGUUAAAAUAGUAACAUUUGCAAUCACAACAGGCACAUCCUCACAAAUACCGACAGGUAUAGCGGUUGAUUUAUCGGCCAUUUGCAAAGAUAUUUCAGUAGGUGUCAACUUAUUCAAAUCAAGUCUACGAUAUAAAGAGAGAGAGAGGCAUAACACUAACACCGGCUCCAAGAUCACAUAAAGCAGUUUUAACAUAGUUUCUUUUAAUGGAGCAUGGUAUAGUUGGUACUUCUGGAUCUCCAAGUUUCUUUGGUAUUCCACCCUUAAAAGUAUAAUUAGCAAGCAUGGUGGAAAUUUCAGCUUCUGGUAUCUUUCUUUUAUUUGUAACAAUAUCCUUCAUAUACUUAGCAUAAGGAUUCAUUUUAAGCAUAUCAGUCAAACGCAUACGCAAAAAGAUAGGUCUAAUCAUUUCAGCAAAGCGCUCAAAAUCCCCAUCAUGCUUUUUCUUGGAUGGUUUAGGAGGAAAGGGCAUGGGUUUCUGAACCCAUGGUUCUCUUUCUUUACCGUGCUUCCUAGCAACAAAGUCUCUCUUAUCAUAACGUUGAUUCUUUGAUUGUGGGUUAUCAAGAUCAACAGCAGGUUCAAUCUCUAUAUCAUUGUUAUUUCUAGGUUGAGCAUUAAUACAAACAUCAUCAUUAACAUUAUCACUAGGUUCAUGUUCAUCACCAGAUUGUGUUUCAGCAUCAGAAAUAGAAAUAUCAUUGGGAUUCUCAGGUGUGUCAAUAACAGGUUCACUAGAAGCAUGCAAAGUCCUAUCAUUUUUCUUUUUCUUCUUCUUAGAAGGACUGGGUGCAUCAACAUUAGUUCUCUGAGAAUCUUGCUCAAUUCUCUUAGGGUGACCUUCAGGAUACAAAGGUUCCUGAGUCAUUUUACCCCCUCUAGUCAUAACUCUAACAGCAUUAUCAUUUUUCUUAUUAUUUAAUUCAUUGAGCAAAUCAUUUUGAGCUUUAAGCAGUUGUUCUACUUGAGUGGUAACCAUAGAAGCAUGUUUACUAAUGAGUUUAAGUUCACCCUUAAUUCUAGACAUAUAAUCGCUCAAGUGUUCAAUCAUAUAAGCAUUGCGUUUCAAUUGUCUACCAACAUAAGCAUUGAAGUUUUUUUGUUUAACAAUAAAAUUAUAAAACUCAUCUAAACAUUGGCUAGCAGACUUAUAACGAGGAAUAUCACCUUCAUCAAAUCUAUAGAGAGAAUUUACCUUUACUACCUGUGUCGGGUUAUCAAGACCAUGUAUUUCUUCAAUAGGUGGUAAAUUCUUAACAUCUUCAGCGUUAAUACCCUUUUCUUUCAUAGAUUUCUUUGCCUCUUGCAUAUCUUCAAGACUAAGAAAUAUAGUACCCCUUUUCUUCAGAGUUGGCUUAGGAGUUGGUUCAGGAAGUGUCCAAUUAUUUUCAUUAGUCAACAUAUUAUUCAAUAACAAUUCAGCUUGAUCAACUGUUCUUUCCCUGAAAACACAACCAGCACAACUAUCCAGGUGGUCUCUGGAAGCAUCGGUUAGUCCAUUAUAAAAGAUAUCAAGUAUUUCAUUUUUCUUGAGAGGAUGAUCAGGCAAAGCAUUAAGUAAUUGGAGAAGACUCCCCCAAGCCUGUGGGAGACUCUCUUCUUCAAUUUGCACAAAAUUAUAUAUUUCCCUUAAAGCAGCUUGUUUCUUAUGAGCGGGGAAAUAUUUAGCAGAGAAGUAAUAAAUCAUAUCCUGUGGACUACGCACACAACCAUGAUCAAGAGAAUUAAACCAUGUUUUAGCAUCACCCUUUAAUGAGAACGGAAAUAAUUUAAGGAUAUAGUAGUAACGGGUUUUCUCAUCAUUAGUGAAUAGGGUAGCUAUAUCAUUUAAUUUAGUAAGAUGUGCCACAACAGUUUCAGAUUCAUAACCAUGAAAAGGAUCAGAUUCAACCAAAGUAAUUAUCUCAGGAUCGACAGAGAAAUCAUAAUCUUUAUCGGAAAUACAGAUAGGUGAAGUAGCAAAAGCAGGGUCAUAUUUCAUUCUAGCAUUCAAAGAUUUUUCUUUAAGCUUAGCUAAUAAUUUCUUAAGAUCAUAUCUAUCAUUGCAAGCAAGAAAGUCUCUAGCAGUUUCUUCAUCCAUAACAUAACCGUCAGGCACAACAGGCAAUUCAUAUCUAGGGGGAGAAUCUUCAUCAUCACUUUCAUCAAUAUUAUCAGUUCCAAUAAUUUCAUUCUCUCUAGCCCUAGCAAGUUGUUCAUCAAGAUAUUCACCUAGUGGCACAGUAGUAUCAAGCAUAGAAGUAGUUUCAUCAUAAGUAUCAUGCAUAGCAGAAGUGGCAUCAUCAAUAACAUGCGACAUAUCAGAAUUAAUAGCAGAAUCAGGUUUAGGUGUCGCAAGCUUACUCAAAACAGAAGGUGAAUCAAGUGUAGAGCUAGAUGGCAGUUCCUUACCUCCCCUCGUAGUUGAGGGAUAAAUUUUGGUUUUCUCGUCUUUCAAUUUCCUCAUAGUGAUCAGUAGAUAUAAAUCCCAAGUGACUCAAAGAAUAGAGCUAUGCUCCCCGGCAACGGCUCCAGAAAAUAGUCUUGAUAACCCACAAGUAUAGGGGAUCGCGACAAUUUUCGAUGGUAGAGUAUUCAACCCAAAUUUAUUGAUUCGACACAAGGGGAGCCAAAGAAUAUUCUCAAGUAUUAGCAGCUGAGUUGUCAAUUCAACCACACCUGGAUAACUUAAUAUCUGCAGCAAAGUAUUUAGUAGCAAAGUAGUAUGGAAGUAACGAUAACGGUGAUAAAAGUAACAGUAGCAAUUUUGUAGUAAUUGUAACAGUGGCAACGGUAAAGUAACUAAGCAAAGAUCAAUAUGUGAAAAGCUCGUAGGCAUUGGAUUGGUGAUGGAGAAUUAUGCGGGAUGCGAUUCCUCAUGCAAUAGUUAUAACAUAGGGUGACAUAGAACUAGCUCCAGUUCAUCAAUGUAAUGUAGGCAUGUAUUCCGAAUAUAGUCAUACGUGCUUAUGGAAAAGAACUUGCAUGACAUCUUUUGUCCUACCCUCCCAUGGCAGCGGGGUCCUAUUGGAAACUAAGGGAUAUUAAGGCCUCCUUUUAAUAGAGUACCGGACCAAAGCAUUAACACUUAGUGAAUAAAUGAACUCCUCAAACUACGGUCAUCACCUGUAAGUAUCCCGAUUAUUGUCACUUCGGGGUUAACGGAUCAUAACACAUAAUAGGUGACUAUAGACUUGCAAGAUAGGAUCAAGAACUCACAUAUAUUCAUGAAAACAUAAUAGGUUCAGAUCUGAAAUCACGGCACUUGGGCCCUAGUGACAAGCAUUAAGCAUAGCAAAGUCAUAGCAACAUCAAUCUCAGAACAUAGUGGAUACUAGGGAUCAAACCCUAACAAAACUAACUCAAUUACAUGGUAAAUCUCAUCCAACCCAUCACCGUCCAGCAAGCCUACGAUGGAAUUACUCACGCAAGGCGGUGAGCAUCAUGAAAUUGGUGAUGGAGGAUGGUUGAUGAUGACAACAGCGACGGAUUCCCCUCUCCGGAGCCCCGAACAGACUCCAGAUCAGCCCUCCCAAGAGAUAUUAGGGCUUGGCGGCGGCUCCGUAUCAUAAAAUGCGAUGAAUCCUUCUCUCUGAAUUUUUUCUCCCCAAACAUGAAUAUAUAGAGUGGGAGUUGAGGUCGGUGGAGCACCAGGGGGCCCACGAGGCAGGGGGCGCGCCCAGGGGGGUAGGCGCGCCCCCACCCUCGUGGACAAGGUGUGGGCCCCCUGGUCUUGAUUCUUUCGCCAAUAUUUUUUAUAUAUUCCAAAAAUAUUCUCCGUUAAGUUUGAGGUCAUUCCAAGAACUUUUAUUUCUGCACAAAUAUAACACCAUGGCAGUUCUGCUGAAAACAGCGUCAGUCCGGGUUAGUUCCAUUCAAAUCAUGAAAGUUAGAGUCCAAAACAAGGGCAAAAGUGUUUGGAAAAUUAGAUACGAUGGAGACGUAUCAACUCCCCCAAGCUUAAACCUUUGCUUUUCCUCAAGCAGUUCAGUUGACAAACUGAAAGUGAUAAACAAAAACUUUUACAAACUCUUCGUAUCUUCACAGCCCAUCCGGAUACGGGUGGAGUCUUCGAUCUUCGUAUCUUCACAGCCCAUCAGUCCGGCCCAUGUACCAUAGUCCGGACGCCCGAGGACCCCAUAAUCCAGGACUCCCUCAGUAGCCCCUGACCAGGCUUCAAUGACGAGGUGUCCGGCGCGCAGAUUGUCUUCGACAUUGCUAGGCGGGUUCCUCCUCCGAUUACUUCAAAGUACCUGACUUAAAGAGCAGUAUUCGACUUUCCAUUGAAUGUCAUGCCCAUCAGCUUCCACGCCUUCAUGACUUAGCUUCCACGUGUCGAGCGAAUACGAGAGGUCGGGGUAUUUUUGCACAUAUCACCCUGACCAUGUAAGAAAGGCGUCUAUUUAAAGAGAUUGGGAUAUUCAGAUCCAUUCCACAUCAAGCGAGGAAUCCUCAGAGCUUGCUAGGAGAAACCAUUCCAACAUGGCUAGCGCUCCCAGCUGUUCCUCCCGUCCCCACGGCACCGAAAAAGGCGAUUGGGAGAAAUGUUCUGUAUCCCACGGUCGGCUAGUGAAGCUGCAGACACAGGGAUUUCUUCCCCCGCGGAUCUAGUCCCCGUUCGAGCAGGAUUGACUUCCUUCAACGGCAGGGCUCAGGCGGAGAAUUUCCCCAACCCAUCCAGGGAGUAACGAGUGUGCUUCGUUCCCCACUUGUUGAGAGGAGUUGGAUUUCCCAUCCACCCAUUCCUCCGAGGACUUCUGGAGUAUUAUGGCCUUCAACUGCACAAUUUCACUCCUGCCUCCAUCCUGCACAUCGCGGGUUAUGUUGCUCUUUGCGAGUUAUUCCUGGGUUUUGAGGCCCAUUUUGAAUUGUGGAGGAAGCUAUUCUGCCUCGUCCCUCGUAACCAAGAGGGAUCAAUAUUUGAAGUGGGCGGAGCCGAGGUAUGGCGCAUCGCCGGGACCGGAUACCUGUCUGGCACGCUGAAGAAGGCAUCCGAAGAGUGGCCUUCCAAAUGGUUCUGUAUCGAGUACGUCGCCCUUCCUGACCCAGUCUGAAUGGGUAUUCCCGAAUUUACAAGUGUUCCGUUGAAGAAACGCCACAGCUGGCACCCUCGAAGCCUCGAGGAGGAAGAUAGUGCGGAAGUCCGUCAACUGAUGAGCAAGAUAAAGACGCUUUCCCAGUCCGGAUUAUCAAUAGUCGAGGUAAUGGUGACUUCCAUAGUACGAGGGGUUUAGCCACUCCAAUACAGAGGGCUUCCCAUGUGGCACUAUAAUGGGGAAGUUGACGCCUCCCGCUAUGGUCGGAAGGGUCCGGACACCCCCACCGCUUUGGCCAAAAUAUUGGCAGAACUAUUCAAAGGGGAGGAAGACGAAUUCAUUCGUAUUAAGCGCAGAGAUGGAUUUUCCAUGUACAAUCCUCAUAGCUGGGUGAGUUCCAGUCCCACUACUCUACUCAUUCCACUCCCUGAGUCACUUUUAGUGAACAUUAAUCCGUCCAUUUGUAACAGAAAUGGUGAAAGAUCACCAAGGGGCUCCACAGCCCCGCCCCACAGCCAGAGGACCACAACCGGGACCUUGACCCCGGAUUCGAAGAGGAUCCGGACAUAUUCAUGGUGCUCGAGGACGGGGUGUUCUACCAGGUGAGCUAUGACGGCACGGAAGUGGCCAUCACCACCGACUAUCCCGGUCUUCUCCCUGCCUCACACGUAAGUAAUCAGGAGACAUCUCCUCUGAAAGAGCUUCCUUGUUCUACCUUACCCACCGCACUGUCUCGUGCUCCAAAGGGGAGGCGUUCGGCGCGCCAUGCUACACCAGAGGCAACUCCAAAGAGAGCGGCGCCCACGCCGGGCAAGCCUUCGAAGAGGAAGGCAAACGAAAAGAGCACUGUUUGUUAGUUUUCAAGAAAGUUUAUGAUCUAUACUUUAACAUGUGAAUAGCUUGUUACUUGAUCAUGAAAAGUUUUAUGAGAUGAGCUACUGUUAUGACAUAUAAUGAUGCUACAAAAGGUGAUUGAAAUUAUCAUUGAUUAAACUUGUGCACCUGCUAGCAUUCACACUUCAUAAAUUAUUUCUUUUAUCAUUUACCUACUCGAGGACGAGCAGGAAUUAAGCUUGGGGAUGCUAAUACGUCUCCAACGUAUCUAUAAUUCACGAAGUAUUCAUGCUAUUAUAUUAUCCAUCUUAGAUGUUUUAUAUGCAUUUAUAUGCUAUUUUAUAUGAUUUUUGGGACUAACCUAUUAACCUAGAGCCCAGUGCCAGUUCAUGUUUUUUCCUUGUUUUUGAGUUUUACAGAAAAGGAAUACCAAACGGAGUCCAAUUGAUGUACCAAUUUUUGUUGAUUUUUUAUGGACCAAAAGAAGCCCCUGGAGCAAAAGAGUUGGGACAGAAGAGUCCCUGGCUGUCCACGAGGGUGGGGGGUGCGCCCACCCCCCUGGGCGUGGGCCGCUGGCUCGUGGACGACUCGGAGAUCCCCCUGACGUGAAACCAACGCCAAAAAUUCCUAUAAAUACAUAAACCCCCAGAAAAUAACCUAGAUCGGAAGUUCCGCCGCCGCAAGCCUCUGUAGCCACGAGAAAUCAAUCUAGGCCCUCUCUGGCACCCUGCCGGAAGGGGCCAUCAUCACCGGAGGCCAUGGAGGAGGAUCCCGGAGGGGCCAUCAUCAACAUAAAGGCCAAGGACCAGAGGGAGAACCUCUCCCCAUCUAGGGGGGAGGCCAUGGAGGAGUAAGCACAAGGGGGAGAACCUCUCCUCCUCUCUCUCGGUGGCGCCGGAGUGCCAUCGGGAGGGGAAUCAUCGGCGCGGUGAUCGUCUUCAUCACCAUCACCAUCAUCAUCACCAUCCUCAUCUCUUUUACGUGGUCCACUCUCCCGCACCCCGUUGUAAUCCCUACUUGAACAUGGUGCUUUAUGCCACAUAUUAUGAUCCAAUGAUGUGUUGCCAUCCUAUGAUGUUUUGAGUAGAUAUCCUUUGUCCUUGGGUUGAUUGAUGAUCUAGAUUGGUAUGAGUUGUAUGUUUUAUUUUGGUGCUGUCCUAUGGUGCCCUCCGUGUCGCGCAAGCGUGAGGUAGGGUGUUGCAAUACGUUUAUGAUUCGCUUAUAGUGGGUUGUUUGAGUGACAGAAGCAUAAACCCGAGUAAGGGGAUUGUUGCGUAUGGGAUAAAGGGGACUUGAUGCUUUAAUGCUAUGGUUGGGUUUUACCUUAAUGAUCUUUAGUAGUUGCGGAUGCUUGCUAGAGUUCCAAUCAUAUGUGCAUAUGAUCCAAGAAGAGAAAGUAUGUUAGCUUAUGCCUCUCCCUCAUAUGAAAUUGCAAUGAUGACCACCGGUCUUGUUAACGAUUACCUAGGACAAUUCCGCACACCGACCCAUCAUUAUUCCACACUCGCUAUUUAUAAUAUUUAGUAAUAUAUUCUAACUUUAUGAUAACAGCACCUACUUUUAUAUUUUAGCUCUCCGAUACCAUGCGAAGUUAUCCUCUUCAUACCCACAAUGUAGUUUUAUUUCUCGUUUCUAGUUGGAAGCAAACGUUCGGUGUACGUAGAGUCGUAUUAGUGGCAGAUAGGGCUUGAGAGAAUAUUGAUCUUACCUUUAGCUCCUUGUGAGUUCGACACUCCAUACUUAUCACUUCCACCUUUGGAAAUUGCUACGAUGAUUCCCUUCACUUGGGGAUUGUCAGAUAUCAACUUAUUUUUCAGGCCCUUUUUCCGAUUCUAGGUUCAGAGGGCGGGGUGUAUCUUUCUGAAGGCAGGUAUCCGGCUCUUCGAGCUCGGAGAUCCGAACAUAGUCCGUCCUCAGUAUAGAGGAAGAGUUGUCGUCUUGCUCCUCUACUACCGCUAUCUGGUGGGUGAUCGGUGGAGGUUUAAUUUCUCUCUGGUCGGGUUUAAGCCCAAUACGAUCGUAGUCUGUAGCGACCCCCAAGGCGGCGAUGCGAUCUAGGAGCUCGUUCAAAGACGACAACUCCGCCGGAUCCAUCUGCUUGGAGUAUUCGGAGUCAACACAGAGGGGAUUUACGAUGACUCGAGAAGUCAUCGUCGGCUUAACGGCCGAAUGGGCGGUCAUGGUAAAGCCGCCCAGCCGGAGGGUUUGGCGUGGGGCCAGUACUCCUCCGGAGGUGACACUGUCCUUGAUAACAAGGCGAGCCAUCAAUCCUGUCUUUGACGUCACAGCGGAACUCUCAAUGAAAGCACCAAUGUCGGUGUCAAAACCGGCGGAUCACGGGUAGGGGGUCCCGAACUGUGCGUCUAAGGUUGAUGCUAACGGGAGACGGGGGACACGAUGUUUACCCAGGUUUGGGCCCUCUCUAUGGAGGUAAUACCCUACUUCCUGCUUGAUUGAUCUUGAUGAAUAUGAGUAUUACAAGAGUUGAUCUACCUCAAGAUCGUAAUGGCUAAAACCCUAAAAGUCUAGCCUGUAUGACUAUGAUUAUGAUUGCCUCUACGGACUAAGCCCUCCGGUUUAUAUAGACAUAGGAGGGGACUAGGUUUGUACAAAGUCGGUUACAGAGAAAGGAAUCUUCAUAUCAGGGCGCCAAGCUUGCCUUCCACGCCAAGGAGAGUCCCAUCCGGACACGGGAGAGUCUUCGAUCUUGUAUCUUCACAGCCCAUCAGUCUGGCCCACGUACCAUAGUCCGGACGCCCGAGGACCCCUUAAUCCAGGACUCCCUCACUGGGCGCCUCGUCGCUGCGUGGAGGUGGGCCGAUAAGCUCCAGCGUUCCACCGACGAGGAGCUCCGAUGGGUGCCCAACAAAAUGGCAAGAUCGUUUGUGCUCGUCCGCCAGCAAGAGGCAGAUCGGUACGUCAAGCGCUGCGAGGCGGAGGAGGCGGAGUAGUGCCUCCGCACUGGGAAGACGCCGCGCACCAGGGAUCUGCUGGCGAGGGGCUACUGGAAUACUGGCCCAGGAGGGAUUUAGUUUUAGUAUUGUUCGUUUUCAAUUUUAUGCAUUGUACGUAGUAGUUAAGUAUCAUCACGUAUAUGUGAUGAUAUUAUAUAUAUAUAUAUAUACUGUGAUGAACUAAUGAACAAUUAAUAUAUAUAUAUUAUGAAUUUCAUUUUCUAUCUGUUUUUGUAUACUAAUUUGAGCCUAGCUGUUAUCAUCCACAUAUACAGAAUGGAAAGUGUAUAUACACACAUUGAAACAGAACAUAUAAGAAGGGAAAGCAGAGUACACACAUUGAAACAGAGGAAUAAACAGAGCAAUACUAUGAUUGCUGUGAAUACAUAGCUAUCCACGUUGAAACGACUCAACAAAAUAAAACGCGUCCAUGAGACCAUGACCAGCAACCCUUGCCUACGUAGCUCUUGGCUCUACCUGAACUCGUGCAGGCGUUCGUCCAAGUGGUCGACGCGCUCACGGUACAUCUGGAGCGCGAUCUCGAGCUCCAAGUUGGCUAUUUCAUCGGAGAUCACCAGCUCGAGGUUGCGACAGCCAUGUUCCUCUACUGCGCCCAGGUGGACACCUGGGCCAAGGAGGCAGUCGAGCCUAACGACCAGCGCGUUGGCAUCGAGCGGGCCACGGACAAGGCUAACGGUGCGACCCAUGCGAAUGGCGCGGCAGGCGUCCGGUGCAAGUACGGUGUGGCCGACCUCUGCUACGAGUACGGCGCAGAGGGCCUCUGCCCACUCCUGGCGAGGAAUGGGGGUACUGACGGGACGUGCACCCAGCUGCGACACCGUCUGGACAGCAGGCAGGCACCGAUGGAUCCACUCUUGCUGUGCAGCGCGCCGCGCCUCUCGCUCUACGGCGCUCCAACGGUCUCGCCGUGAGGCGAGCCGUAGCCUAUCGGCGUGGACGUGCAUAGCUUGCUCUGCGGUGCGCCAUCGAUUAUGUUGUGCGGCGAGCUGCAGCCUGUCGGUGCUGACAUGCCUAUCUUGAUCCGCGGCGCUCAAACGCCAUGCGCCAAAGGUCUGAUCAACCUUGGCGAUGAUGCGCAUCACGGCGUCGUCCAUAGCGUUGCCGGGGAGCGCCUCAGCCUCAACGGGCCGUGGCGCCUGCUCGUUUUCCUCGUCGAAGGCCGAGUUUCGCCUCCGUGCGUCGUGCGCCGCCUAGGUAUAUGCGCAAUAUCGCCGGGUGGCGGGAAACAGGUGAGGAAAUGGCGGGAAACGGUGGCGUAUUCAUAAAACACCAUCAAAUUAAUGGAAACUUAGCAUAGAAGGAACAUCGAGCUAGCACAAGAAGUAGAAGAUGAUCAGAUGAACACGGACCACACUAGGGAACCCAUCGGUGAUGAAUUCAUCAAUCGCAAACGGUUGAAUACUAGCAAGCGUUUGCCAACAACACACACGGCUUAUUCCAUCACAAAAAGGUCGGAUGGAUCAACUGUAUGCCACGUAUCCCACACUGUCAAAAAGUAAUGUGGUAGACGUUCUUUAACAUGUGUUAAAAAAUAAAAUAAAUAAAUAAGAAGGACCCCGAGGUUAAAUUAACUCAUGGUAUGGGUCAUACCAGUCAUUUAAUUUGACAAAUAUGACCCAUCCUAUCAGUUAAUUUAACAUCAACACAACUUCCCAUCCGGUCACUCAUCUGAUGGUUGUUCUAGCCCGAGCACACUUAACUUCAGAGUUCUCUUACAUGAGCUACUAGUGGAACAUCUAGUCCUUGCUGAUAUAGGAUGCCUCUUCGCAUCCUUAUGGUGUAUCCGGAUGACCGCCCGUCCCCCAAUGGCCAAUAGAUGUUGUGUAGACAGAGCACAUCACAUAUGUCUUAUUAGAAGCAAUUGUCUAUGUUAUUAUCGGUCUUCGCACACAUUUCUGUUUACAGACCUGUUUGCCGCGUAUCACACACAUCUUGAUAUAUUGUACCGUUUCUGUUCUCUUGUCGCAACGUAAACAGUUCAUCCGAGUGAACUGCAUGCCGUAUAUCGCACACACCUUGAUCUGGCUGACCGUUUCUUUUGUGUUGCCUAAUCACAAACAGUUCAUCUGAGUGAACCAUAUGUUGUAGAUCGCACACACCUUCAUCUGGCUGCCCGAUUCUUUUGUUCCUCCUCAUCCCAAACUGUUAAUUGAACUGAACCGUAUGCCUUGCAUCGAACACGCAACUAAAAUCUGAACCGCGUUUGAUGCAUCCUCCAUCACAAACGUUUUGCACCUUUUUUGACGGGAUUUUUACACCACCGUUUGCGAUUAUUGCAUCGCACAUAGUUUCGUCGAAGGGUCUCUGAUCAUAGUGUCGCGUUAGCAGCAUCCUGCAGUAGUGACAAAGCACAAUGGACAAUGCUUACCAUAGCAUCGGAUCACUUGAUCCCUCUUGGUACAUCUUCUACGCUUUGUCUGUUGGUAAACUUAAAUCCACUCUUAGAUUUUAGUCUUGAUCAACCUUGUAUCUUAACUUCUCUCUUCAUAAAGAUGAUGUCUUGAAGAUAAACAUGAAUGUUCAUACAAUCUUCUUCCUCAAGACAUGCUUGCAAAAGGCUCAAUUCUCACAUGACCACUCUUUGAAUAACUCCUCGAAUAAGACCUUGGUCAACACAUAAUUGCCUUCUUUCCACCUUGAAACCAACAUAUGGUCUUGAAGCAAUACCUAUGGACAAACCUUAAAAUAUGACUCAAAGCAACCAAUAGUCCAUAUGGAUUGUCAUCAAUUACCAAAACCAAACAUGGGGGCACCAUUCUCUUUCAUUGUGUAUCUCUCUCUCACUUACCCCUUCGUGGACUAGCCUAUAAAUACUCCUCCCCUCCUCAUUUCUAGAGUUAGAUAAGAAUUGAUCUCAUAUCAUAGAACUUAGCUCAUGUAUCUCCCCUUGUGGGACUCCUCUUGAGAGAGAGAGAGAGAAGACUCCAUUGGAGCUCAAGGCCUCCAUUGGAGAAGAUCCUUAGGGAUUGAAGGCCCCUAUAUGGGAAGAUCCAUCCAUGGAUUCAAGACCCAUCUCUCCAUGAGAUUUGGAUGAACUACCUUGUCUCUAUUUCCCAUGUUGUUAUUAGGUCUUGAUGCACCUCUUGUAUUGCUUGUGAUUUGAGGAUUACUUGGGAUGAAUCUUUUCCAGUAGAGUGUUUUCCCCUUUUUCAUUUCUCCAUAUUUUCCCCUCGUGUUCUUCGUGUUCCUCCUUGAAUAUGUCACAGCCCUAGAAUAUUUGUGUGUAAAUAAUUAUAUUAGUUGCAUUUGAGAGCAUCAUGCAUCAUGUCUAAAUUCUGAAAUUGAAUUGAGGAAUAUUUUGAAUCCUCACAAAUUUAAUGAAGGGCAAAGAACCCCAAAAUUGGCAUUCAAUGUUUCCAAAAUGCCUUUCAAAUAGUUCUGAAAAUUUUGGAAAGAUCUAUAUAUUAAACCAAAAUUUAGGAACAUUUUUAAGGAAUUAUUUUGGGACUUUGAAUUUAAAUCUUAUUAUAUUUGAAUUGAGUUUAUAUUGCUUUUAAAUAAAAUAUAAACUCAAAAUUCCUUAAAUUUGUGUGUUAGCUUGGAAGGGUCCAUAGCUAUCACAUAUUAAAAUUUCAUAUGGUUUUAAAUUCAUUUGGUGGUUCAAAUAAAUUCAAAAUAGUGGAAAUAAAUGAAUCGAAAACAAAUAGAAAAUAGAAAGACAAAGAGAUAGAGAGAGAGGGAGUGCUCACUUGGCGGCCCAGCUGUGCGGCCCAGCCCACCAGGGGUAGCCUCGUCCAUUACCUCUUGCUAGAAGGCAAGGACAAGCUGGGCAUGACGCGCGCACGGACGCCACGCCGCACCUGCAUGUCUGCCUCACCCACCAUGUCGACGUCGUGGUUAGCAUCCCCUUUGCCGCCCAGAUCGAUCCCACCCCUCGUCAACUCUCCCCUCGCCUCCCUCGCCCGUUCCUCCCCAUGGCCGAGUCCGCCAUGAGCACGCCGACUGCCAUGGUCCAAUUCGUUGGCUCCCGACCACCCCCGGCCUCGACCUCUCUCUGUUAGACCCGUGGUGAGCCCCCGUUCGAAACCCCCUGUCCUCGUCGUUGAUUUAUUCCGCUGGCACCGAUGCCAUGAUGCCCAAAGCUCACUGACUUGUCAUUGUUUCGCUAAUGUAGCCCUCUUCAGACCAAGCUGAGCUUGUGCUCGAGCUUAGGAAGCUCUGUAGAUGCCGUUGUGCCACUCAGCUCCCUCGCCCGCGAGAUCUAGCCCUCCCAUCCACAACCACCGAGCUUAGGCCACUGCUUUCGCCAUCGCCGAUGCAUGUUCCGGCUACCCUCACGCUUACGUCCACCGCCGCUGGAUGCACACAAGCGAGGCCAACCUCCUGGUGGCCGCAUCUUCUCAAGCCGAAGCUUGUAGCGCCAUCCUGAGCAACUCCGGCGUGUCUCCGCCGUGUUUUUGGUCACCGUCGUUCAUCACUGACGUGGCCUAGUUAGCUUAGGGACUAACUGUAACGCCCCGAGACCGACACUCCAGACGGCUUCCAUGUUUUUCGUUGUCGCCGUGUGAUUUAUUUAUUUAUUGCAUUCAUCAUUGCAUCAUCCGCAUUUAUUUUCAUAAAACUUGCAUCCGCUCGUAGUUGCCGCGUCCCCCCCUUGCGUUCGUUGACCAUUCUGAGUCUAAUCGGAUUUUCGAUUCUCUUUUGUCUGACCGUUUGACCCUCUCUGCACAACCAUCGAACCCCUCCUUGCGCAGUGCAUAGACCCCUCUCGCGCGUCCGGAACCUCCCCGAACCCGACCCGGGUUGUUGUCACCGUUGGAUUCGGAUCAUCCCCAAACAUCUAGAAAACAUCACCGUUUUCUUUGUUGGACUCUCCACAGCCUUUUUCUCGACCGUUCAAUUUUGAUUGGAGGGCCCGUUUUGCCUUAAGCUAGUCCACCUAGCUAUUUAAACAGCCUAACCCUAGUUUUUAGGAGGCUUGUCCCAUCCAUCCUUUCUGUGCCGCCGCCACUCCCUCCAUCCUCCUCUUCCUCGGGAUCUCCCCUGCUCCAGAUCAGCAGCCACAACCUUCCCCUCCUCGAAGUUGCGACCGAUCCAACCAGGAGCAUCGCUCGAUCCCCCUCACUUUUCUCUCUCUUUUGUCUCUGUCCCGCAGGAGUACCCAUCCAUGGCGCCAGGAGAAGAUCGCCCCGACCACCUCGUAACCAGCUCGCCGGAGCAGAGCACCACGGCACCCGAGUUCCUGCGCCCCCUCUUGAUCCAGGAGGCCGAGCUCCCUUGCCUGAGGCCGCCGUCUUCGACCGGCCUCGUCAGACGCCAUCGCCCUGCUGCCUUCUCCUUCCUGUUCGAUCCGGAGGAGAGGAGCUCCGCCAUGGCCCCGCCGUCAAGCAGCUCGACCCCGCCGCGGCCUCAAGUCCUCUGCCCGUCGCCAUGAACGCCGCAGGAGCACCAACGCCACCAGCAGCCGUGCGCCUCCUCCCUCAUCCCAGAGGAGCUCCGCCCUCCCCGCGCCUGUCCCGUGUGCCCGGCGCUCCAACCCCAAGAAGCAACAGUGCCCGAGCGCUCCUCUCCUCGCCGGUGCGCCCCCCCUCCAUUCCGGCGCCGGGAACGGAAACCCCGCGCCCGGAUCCUGGUCCGCCUCCCUCUGCCCGUCGCCUUCUUCUCCCCGUCUCUCCCUUCCUUCCCUCUGUAUCUCAUCUCUCUCUCUCUUGUUCUCUCUCUGUAUCAGGAUGCAGCCGCUGCAUCGCCUCCGCUUCGAGCGCCCGCACGCCCGCGUUGACCUCCGCAUCUGGCCACGCCGCCGGCAAGCCCUGCCUCCGUCGCGUUGCCAAGUUCCGCUGCCGGCGCCUCCUGCAUCGCUGCCGUCGCGCCAAGCUCCGCCGUCGCCUGCCCGCGUCCCCAUCGACCGCCUCCGCUUCCUCUGCAACGAGCAGGAGCACGUUCGUCAGGCGCCCGCCUCCUCUGUUCCUGCUCGCCUGGGGCACCGCAGCCUCCCAAGGCCCAAGCCAGAUCCGGCCUGCCCGGCCUCCUCCACCGAGCCGGCCCAUGAGGCCUGGUGAGCAUCAGAUCCAGCGCCCUCAACCUGUUGCACUGCUGGGCUAGUUAGAUUCGGCCCAGUUCUUUUCUUUUCCUCCGGCGAUUUUAGUAAUUAUCCGAGGAUUUACAGUAUUGCAGAAAAACCCCUCAUGUUCAUGCUUUAAUAAUUAAUUAACCAUGCAUCUUUUGUAAAUAAUUUAUAUAUGUAAAAUGCUUAGAAUUUUGUGUAGUUUAAUAAUAUGCCACUUUCAUCCCAUGUUAAAAUGUUUAAAAUGCUGUUUAUUUAAUUUUGCAUAAAUGCCAUGUUAAAAUGAUUUAAUUCAUAACUAAUUAACCGUAACUCGCAUUUUAAUAAACUUUAUAUGUAAAUGGGGUAGAAAAAUGCCUAGUUUAACAUGGUGCACUUUAUUUUGCUUUUUAACAACAUUAAAAUAUGGGUUUAGGCAGAACAGUACCAAUUCCAAAAUAUGCAUAUGAGGAUUUUCGGAAAUUGUUGUUUGUUGUUCCGGCCUCAUUUAAAUUGCCUAAAAUAGGUAGUUUCCUUAUGCUUCACCUCUUGCCAUGGCUAACAACAUUUAACAUUGUUGGGUACAUAAUCGAGAGAGAACUAAAUAAUUGAUGUGGUGUUUUGUCAAUAUGCAACUCGUUGCAUAUUGAGCUCCACUUAACUGGUAGUUUUGUUUGUGCACUUUGCCAUGCCAUGCAUAUUUAAACCGGACAUGCAUCAUACUUGAUUGUGCAUCAUGCCAUGUUUAUGAUUGUGUGUUUACUAUGUUGUUUAUUUCUUUCCGGGUUGUUUCUCUUGUUAGCUUCGGUUUCGUUCCGGAGUUGUGAGGAUUCGUUCGACUACGUCCGCUUGUCUUCUUCAUGGACUCGUUCUUCUUCCUUGCGGGAUCUCAGGCAAGAUGACCAUACCCUCGAAAUCACUUAUAUCUUUGCUUUGCUAGUUGUUCGCUCUAUUGCCAUGCUGCGCUACCUACCACUUGCUAUAUCAUGCCUCCCUCAGCCCCUAACCUUUUCACCCUUCCUAGCAAACCAUUGUUUGGCUAUGUUACCGCUUUGCUCAGCCCCUUCUUAUAGCGUUCCUAGCUGCAGGUGAAGAUGAAGAUUGCUCCAUGUUGGAUUAUGUUUAUGUUGGGAUAUCACAAUAUCUCUUAUAUUAUUAAUGCAUCUAUAUACUUGGUAAAGGGUGGAAGGCUCGGCCUUAUGCCUGGUGUUUUGUUCCACUCUUGCCGUCCUAGUUUCCUUCAUACCGGUGUUAUGUUCCUUGAUUUUGCGUUCCUUACGCGGUUGGGUGAUUUAUGGGACCCCCUUGACAGUUCGCUUUGAAUAAAACUCCUCCAGCAAGGCCCAACCUUGGUUUUACCAUUUGCCUACCUAAGCCUUUUUCCCUUGGGUUCUGCAGACUCAAGGGUCAUCUUUAUUUUAAACCCCCGGGCCAGUGUUCCUCUGAGUGCUGGUCCAAACUAGAGCCACUUGCAGCGCCACCUCGGGGAAACUCGAGGUCUGGUUUUAGUUGUACGUAGUGUUCAUCCGGUGUGCCCUGAGAACGAGAUAUGUGCAGCUCCUAUCGGGAUUUGUCGGCACAUUCGGGCGGCUUUGCUGGUCUUGUUUUACCAUUGUCGAAAUGUCUUGUAAACCGGGAUUCCGAGACUGAUCGGGUCUUCCCGGGAGAAGGUUUAUCCUUCGUUGACCAUGAGAGCUUAUAAUGGGCUAAGUUGGGACACCCCUGCAGGGUAUUAUCUUUCGAAAGCCGUGCCUGCGGUUAUGUGGCAGAUGGGAAUUUGUUAAUGUCCGGUUGUAGAGAACUUGACACUUGACCUUAAUUAAAACGCAUCAACCGCGUGUGUAGCCGUGAUGGUCUCUUCUCGGCGGAGUCCGGGAAGUGAACACGGUUCUUGUGUUAUGUUUGACGUAAGUAGGAGUUCAGGAUCACUUCUUGAUCAUUGCUAGUUCACGACCGUUCCGUUGCUUCUCUUCUUGCUCUCAUUUGCGUAUGUUAGCCACCAUAUAUGCUAGUGCUUGCUGCAGCUCCACCUCAUUACACCAUCCUUUCCUAUAAGCUUAAAUAGUCUUGAUCUCGCGGGUGUGAGAUUGCUGAGUCCUCGUGACUCACAGAUACUUCCAAAACAGUUGCAGGUGCCGAUGAGACCAGUGCAGCUGACGCAACUGAGCUCAAGUGGGAGCUCGAUGAAGAUCUUGUUCGUUGUGUUGUUUCUUUUCAUGUUGAUCAGUAGUGGAGCCCAGUUGGGACGAUCGGGGAUCUAGCAGUUGGGUUGUCUUCUUUUAUUUUGGUUCCGUAGCCGGACCUAUGUGUGUAUCUUGAAUGAUGUAUGAUUCAUUUAUGUAUUGUGUGAAGUGGCGAUUGUAAGCCAACUCUUUAUCCCAUUCUUGUUCAUUACAUGGGAUUGUGUGAAGAUGACCCUUCUUGCGACAAAACCACAAUGCGGUUAUGCCUCUAAGUCGUGCCUCGACACGUGGGAGAUAUAGCCGCAUCGUGGGUGUUACACUAACUGCCUAUUAUAUUAGUACUGAGACACUGACUAUCGGCCCUGCUAGAUUAAUUAGCCGGGAAAAGUUUUAGUUAGAAUAAAUAACCCCGUGUUAACUAGAUGCCAUAGACCAGUGGGCCCCACUGGUUAGGUACGUUUCACUCUGGCUGACCAUGUUAACUUGAUGAUGCAAUGAUGACACAAUGCUGACAUCAUAUUGAUUUUAUGGUAUUUUAUAAAUCAGAAAUUAAUUUGGAAAUUCCAGAAAAAGUUUAAAACUUCUAAAAACCAUAGAAAAUAAUCUAUAGGUCAGAUGAAAAUAAUUUAUGUAUGAAGAAUAUGUUUAUACAUUGUUCAUGCAUGUUUGAGCAAGUGAACAUCACCAACUAGGACAAUUCAUGAUUAUGGAAUAUAUGGUAAUUAGUUUUGGGCUUGGAAUUUGCUAUAUGCCUCAAUUCCACUUCAAUUAAUACGAAGAAUGAUUGCAUUAUCUGAAUUCAGUACCUUAUCAUGGCAUGAUCAUACAUCAUGUUUGUGGCACUACAUUGAUUGUGUUCCUUCUUGUUUAUCGGUGUUUGUCCCCUCUCAGUAGCAGACGAUUCCGACAUUGUGAUCGUUGACACCGAUGAAGAGCGGUACUAUCUUCAGAAGUGCGAGGCAAGAAAACCCCUUGAUCACUAUGAUACAAUCCCACUCUCUCGCUCCUGCUCUCUUUUAUAGCGUUAGGAAAACAACGGUUCAACAGUUACGUGUUGUGGUAGUUAAACUCAUUCCUCUGCAUGACCUUUCUUUGCCACAGUACAUAGUUAAAACCCACUAGCAAGAGUAGGAGUUGCUUGAGCCAUGAUGUGACUACUCAUCCAUGCUUGCUUGUUCUGCCCACUAUUGCUUAGAGUUGGGUCAGGUCUGAUUCAUCCCGGAAUCGAUUGGAAUGUUGUGAUCAUGUACUGAUGUUGAGAGCCAAGUGUGUGAACACGAUUUGGUAAAGGUAGCGAUGAGAGACCAUGUAGGAGAACAUGGUGGGUUGUCUCAUUGAGGCCGUUGUUAAGAACUGAGUUUUGUGUAUGUUAUCCAAGAAUAUCUACUACCACACAUUGGGCCCGAAACCCAUGGACCCUCUUGCUUAUUAACUGCCUCGAUCUCUGUCCAGGAGUUGCAGCUAGUUUCUGGUGUUUGUUGGCCGUGCUAGUAGUCUACCAAGUGGCACCUGGUACAAGUGGGCUUGGGACAGACUAGGCACCGUGGCCUGGUGUACAAAGCAUAGAACCAUCCGUCGAGGUGGACUUGGGAACCAUGCACACAUCAUUUGGGGUCGUGAUGGAAAUUUUGGCCGGACUUCCCUUGCGGGUUCAGCCUCAGAUAGGCGAUAAACCUGGACUAGAGUCUUGUGUGGUUAGUCAGGUUGUGCCCGGCACCCUCGAUAGGCUUCCGCUUGAAGGUGUCAAGAUACAUGACGUGUAUAUGGUGGUAAGUGGUAAGAGUGUGUGUGAAGAAGUACACCCCUGCAGGGUAAUAUGAUCUAUUCGAAUAGCCGCGUCCUCUGAUAUGGACUAAUUGGAGACUAAUAUGGUUCAUAGACAACUUGAAGUGGAAAUGUGCAAGAUAAGUGUGAGUACUAUGGAUGGCCUUCUCAUAGGGAGACGGGAGCAGAUCCAUAGUGGUGUAUUGAUAUGGUAAAUAUGGGGACUCGUGUGUGCUUUCUCACCACAAAGAAAUUACUGAUAGUCGUUGUAUAGGAUAGCCACUGAGUCAAGGCUGGCUUGCUGUAGUUAAACUCCUCCACCCCCUUUAUAAUACUCAUGCAUAUGUAGUUACUUCUGGUGUAAGUCUUGAUGAGUACAUUUGUACUCACGUUUGCUUAAUUUAUGUUUUUGCAGAGGAGACGUCGGUAUCACUAGUAGUUCCACAUGGGCUUCGAUGAGUAGCUUGUUGUCAGUGCAACAAACCCUAUGUCUGUUGCCCAGACUAUGCAUAGACAUGGGAAUAAGAUUACAGCACCAAGGUCAGGCCAAAGCACAAGAGAUCAGAUAUCUUCAAGGAACCAACAUGCAGCCCAGGAGGACCAAGACUAAGCCAGAAGAAGUAAGAUACUGCCAAGAGAGAAGCCUCGCUUGCCGGGCAGGCAUGCCUGGCGAGGACGGGGUUACCCCCUAGAAGCAAACCUCCAAGACGCCCCGGCAGGGCCUGCCAGGACUCGCAAGGACUGAACAACCUCACCACACCACCUAACCACAACACACGUCAUCGAUCGGUGCGGUGUCAAGCCGCAAAGUGGCUGAGUGGCAACCAUUUACCACAUGACAUCCACUUUCUACAAGAAAUGCAUACAUGCGACACCCGUCCUGCGACAUGUCGAGCGAGCAGAUGUGAAGCUGGCAAAAUAGCCCGGCAGGGCCUGCCGUGCAAGCUGCGAUGUGAUGUUAAGCGGCGCAUUUAAUGCGCUCUGUCAGCCUGCAGAGUUAGGUAUGAUAGCACUGUUUGCUAUCUGAUCUGUGUAUAAUGACUUCUUUGCCACUGUGGUGACCCCUUUGUCUAUAAAAGGAGCCCCAAGGCUACCGUAGAAAGGGUUCGACCCUUAGUUGGCGAAUUCACCCCCUCACAUAUUCAUACGCGCGUAGCCGUUCUGCCCCAAGGCAACCCUACCGGGCAAGCGUGUUGCGCAUACCACCAUCUUUCCACCAUCAACGCACCAAAGCGGGAGUAGGGUUUUACGCCUUGCUAACUCUUGAGCACUGCGUUGGUUUUCCCUUAAAGAGGAAAGGGUGAUGCAGUAAAGUAACGUAAGUAUUUCCCUCAGUUUUUGAGAACCAAGGUAUCAAUCCAGUAGGAGGCCACGCUCAAGUCCCUCGCACCUACACAAACAAAUAAAAACCUCGCAACCAACGCAAUAAAGGGGUUGUUAAUCCCUUCACGGUCACUUACGAAAGUGAGAUCUGAUAGAUACGAUAAGAUAAUAUUUUUGGUAUUUUUAUGAUAAAGAUGCAAAGUAAAAUAAAAGGCAAUAAAAAUAGCUAGGUGUUGAAAGAUUAAUAUGAUGAAAAAUAGACUCAGGGCCAUAGGUUUCACUAGUGGCUUCUCUCAAGAGCAUAAGUAUUACGGUGGGUGAACAAAUUACUGUUGAGCAAUUGAUAGAUUUGAGCAUAGUUAUGAGAAUAUCUAGGUAUGAUCAUGUAUAUAGGCAUCACGUCCGCGACAAGUAGACCGACUCCUGCCUGCAUCUACUACUAUUACUCCACACAUCGACCGCUAUCCAGCAUGCAUCUAGAGUAUUAAUUUCAAAAGAACAGAGUAAUGCUUUAAGUAAGAUGACAUGAUGUAGAGGGAUAAACUCAUGCAAUAUGAUAUAAACCCCAUCUUGUUAUCCUCAAUGGCAACAAUACAAUAUGUGCCUUGCUGCCCCUGCUGUCACUGGGAAAGGACACCGCAAGAUUGAACCCAAAGCUAAGCACUUCUCCCAUUGCAAGAAAGAUCAAUCUAGUAGGCCAAACCAAACUGAUAAUUCAAAGAGACUUGCAAAGAUAACCAAUCAUACAUAAAAGAAUUCAGAGAAGAUUCAAAUAUUGUUCAUAGAUAAACUUGAUCAUAAACCCACAAUUCAUCGGUCUCAACAAACACACCGCAAAAGAAGAUUACAUCGAAUAGAUCUCCACGAGAAUCGUGGAGAACUUUGUAUUGAGAUCCAAAGAGAGAGAAGAAGCCAUCUAGCUAAUAACUAUGGACCCGAAGGUCUGAGUAAACUACUCACACAUCAUCGGAGAGGCUAUGGUGUUGAUGUAGAAGCCCUCCGUGAUCAAUGCCCCCCUCCGGCAGGACGCCGGAAAAGGCCCCAAGAUCGAAUCUCAUGGGUACAGAAGGUUGCGGCAGUGGAAUUAGGUUUUCUUGGAUGCUUCUGUUGGUUUGGGGGUACGUAGGUAUAUAUAGGAGGAAGAAGUACGUCGGUGGAGCAACGUGGACCCCACGAGGGUGGAGGGCGCGCCUAGGGGGGUAGGCGCGCCUCCUGCCUCGUGCUCUCAUGGUUGCUUUGUUAACGUAGGGUCCAAGUCCUCUGGAUCACGGUUGUUCCGAAAAUCACGUUCCCAAAGGUUUCAUUCCGUUUGGACUCCGUUUGAUAUUCUUUUUCUGCGGAACUCUGAAAUAGGCAAAAAACAUCAAUUUGGGCUGGGCCUCCUAUUAAUAGGUUAGUCCCAAAAAUAAUAUAAAAUUGUAUAACAAAGGCCAUUAAUCAUCCAAAACAGAAUAUAAUAUAGCAUGAAGCAAUAAAAAAUUAUAGAUACGUUGGAGACGUAUCAAGCAUCCCCAAGCUUAAAUCUUGCUCAUCCUUGAGUAGGUAAAUGAUAAAAACAGAAUUUUUGAUGCGGAAUGCUACUUGGCAUAAUUUUUUAAUGUAACCCUCUUAAUUGUGGUAUGAAUAUUCAGAUCCGAAAGAUUUAAGAUAAAAGUUUAAUGUUGACAUAAAAGCAAUAAUACUUCAAGCAUACUAACUAAGCAAUUAUGUAUUCUCAAAAUAGCAUGGCCAAAGAAAGCUCAUCCCGACAAAAUCAUAUAGUUUAGUCAUGCUCCAUUUUCGUCACACAAGAAUGCUCUCAUCAUGCACAACCCCGAUGACAAGCCAAGCAAUUGUUCCAUACUUUAGUAAUCUCAAACUUUUUCAACCUUCACGCAAUACAUGAGUGUGAGCCAUGGAUAUAGCACUAUGGGUGGAAUAGAAUAUAAUGAUGGGGGUUAUGUGGAGAAGACAAAAAAAGGAGAAAGUCUCACAUCAACGCGGCUAAUAAACGGGCUAUGGAGAUGCCCAUCGAUUGAUGUUAAUGCAAGGAGUAGGGAUUGCCAUGCAAUGGAUGCACUAGAGCUAUAAAUGCAUGAAAGCUCAACAAAAGAAACUAAGUGGGUGUGCAUCCAACUUGCUUGCUCAUGAAGACCUAGGGCAUUUGAGGAAGUCCAUUGUUGGAAUAUACAAGCCAAGUUCUAUAAUGAAAAAUUCCCACUAGUAUAUGAAAGUGACAAAACAAAAGACUCUCUAUCAUGAAAAUCAUGGUGCUACUUUGAAGCACAAGUGUGGAAAAAGGAUAGUAGCAUUGUCCCUUUUUUUGGGCCUUCUUUUCUUUUAUUUGGCCUUUCUCUUUUUUUAUUGGGACAAUCCUCUAUGAAUGAUGAUCAUCACACUCUAUUUAUUUACAAACUCAAUGAUUACAACUCGAUACUAGAACAAAGUAUGACUCUAUAUGAAUGCCUCCGGCGGUAUACCGGGAUAGGCAAUGAAUCAAGAGUGACAUGUAUGAAAAAUUAUGAACGGUGGCUUUGCCACAAAUACGAUGUCAACUACAUGAUCAUGCAAAGCAAUAUGACAAUGAUGAACGUGUCAUGAUAAACGGAACGGUGGAAAGUUGCAUGGCAAUAUAUCUCGGAAUGGCUAUGGAAAUGCCAUAAUAGGUAGGUAUGGUGGCUGUUUUGCGGAAGAUAUAAGGAGGUUUAUGUGUGAUAGAGUGUAUCAUAUCACGGGGUUUGGAUGCACCGGCGAAGUUUGCACCAACUCUCAAUGUGAGAAAGGGUAAUGCACGGUACCGAAGAGGCUAGGAAUGAUGGAAGGGUAAGAGUGCGUAUAAUCCAUGGACUCAACAUUAGUCAUAAAGAACUCACAUACUUAUUGCAAAAAUCUACAAGUCAUCAAAAACCAAGCAUUACGCGCAUGCUCCUAGGGGGAUAGAUUGGUAGGAAAAGACCAUCGCUCGUCCCUGACCGCCACUCAUAAGGAAGACAAUCAAAGAACACCUCAUGUUUCAAAUUUGUUACAUAACGUCUACCAUACGUGCAUGCUACGGGACUUGAAAACUUCAACACAAGUAUUUCUCAAUUUCACAACUACUCAACUAGCACAACUUUAAUAUCACUACCUCCACAUCUGAAAUCAAUCAUGAAGCAUCAAACUUCUCAUAGUAUUCAACACACUCAUAAGAAAGUUUUUACUAGUCUCGCAUACUUAGCAUAUUAGGAUUAAUUUCCCAAUUUAAGCAAAUUACCAUGCUGUUUAAGACUCUCAAAAUAAUAUAAGUGAAGCAUGCGAGAAUAAUAGUUUCUAUAAAACAAAACCACCGCCGUGCUCUAAAAGAUAUAAGUGAAGCACUAGAGCAAAAAACUAUAUAGCUCAAAAGAUAUAAGCGGAGCGCAUAGAGUAUUCUAAUAAAUUCCGAAUCAUGUGUGUCUAUCUCAAAAGGUGUGUACAGAAAAGAUGAUUUUGGCAAACUAAAAGCAAAGACUCAAAUCAUACAAGACGGUCCAAGCAAAACACAUAUCAUGUGGUGAAUAAAAAUAUAGCUCCAAGUAAAGUUACCGAUGGAAGUAGACGAAAGAGGGGAUGCCUUCCGGGGCAUCCCCAAGCUUUGGCUUUUUGGUGUCCUUAGAUUAUCUUGGGGUGCCAUGGGCAUCUACAAGCUUGGGCUCUUGCCACUCCUUGUUCCAUAAUCCAUCAAAUCUUUUAACCAAAACUUGAAAACUUCACAACACAAAACUUAACAGAAAAUCUCGUGAGCUCCGUUAGCGAAAGAAAACAAAACACCACUUCAAGGUACUGUAAUGAACUCAUUCUUUAUUUAUAUUGGUGUUAAACCUACUGUAUUCCAACUUCUAUAUGGUUUAUAAACUAUUUUACUAGCCAUAGAUUCAUCAAAAUAAGCGAACAACACACGAAAAAUAGAAUCUGUCAAAAACAGAUCAGUCUAUAAUAAUAUGUAACUAACGCAAACUUCUGGAACUCGAAAACAUCUACCAAAACAGGACGACCUAGACAAUAUGUUUAUUGAUCUGCUGCAAUUGGAAUCAAUAUUUUACCACAUUCUGGUGAUUUUUAACAAUUGUUUUCGUGAGCAGAAAGUUUCUGCAAUUUUCAGCAAGAUCAAAUAACUAUCAUCCAAGAAGAACCUAUAGGUUUAACUUGGAACAAACACUAAUUAAAACAUAAAGAAAAUCUAACCAGAGGCUAGAUCAAAUAUUUAUUCCUAAACGGAAGCAAAAAGUAAAAAAGUAAAAAUAAAAUUGGGUUGCCUCCCAACAAGCGCUAUCGUUUAACACCCUUAGCUAGGCAUAAAAGCAAGGAUAGAUCUAGGUAUUGCCAUCUUUGGUAGGCAAUCCAUAAGUGGCUCUCAUAAUAGAUUCAUAUGGUAGUUUAAUUUUCUUUCUAGGAAAGUGUUCCAUGCCUUUCUUUAACGAAAAUUGGAAUCUAAUAUUUCCUUCCUUCAUAUCAAUAAUUGCACCAAUCGUUCUAAGGAAAGGUCUACCAAGAAUAAUAGGACAUGAAGGAUUGCAAUCUAUGUCAAGAACAAUAAAAUAUACGGGCACAUAGUUCCUAUUUGCAACAAUAAGAACAUCAUUAAUUCUUCCCAUAGGUUUUUUAAUGGUGGAAUCCGCAAGGUGCAAGUUCAAAGAACAAUCAUCAAAUUCACGGAAUCGUAGCAAAUCACACAAAGUUUUUGGAAUCGUGGAAACACUAGCACCCAAAUCACACAAAGCAUAGCAUUCAUGAUCUUUAAUUUUAAUUUUAAUAGUAGGUUCCAACUCAUCAUAAAGUUUUCUACGGAUAGAAACUUCCAACUCAAGUUUUUCUUCAUAAGAUUGCAUCAAAGCAUCAACGAUAUGUUUAGUAAAAGCUUUAUGUUGACUAUAAGCAUGUGGAGAAUUUAGCACGGAUUGCAACAAGGAAAUACAAUCUAUCAAAGAGCAAUUAUCAUAAUUAAAUUCCUUGAAAUCCAAAAUAGUGGGUUCAUUGAUAUCUAAAGUUUUAACUUCUUCAAUCCCACUUUUACCAAUUUUUGCAUCAAGAUCUAAAAACUCUGUAUUUUUGGGACGCCUUCUAGGUAAAGGUGGCUCAUAUUCAGUCCCAUCAUUAUCAAGAUUCAUGUUGGAAAACAAAGAUUUAAUAGGGGACACAUCAAUAACUUUUAGAUCUUCAUCUUUAUUCUCAUAAAAAUUAGAAGAACACGCCUUUACAAAGCAAUCUUUCUUAGCACGCAUCCUAGCAGUUCUUUCUUUGCACUCAUCAAUUGAAAUUCUCAUAGCUUUGAGAGACUCAUUGAUAUCAUGCUUAGGAGGAAUAGAUCUAAGUUUCAAAGAAUCAACAUCAGGAGAAAUUCUAUCAACGUUCCUAGCCAACUCAUCAAUCUUAGGCAACUUCUCUUCAAGCAAAGCAUUGAAAUUCUUUUGCGAAUUCAUAAAUUCUUUAACACUAGUCUCAAAUUCAGAGGGCAUCUUAUUAAAAAUUCCAUAAGAAUUGUUGUAGGAGUUACCAUAAUUAUUAGAGGAGUUACUAGGAUACGGCCUAGGAUUAAAGUUUCCUCUAUACGUGUUGUUACCAAAAUUAUUCCUACCAACAAAAUUCACAUCCAUAGAUUCAUUAUUAUUUUCAAUCAAAGUAGACAAAGGCAUAUCAUUAGGAUCAGAAGAAACACUUUUAGUAGCAAAUAAUUUCAUAAGUUCAUCCAUCUUUCCACUCAAAACAUUAAUUUCUUCUAUCGCAUGCACUUUUUUAUUAGUAGAUCUUUCAGUGUGCCAUUAAGGGGAGCAAUCGGAGUGCUAGGAAAAUCAUUAUUGUUGGUAUUGGUGAAGUCACAAGAUUUAGUAUUAUCUUGAGCCAUCGUGACAAGCAAGCAAUCCAACACACGAGCAAACAAGAAGCGAGCGAAAAAGAGGCGAAUGGAAAAGAGAGGGCGAAUAAAACGGCAAGGGUGAAGUGGGGGGAGGAAAACGAGAGGCAAAUGGCAAAUAAUGUAAUGUGGGAGAUAAGAGUUUCUGAUGGGUACUUGGUAUGUUGACUUUUGCGUAGACUCCCCGGCAACGGCGCCAGAAAUCCUUCUUGCUACCUCUUGACCAUUGCGUUGGUUUUCCCUUGAAGAGGAAAGGGUGAUGCAGUAAAGUAGCGUAAGUAUUUCCCUCAAUUUUUGAGAACCAAGGUAUCAAUCCAGUAGGAGGCCACGCUCAAGUCCCUCGCACCUACACAAACAAAUAAAAACCUCGCAACCAACGCAAUAAAGGGGUUGUCAAUCCCUUCACGGUCACUUACGAAAGUGAGAUCUGAUAGAUAUGAUAAGAUAAUAUUUUUGGUAUUUUUAUGAUAAAGAUGCAAAGUAAAAUAAAAGGCAAUAAAAAUAGCUAAGUGUUGGAAGAUUAAUAUGAUGAAAAAUAGACCCGGGUGCCAUAGGUUUCACUAGUGGCUUCUCUCAAGAGCAUAAGUAUUACGGUGGGUGAACAAAUUACUGUUGAGCAAUUGAUAGAAUUGAGCAUAGUUAUGAGAAUAUCUAGGUAUGAUCAUGUAUAUAGGCAUCACGUCCGCGACAAGUAGACUGACUCCUGCCUGCAUCUACUACUAUUACUCCACACAUCAACCGCUAUCCAGCAUGCAUCUAGGUAUUAAGUUCCAAAGAACAGAGUAAUGCUUUAAGUAAGAUGACAUGAUGUAGAGGGAUAAACUCAUGCAAUAUGAUAUAAACCCCAUCUUGUUAUCCUCGAUGGCAACAAUACAAUACGUGCCUUGUUGCCCCUGCUGUCACUGGGAAAGGACACCGCAAGAUUGAACCCAAAGCUAAGCACUUCUCCCAUUGCAAGAAAGAUCAAUCUAGUAGGCCAAACCAAACUGAUAAUUCGAAGAGACUUGCAAAGAUAACCAAUCAUACAUAAAAGAAUUCAGAGAAGAUUCAAAUAUUGUUCAUAGAUAAACUUGAUCAUAAACCCACAUUUCAUCGGUCUCAACAAACACACCGCAAAAGAAGAUUACAUCGAAUAGAUCUCCACGAGAAUCGUGGAGAACUUUGUAUUGAGGUACAAAGAGAGAGAAGAAGCCAUCUAGCUAAUAACUAUGGACCCGAAGGUCUGAGGUAAACUACUCACACAUCAUCGGAGAGGCUAUGGUGUUGAUGUAGAAGCCCUCCGUGAUCAAUGCCCCCCUCCGGCAGGAUGCCGGAAAAGGCCCCAAGAUGGGAUCUCACGGGUACAGAAGGUUGCGGCGGUGGAAUUAGGUUUUCGUGGAUGCUUCUGUUGGUUUGGGGGUACGUAGGUAUAUAUAGGAGGAAGAAGUACGUCGGGUCCAAGUCCUCUGGAUCACGUUUGUUCCGAAAUCACGUUCCCGAAGGUUUCAUUCCGUUUGGACUCCGUUUGAUAUUCUUUUUCUGCGAAACUCUGAAAUAGGCAAAAAAACAGCAAUUUGGGCUGGACCUCCGGUUAAUAGGUUAGUCCCAAAAAUAAUACAAAAGUGUAUAACAAAGCCCAUUAAUCAUCCAAAAUAGAAUAUAAUAUAGCAUGAAGCAAUCAAAAAUUAUAGAUACGUUGGAGACGUAUCACGCCUCACGGCGGCCCAAACCUGGGUAAAACUGCGUGUGGGAUCUCUGUCGUGCUGUCUCGCGCUCCUCUGCUCUUUGUGCAACGGGCCAUCCCACCGUCGAACCAGCAAGGGAUUGUUGGUCCCAUAGGUGGCCGUGGUUUCCCGCGACAUCUUUGGCGCGCCAGGUAGGGGGAAUCACUUGCGCGAACCUGCUGAGAGCGUGAGCAGUGUGUCAUCUUCAUCGCCAUCUUCAUCAUCUUGCGGCUUCAUCGACUAUGGCGCCCAAGAAGAAGCCCGGUGCUACAGCUCACCCGUCCACCACGAACGCUCCGUCACCCAUGGCCACCGACGCCACGGGAGGUGCGGAGGCUCACGAAGAUGUGGGUGCUGCGGGAGACGCGUUCGACGCAGGCGGCAUUGUGACCACCUCCCCCGCGGCCAAAACAGGAGCGGGAGGCACCAGAGGAGAGCAGCAUCAGCAUCAUCCAGGGGGCCAUGCUCCACGAGGUAUGAGUGAAGGGGUUAUUCCAUCUGUACCUCUUCCCCUCGCCAAAGGGCACGGCCAUAGUGGUGACACCCGAACUGGGGCGAAUCGCCGCCCUCUGGACGCCCCCGCCACGGGCGCAACCGCAGGACGUGCGCCAUCCCUGGGACGGGUCGACCCGGCCGUUGUGCCCAACGAAGACGCUAGCCCUCAAGCGCCUACGCCACGACACCGUGCCAUCCAAGUGGCCGCCUCGCAAUAGCGAGGGCGCGAUACCGUCGCCACCGGCACCGUCAGAAGCCGGGCGAUGGUGUGGUCUACAUCAUCAUCA